rnacentral:lncRNA from 1 species
UUUUUAAGCAUGGAUUGGGUAGCAAAAACUUAUUUUGGACAAGCCACGAAAGAGGUAGUUAUCGAGGAGUUUUUGCGUGCCCUUUGUUUUUGAGUCGUGUUUGGUCGGUUUUAGGGCAAAUUCUGUACAAGAUGUCAUAUAUGGGUACCUAACUUGGAAAUAUUCUGUGAAUGUUAUUUUUAAGCAAGGAUUGGGUAGUAAAAAGUUAUUUUGGCCAGCCACGACAGAGGUAGUUAUCGAGGAGUUUCUGCGUGGCCUUUGUUUCCGAGUUGCGUUUGGUCGGUUUUAGGGCAAAUUCUGUAACAGAUGUCAUAUAUGGGUACCUACCUUGGAAUUUUUCUGCGAACGACAUUUUUUAAGCAUGAUUGGGUAGCAACAAGUUAUUUUGGACAAGCCACGAAAGAGGUAGUUAUUGAGGAGUUUCUGCAUGUCCUUUGUUUUCGAGUCGCGUUUGGUCGGUUUUAGGGAAAAUUCUAUAACAGAUGCCAUAUAUGGGCACCUAACUUGGAAAAAUUCUAUGAAUGGCAUUUUUAAGGAUGGAUUGGGUAGCAAAAAGUUAUGUUGGACGAGCCACAAAAGAGGUAGUUAUCGUGGAGUUUUUGCGUGUCCUUUGUUUUUGAGUCUCGUUUGGUCGGUUUUAGGGCAAAUUCUGGACAAGAUGUAAUAUAUGGGUACCUAACUUGGAAAAAUUUUGUGAAUGACAUUUUUUAAGCAUGGAUUGGCCAGCAAAAAUUUAUUUUGGAUGAGCCACGAAAGAGGUAUUUAUUGAGGAGUUUUUGCGUGUCCUUUGUUUUCGAGUCACGUUCCGUCGGUUUUAGGGUAAAUUCCGUACAAGAUGUCAUGUAUGGUUACCUAACUUGGAAAAUUUGUAUGAACGGAAUUUUUUAAGCUCGGAUUGGGUAGCUAAAAGUUAUUUUGGAUGAGCCAUGAAAGAGGUAGUUAUCAAGGAGUUUUUGCGUGUCCUUUCUUUUCAAGUCGCGUUUGGUCGGUUCAAGGGCAAAUUCUGUACAAGAUGUGAUAUAUGGGUACCUAACUUUGAAUAAUUCUAUGAACGGCAUUUUUUAAGCAUGGAUUUGGUACCAAAAAGUUAUGUUGGACGAGCCACGAAAGAGGUAGUUACCGAGGAGUUUUUGCGUGUCUUUUGUUUUUGAGUCACGUUUGGUCUGUUUUAGGGCAAAUUCUGUACAUCAUGUAAUAUAUGGGUACCUAACUUGGAAAAAUUAUGUGAACGACAUUUUUAAGCAUGGAUUGGAUUAUAAAAAGUUAUGUUGGACGAGCCACGAAAGAGUUAGUAUCGAGGGGUUUUUGCAUGUCCUUUGUUUUUGAGUCGCGUUUGGUAGGUUUAAGGGAAAAUUAUGCACAAGCUGUCAUAUAUGGGUACCAAACUUGGAAAAAUUAUGUGAACGGCAUUUUUUAAUUAUGGAUUGGGUUAUAAAAAGUUAUGUUGGAGGAGCCACGAUAGAGUUAGUUAUCGAGGAGCUUUUGCGUGUCCUUUGUUUUCGAGUCGCGUUUGGUCGCUUUUAGGGCAAAUGCUGGACAAGCUGUCAUAUAUGGGUACCUCACUUGGAAAAAUUCUAUGAGCAGAAUUUUUUAAGCAUGGGGUAGCAAUAAGUUAUUUUGGACGAGCCAAGAAAGAGGUAGUUAUCGAGUAGUUUUUGCCUGUCCUUUGUUUUCGAGUCGCGUUGGUCGGUUUUAGGACAAAUAUUGUACAAGACGUCAUAUAUGGGUACCUAACGUGGAAAAAUUAUGUAAACGACAUUUUCUAAGCAUGGAUUGGGUAGCAAUAAGUUAUUUUGGACGAGCCAAGAAAGAGGUAGUUAUCGUGGAGUUUUUGCAUGUCCUUUAUUUUUGAGUCACGUUUGGUCGGUUUUAGGGCAAAUUCUGUACAAUAUGUAAUAUAUGGGUACCUAACUUGGAAAAAUUAUGUGAAUGGAAUUUUUUAAGCAUGGAUUUGGUUAUAAAAAGUUAUGUUGGACGAGCCACGAAAGAGUUAGUUAUCGAGGAUUGUUUGCGUGUCCUUUGUUUUUGAGUCGCAUUUGGUAGGUUUAAGGGUAAAUUCUGUACAAGAUGUCAUGUAUGGUUACCUAACUUGGAAAAUUUCUAUAACUUUUAAGAAUGGAUUGGGUAGCUAAAAGUUAUUUUGGACGAGCCAAGAAAGAGGUAGUUAUAGAGGAGGUUUUGCGUGUCCUUUGUUUUCGAGUCGCGUUUGGUUGGUUCAAGGGCAAAUUCUGUACAAGAUGUCAUAUAUGGGUACCUAACCUAGAAAAAUUCUGUGAACGACAUUUUUUAAGCAUGGAUUGGGUAGCAAAAAGUUAUGUUGGACGAGCCACUAAAGAGGUAGUUAUCGAGGAGUUUUUGCGUGUCCUUUGUUUUCGAGUCACGUUUGGUCGGUUUUAGGGCAAAUUCUGUACAACAUGUCAUAUAUGGGUACUUAACUUUGGAAAAAUUCUGUGAAUGGCAUUUUUUAAGCAUGGAUUGGGUAGAAAAAAUUUAUUUUGGAAGAGCCACAAAAGAGGUAGUUAUCGAGGAGUUUUUGCAUGUCAUUUGUUUUUGAGUCGCGUCUGGUCGGUUUUAGGGCAAAUUCCGUACAAGAUGUCAUAUAUGGGUACCUAACUUGGAAAAAUUCUAUGACCGGCUUUUUAAGCAUGGAUUGGGUAGCUGUCGUGGAGUUGUCACGGCAGAUGUCCUCGAGCUAGGACUUAGUCAUGGAGCCAUCGCAACUAGGAAGCUUGAAGGGGUUAUGCGGGACAAGGAACACGAGGGUUUAUACUGGUUCGGCCCCUUAUGGUGAAGGUAAAAGCCUACGUCCAGUUCGAGGUGUUACUGAUUAGGGUUACGAUCGCCAGGGAGCUAAAUAGCUGUGCCCGGCUCUCGAUGAGAUUGUUGUCGCCCCUGAACCGCUGCCGGGUCCUCCCUUUAUAUAGGGAGGCUGACUCCCAGCAGCCCUUAGAGUCCCGGCCGGCUCAUAAGAGCGUCCGGCUCGGACUCUAAACAAUACUUGCCUUACACUACAAGUCUACUAUAACAAUGAUUGCAACUACAGGCUUUAAGCCAUAUCCGAGUCUCAGCCCAUCUCUGGCCCAUUAUCUUGAAACUUGGCUCCGGGCUUCUGGCAACGACCCUACGAGUAACCCGGCCCCUCCUGGCGGGUGACUCUAAGGUCUAUAUCCUCAACAUUAGGCCCCAGAUUGACUUGAGCCGGCUCAUGUCAAUCUUCAACUCUGCCGACAGAGAAAAUCUCCGGCUCACCAUUCAUGUGGAGGCCAUAACCCGGAGUGACGUCAUCCUCUGGACUCCGGAUAAUCCGCCGUGACGUCAUCCUCCAUUAAGUCUGUUUUUUACUCCGCCAGAUCCGCAACGGAUCUUCGCUUUUACUGUCUUUCCGAAAAUCGAGGCGUCGUGAGGGGGAGAUAACCACGCCGUGGUCUCCUUGAAUCUCGGCCCACUUAUGACUCUGCCUUAUAAAUAGGCCGGCCCAACGCUCUCUUCUCACGCUCUCCUUCUUCCUCCUCGCGCUGUCGCUCUUCUGCCUGAGCUCUGCCACUGCCGCCACCGUCGCGCCCCUGCUCUUCAUCAACCCGGCCGCUGCAUCACCCUGACUCGGACCAGAUAACGGCGGCGACUUCCGCUCUUCCUCAACUCCGGUGAGUCUUCUCUGCCUUGCUAGAACAGAUCUGUGGUAGGGUUCCUUCAGCUCUUCGUGUUCGUCACCAUUGCCCACAAACUCGGUAGUCCUCGUUGCCACUGUAGUUGGUUGAUCCUUAACCUUGCGUAGAACCACUGCGGUAGAUGUUUGAGACCCAUUUCAUCUGCAAGAAACCCUCUUUUUACUGCAUAAGAACUGUGUUCAACCUCAAGAACUUCUCCUGCCUCUGUUUUUUAGGUCUAGAAAAUUUUCUCUGCUCCGACCAUUUUGAUCCAAAAAAGUUACGGUAGUAUGUGAAACCUGUUUUACCACACUUAGUAAAAACUGCAACCAUUGAAUCUCGGCGGCUUACAUGUCCGGCUUAAAGAAAACACGCGCCAUAGAACUGUCCGGUUUAAGGAGAACCAUGCUCUGUAGACUCUUCCGGCUUAACUGUAGUAAACUGUAGAUGACCAACUUAUUCUGAAUGCUCCUACGGCUUAGAUAACCCACCAUAUCUGAAUACAUAUCAUUAGUCCCCUUCAUAAGCCGCCACCUUAGUUUGAACAAUAGAUCUCCGGCUUAUAAUUGACCCGGAUACUUUUCUCUUUAUUAUAGACCACCAAACUUCACCAUGCCUCCCAAGGCUCCCAUCACUUGCAACUGGAUGAGAUCCAACGUCACUGACGAGACCCUGGCCAACUUCGUUAAGUCCGGAUAUCUGCCCAAGAAGGAAGUGAUGUCCUACCGUGCCCCUGACCCGUCAGAAGAAAGACCACAACCGAGGGACGGGGAGGUAGUGAUCUUUGCGGACCAUAUGAGCCGGGGCUUCGCACCGCCUGGCUCAAAAUUCUUCCGGGACGUGCUCAACUUCUUUGACCAUCGGCCUCAGGAUAUAGGACCCAAUUCCAUAUCCAACAUCUGCAACUUCCAAGUCUUUUGUGAAGUAUAUCUUGGAGAAGAGCCGAGUCUACUGCUCUUCAGAGAGCUGUUUUAUUUGAACUGCCAAAAUGAGUGUGCCAACGGGCCAAGUCUAGAGUUAGGCGGCAUCUCCAUCCAGCGACGUAGGGACUGUCUGUUCCCUUACGCAGAGCCGCCGAGCCACCCUAAGGACUGGAAUAUGACUUGGUUCUACUGCCAAGACAUGUCCCCGGCUGACGAGAAUCCACUGCCCGGCUUUCGUCCAACACGCCUGGAGCUGACUCAUCCACUAUCCGACAAACUGACUGCCGCGGAACGCCAGCCCCUGCUUCCAACGAUCAACAAGAUCAAGGCCCUGCUAGGCAAUGGUCUGAACGGAAUUGAUCUAGUCCGGGUAUGGAUCUCAUGGCGGGUGAUCCCAUUGAGCCGCCGCCCCGGCUUAAUGUGUGAGUACACCGGGCGAAAGGAUGACCCGCAGAGGCACAGUCGCAAUGAUCUUCCAGAAGACGUGCUGAAGAAGAAACCAAGGCUCUGUUAAAUGAGAGCCUGGCAGACUGUGGAAGGACCGGGCUAGCCCCGUUCUGCAAGACCAAUCUAGCCCCAGCGGUAAGCCGCUGACUUUAACCUUUCAACUUCUUUUGUAUGUCCCCUGGCUCUGAACCAUUUUAAGAAUUCAUUACUGUAUUUCUCAGGCUGAUGAUAAAUUCUGGCGGGUCAAGUAUGACCAUGAGGCGGCCAAGAAGGCCAGGAAGGCGAAGAAAGCCGCCAAGAAAGCCGCCCCUCGCAAGAAGGGAAGCAGACCCACUGCUUCGGAGCUACUGCAAUUAAGCGACAGCUCCGAGUCAGAGGUAACCCUUAAACCUUUAAAUGCUUGCUGCAUAUGUUGUUUGCUGUUGUCCGCCUUAUCAACACUUGCUUAUUGACAGGAUGACACCGGCGCCAGUAACCCGGUGGUUGAAGAGGUAAUGUCACUUUCCUCCGACUCGGAGCCUUUGCCACAGCUGAAAGUCCGAAGAGUAACCCGGAAAGUAAGCUUUUCACAUCCAUUAGCUCAUCAAGACCCUCAAUUUCCUUUGAAGUAGCAGGUUCACGAAAGCCGGCGUCACACCCGGGCCCGCAAGGACACUGACCUCUCCGCCAGGUUACCCGACGUAACAAGGAAGCGUCGCACUGAGGUUUUUUCUCACCUGUACCCUUUUCAUCUGUUGGCGGGUGUCAUCCGUCAGCCACUCAACUCUUCUGACUCCAAUUAUCAGGAGACCUCCCCCUCUUCGGGUGACUCCAUGCAGUCAAGUCUGCCGGCCUUCAAGACUGCCCCCGGGUAAUAACAAUCUCCUUACAUUAUCUGUCUGUAUUUACUCUUUAUAUGCCUAACACUUCUGCCUUUUCAGCGCCCAGGCAAAGCUCACCAAAAGAGCAAAGAAGACCCGGUCAGCCGGAGUGCCGGACUUGCCUGAGCCGGAGGCGACGGCUCAAGAGCCGCCGGCUGCCUCUGCCCCCGAAGCCACCAUUCCAAUGGACACGGCGCCUGAAGUCCUUGCUCCGACUACCAAGACAACGACUGAAGCGGCGGCUAACCCGGAGGCCUCCGGCUCAACCCCUCCAGCAGACGACCCGGACGUGGUGAUCACCCGGACGGAAUUCAUUGAGUCGGGGAGACCGACCGCGUUGGCCAAGUGCUCUCCAGAGUCGGCUGUUGGCAAGAAAUUAGAGUCGGACCUGGCGGAUCUCAAGAGUCGGCUGAAGGCACAAGAGAUGGAGACCCGGAAGGCAAACGCCAAGUUUGUCUCCAGCAUCGCCGCUCAAGAGAAGCUGAAGACCGAAUUUCGAUGCUGAGCGGAAGGCCUGGGCUGAGGAGAAAGCCGCACUGGUAACUCGGGCGGAACAGGCGGAGAAGGCACUCUCUGAAAAAACCGCCGAACUCUCCAGCCUAAAGCGCCAAGUGUCCCAAAUGGUAGCCGCCAUCUUCGGUAAGUCGCCUCACCGGUUUUCAUCCAUGUUAGAAUGUUUACAUCUCCUGAUUCAUCCUUGUCACCGGGUCAUCUGAUGUUGUUAAACAGGUUCCAGAAGCGCCAACCUGAACCAGAGCGUGGUCACCAAGCUAAAGGCCGUGUACACCCUGGUGGAACAGCUCUACACCGGGUCACAGCGGGCCUUAGCUGUGGUGGCCCUAUCGAAUGAGGUGCCAACACAUCUGGCCGAAGUCCUGCGCCGGCUCGCAGUUCUGCCGCAGCGGAUCCAGGAGCUACGACGAGCAUCUGCGAGAGCCGGAGUAAUCGCCGCGCUGAGCCGGGCCAAAGCAUUCUUGCCAGAGCUAGACCCGGCAGACAUCGCCCUGGAUUACCCCAGCCUGAAAGAAGACGGCUCAGCGUUCGACCAGAAGGAUUUCGCGGCGUGUGUGAAGGCUGUGCGCCCGGUGGCCACCAUCAUCGGGAACGACACCGACUUAUCCAAGUAUCAGCCGGGAUACAAUGCGGAGAAUCAGAGGAUUCCAACCCCUCACUACGAAGCUCUCACUCUGAUUCCUCCGGCUCGCCAGCACACCUUCGCCCCGGAGAUUAACCCGGCCGGGUUAAUCAACGAAGAAGCCCAGUUCGAAGCUCUCCGCGGCAUCGACUGGAAGUCGUCAACCUUCGAGGUGUUGGGAACAACUGGAGCAGAAGACGAGCCGGGAACUUCAACCCAGCAGGCAUCAUAAAGCGGCUGGCGGUUCACCAAACAACGCCCCAACCUUGAGACUUGAGGAAUUUUGUAAUAGACUAGGUGCAACAUUUUAUCUCUGCCAUGCCAUCGUGCACGUAAUGAAUGCUGAAAUCCCUUGAAUUUAUCCUUUUAGCGUUCUUCCGGGUCGUAAUCAUCCCUUUGUCCUUCUCAACUUUAAAGGGUGCCUUUAAGUAUCUGCAUAGAAAGGCAAAUCACAAGUCACAAGGCGGCUUACCGCCCUGAGAAUCAGGUGUUUGAGAUGGAUAACCCGGAAUACGAACCAAACAGACUGGUCCUUAAUUUUACUCUGAACAUAGCCAUGAUAACACACUUAACGGCCCGCAAGCAUACUUCCGGUUUAAAUAACCCGGGUAGCACGGUUGGUACCUUAACUCAAAAUUACUUGUCUUGAUGACAUCCAUGAUGUUCAACUAACAAGAUAAACCAAAAUUAAACCGGCAGGUGAGACCCGGCAGUACAUAUUUUGACAUGAUCAGAGUAGAUUUGUGAUAAAAUAUAAAAACUUAGGGGCUUCCGGUUCGAAUACGACCAGAAACUCGGUCCAAAGGGGUUAAGCUAAGAUUCGGAUACGAUCAUAUAGCCCCCAGUGGGUGUGGCGAUGCCAAUCAAGAGGGUAUUGACAGCUAUGUUCUCUUUGGUUCGAAUACGACCCAUGUUUGAACAGGAAGCCCCCAAGUGAUUCUGAAAAUUGUUUAAUGACGCUGAUUCGAAUACGAUCCACGUCGGUUCUCAGAGGGGUUACACUAUGAUUCAAAUAUGACCAAAGGCAACCUCCCAAUGAGCUCGGCACUUUGCCAAUCAAAUGGGUAUCGACAGCUAUGUUCUCUUUGGUUCAAAUACGACCCAUGUUUGAACAGGAAGCCCCCAGGUGACCUUACUGCUUACGGCUAGACUCGGAUACGAUCAUAAGCCGGAUCCUCUUUAAGUUAGCAUUAAAAAACAACACACAUAUAUUUAGAGGAGAGAAAAGGACAGAGGUCCUGCUUUAUUGCUUAUCAUGAUAUAUACAUGGCUGAGAUAAAUAUGUACACCACGAGAGCCGGUAGCUCAAGUGUAGUAAGGCCGAAGCUGAGCUAUGUUCCACGGCCGACGGGUCUCCUCCUCAGACUUACGCGAAUCUUUAUGUUCCCGAACAUCAAUGAGGUAAUAUGACCCGUUGUGCAAGUUCUUACUGACCACAAAGGGCCCUUCCCAAGGUGGGGAUAACUUGUGUGCAUCUGUUUGAUCCUGGAUGAGCCGGAGCACAAGGUCGCCUUCCUGGAAGACCCGGGACUUGACCCGGCGGCUAUGAUAACGGCGCAGGUCUUGUUGGUAAAUCGCUGAACGGGCUACUGCCACAUCACGCUGUUCGUCCAACAAGUCCAGAGCAUCUUGGCGCGCCUGUUCAUUAUCCGUCUCAACAUAAGCCGCCACACGAGGUGAAUCGUGACAUAUGUCGCUGGGGAGGACUGCUUCUGCUCCAUAAACCAUGAAGAAAGGCGUGAAGCCUGUAGACCUGUUAGGAGUAGUGUUGAUGCUCCAUAAGACGGAGGGCAACUCCUCCACCCAACAACCCGGCGUCCGUUGUAAAGGGACCAAAAGCCGGGGUUUGAUGCCCUUCAGAAUCUCCUGGUUAGCUCUCUCAGCUUGACCAUUGGAUUGGGGAUGAGCCACUGAGGAAACAUCAAGUCGGAUAUGCUCUCGUUGACAAAACUCUUCCAUAGCGCCCUUGGAUAGAUUGGUGCCAUUGUCAGUUAUGAUGCUGUGCGGAAAGCCGAAGCGGAAAAUCACCCUUUUCAUAAAUUGAACCGCCGUGGCUGCAUCACACUUGCUAACUGGCUCAGCCUCCACCCACUUCGUGAAUUUGUCAACUGCCACCAAGAGGUGGGUCUUCUUAUCGUUGGACCGUUUAAAAGGCCCAACCAUAUCAAGCCCCCAGACCGCAAAGGGCCAAGUGAUUGGGAUCAUCCUCAACUCCUGAGCCGGCACAUGAGCCCGUCGUGAGAACCUUUGGCAGCCAUCACAUUUACUGACCAAGUCCUCUGCAUCAGCGUGAGCCGUCAGCCAAUAAAAACCAUGACGGAAAGCCUUGGCCACAAGAGAUUUUGAACCGGCAUGAUGGCCACAAUCCCCUUCAUGGAUCUCGCGCAAGAUCUCUUGACCUUCCUCAGGGGAGAUACAACGCUGAAAUAACCCUGAAACACUGCGAUGGUGCAACUCGCCGUCGAUAACAAUCAUUGACUUAGCCCGCCGGGUUAUUUGCCUGGCCAGAGUUACAUCCUCAGGCAAUUCUCCCCGGGUUAUAUAAGCCAGAUAUGGCAUUGUCCAGUCUGGUAUGACAUGAAGAGCCGCCACCAGUCACGCCUCCGGGUCAGGGAUAGCCAAGUCCUCCUUUGUGGGCAACUUGACCGAAGGGUUAUACAGGACAUCCAGGAAAGUGUUCGGCGGCACCGGCUUUCGCUGAGAGCCUAGCCGGCUUAACGCAUCAGCUGCCUCAUUCCUCCUGCGAUCAAUAUGCUCCACUUGGUAUCCCUGGAAGUGCCCAGCAAUGGCAUCAACCUCGCGGCGAUAAGCCGCCAUUAGAGGAUCCUUAGAAUCCCAGGUGCCUGAUACUUGCUGAGCCACCAAGUCUGAGUCACCAAAGCACCUCACCCGGCUUAAGCUCAUCUCCUUAGCCACCCGAAGACCGUGGAGCAAAGCCUCGUAUUCAGCCGCAUUGUUAGUGCAAGGAAACAUCAACCGUAGCACAUAAUGGAAUUUGUCACCUUUAGGGGAAGCCAAAACAACACCAGCCCCCGAGCCCUCCAGCUGCCUGGACCCAUCAAAGUGAAUAGUCCAAUAGGUGUUAUCCGGCUUUUGCUCGGGCACUUGUGACUCUGUCCAAUCAUUGAUGAAAUCCACCAAGGCAUGAGACUUAACAGCAGUGCGUGGCACAUAUUUAAGGCCAUGAGGUCCAAGUUCUAUAGCCCACUUAGCAAUUCUUCCUGUAGCCUCUCUGUUUUGGAUAAUGUCACCAAGAGAGGCGGAACUGACCACAGUGAUAGGAUGACCCUGAAAAUAAUGCUUAAGCUUCCGGCUCGCCAUGAACACACCGUAUACGAGCUUCUGCCAAUGCGGGUACCGCUGCUUGGACUCAAUGAGCACCUCGCUGACAUAAUCAACCGGCCGCUGAACCGUAUGCUCCUUACCCGCCUCCUUGCGCUCCGCCACGAUAGCCACGCUGACGGCUCGUGCGUUUGCCGCUACAUACAGUAGCAAGGGCUCCUUAUCAAUCGGAGCAGCAAGGAUGGGGGGCUCUGCCAGUUGCUUUUCAAAUCCUCAAAAGCGGUAUUAGCUGCAUCAUUCCAGACAAAGUUAUCAGUUUUCUUCAUCAACUGAUAUAGGGGCAUAGCUUUCUCACCCAAGCGGCUUAUAAACCGGCUUAAAGCAGCGAUGCGACCCGCCAAACGCUGAACGUCAUUGAUACAUGCCGGUUUAGCUAGGGAGGUGAUAGCCUUGAUCUUCUCAGGGUUAGCCUCAAUGCCUCUGUCAGAAACCAAGAAGCCCAAUAGUUUUCCUGCAGGAACACCAAAAACACAUUUGGCCGGGUUAAGCAUCAUCUUGUAGACCCGGAGAUUGUCGAAGGUCUCCCUUAAGUCAUCUAUCAGGGUUUCCUCCUUGAUAGAUUUAACCACAAUAUCGUCCACGUAAGCGUGAACAUUGCACCCGAUCUGUUUAUGAAGACAAUUCUGUACACAACGCUGGUAAGUCGCCUGUGCACAUUUGAGUCCAAAGGGCAUAGACACAUAGCAGAAGGCUCCAAAGGGAAUGAUGAACGCCGUCUUCUCCUGGUCCUUAACUGCCAUCUUAAUUUGAUGAUACCCGGAAUAAGCAUCCAAGAAACUUAAGCGUGCGCAACCUGCCGUAGCAUCAAUGAUUUGAUCAAUACGGGGGAGGGCAAAAGGAUCAGCCGGACACGCUUUGUUCAAGUCCGUGUAGUCCACACACAUCCGCCAGGUGCCGUUCUUCUUGAGCACGAGCACCGGGUUAGCUAACCACUCUGGGUGAAAGACUUCAAUGAUAAACCCGGCCGCCAAGAGCCGGGCCACUUCUUCACCAAUAGCCUUUCGCCUCUCUUCAUUAAACCACCGAAGGAAUUGUCUGACCGGCUUAAAUUUCAGAUCAACAUUGAGAGUGUGCUCAGCGAGUUCUCUAGGUACACCCGGCAUGUCAGAAGGUUUCCAUGCGAAGAUGUCCCUAUUCUCACGGAUGAACUCGAUGAGCGCGCUUUCCUAUUUCGGGUCCAGAUUUGCACUGAUGCUAAACUGCUGAAACGAGUCACCUGGAACAAAAUCAACAAGCUUAGUCUCGUCAGCUGACUUAAAUUUCAUUGCUGGUUCGUUCUCCGUGAUUGGCUUUUUCAGAGAGGUCAUAUUUGUUGGGUCAACAUUGUCUUUAUAAAACUUCAACUCCGCUAUGGCGCAAACAGACUCUGCAUAAGCCGCAUCACCUUCCUCACACUCCAGAGCCACUUUCCGGCUGCCAUGAACCGUAAUGGUCCCAUUGUGACCCGGCAUCUUGAGCUGUAAGUACACAUAACACGGCCGUGCCAUGAACUUGGCGUAAGCCGGCCGUCCGAAUAUAGCAUGGUAUGGACUUCUUAUCUUGACCACCUCAAAGGUCAACUUCUCCACCCUGUAAUUGUUCUCAUCACCAAAAGCCACUUCCAAUUCGAUCUUGCCGACUGGAUAAGCCGACUUACCGGGUACCACACCGUGGAAGAUAGUGUUUGACUGGCUGAGGUUCUUAUCAACCAACCCCAUACGGCGAAAAGUCUCAUAAUGGAGGAUAUUGAUGCUGCUACCUCCAUCCAUGAGUACCUUUGUAAACUUGUAACCUCCCACCUGAGGAGCCACCACUAAGGCCAAGUGGCCCGGGUUAUCCACCCGGGGAGAGUGAUCCUCCCUGCUCCAUACUAUAGGCUGCUCAGACCAUCGCAAGUAGCGUGGAACUGCCGGCUCAAUGGCAUUAACAGCCCUCUUGUGAAGCUUCUGAUCUCGUUUGCACAAACUGGUGGUGAACACAUGAUACUGUCCACCGCUAAGCUGCUUUGGGUUGGUCUGAUAACCCCCCUGCUGCUGUUGGUGACCUUGACCAGACUGUUGAUUAAAGCCGCCUUGACCGUUCUGAGGACCGGAACAUGAGCCACCACCCGGGCCAUGAAAGCCACCGGCGCCUGAGCCGCCGGCUCCUGAGCCGCCACCCGGGCCAUUGUAGUUUUUAAAGGCCUUCAUGAUUGCACAAUCCUUCCACAGAUGAGUCACCGGUUUUUCCCUAGAGCCGUGUCUCGGACAAGGCUCAUUCAACAGCUGCUCCAGAGAAGGUCCUGACCCGCCGCCUCGGGGAGGGGGCCUCCCCUUGCGUCGUUGGUUGUUACCUUGGGAGUUGGCAUUGGCUACGAACUCUAGGCUACCAUCGGCCUUGCGCUUGCCUCCUCCUUGGUUUCCCGGGUUAAACUGAGGACCCUUGCCAUUGCCGUUCUUCUUUCCCUUCCCUAUCCUCUCAUCAUCUGAAGGGGGAUCCUUGGUAUCAUCGGAAUCGGCGUACUUGACAAGAGCCGCCAUUAGUGUACCCAUAUCAGUGCAGUCCCGUUUAAGCCGCCCAAGUUUCAUCUUUAGGGGCACAAAGCGACAGUUUUAUUCCAACAUUAAGACUGCAGAGCCGGCAUCCAUCUUAUCCGAUGAAUGUAUGAUCUCCUUGACCCGGCGAACCCAAUGGGUCGUGGAUUCACCCUCCUGCUGCUUACAAUUAGUCAAAUCCACAAUUGACAUAGACUGCCUACAGGUAUCUUUGAAGUUUUUAAUGAACCAGGCUUUCAGCUCAGCCCAAGACCCAAUGGAGUUCGGUGGCAGCCCUUUCAACCACGUGCGGGCAGUUCCAUCUAACAUCAUGGUGAAAUAUUUGGCCAUGGCCGCCUGACUAACCUCCAGCAGCUCCAUAGCCAUCUCAUAACUCUCAAUCCAGGCUGCAGGCUGUAAGUCUGCCGUAUAGUUAGGCACCUUCCUAAGGCCUUUGAAGUCCUUGGGCAAACGUUCAUUACGGAUAGCUGGCACCAAACAAGGGACACCCCCGGUCCUGGUAGAGAUACCCACAUCAACAGAAGUCGUUGGAUAAGCCGGGGGGUCUGGUAAGCCGUUAAUUGAGGCACCUGCUCCGCCUCCUGCCGCGCUUGGUCUGCUGCGUGAAAAGCUCCCUUAUGAACCGGGCCAUGGCCAGGGAGCGGGUCAUGGCGUCGGACAUUACUUGAGCCGGUUGCUGAGUCCAUGUGCCGGCUGUAACUCGGGCUCUGGCCUGGUCGAGGGGUCGAAUGGAUCCUGUCCCGGCUAUAGGAGUACGCUUCUUGCUGUGCCAGAGCCGUCUGUAGGAGUUCCCUGACCCGGCGGGUUUCGAUGGCCGCCGGAGAGUCGCCGUCAACGGGGAGAGCCGCCAGUCGUGCUGCCGCAGCUACCAUGUUCUCCAGCGGGUUAUCGUAAUGACCCGGGGGUAUUGGCACAUACUGAGGUGGGGCAGGGGGCACCUGGGGAGGCCCCAUCACUCGUGGCUGAAUAAGGGAUCCUGACCCGGGCGCAAUGACCCCUGGCGGGUUACUAGACCCUGCACCCGGCGUGUUGAAGAGAUUGCGUGGAUCGUAAACCGGUGGGAGUCGAGAUUGGGCCUUCUGACGCCUCCUUCUCAUGACCUCAUUGGCCGCGUUCUGAUCCAUCGUGAGUUGGAAAGACUGCGCCUGAAUCAGCUGAGUCCGGGCGUCGAGAGCCGCCCGCUCCGCAGCCAACCUGAUCCCUUCCGCUGCAAGAUCCUCUAUAGCUUUUAUCAGAUCCAAUUUUAACUAUGCCACCUCCGCAUCAUGCCAAGCUUGAUCUGCCGGGUCAACCGUGGCAGUUAACAGGGCCGUCAUUUUGUCCGUGAGAUCCAUCAGCACCUGAGCCAGGGAAGGCACCGGGUUUCCCGAUCCGGCAGCGGGGUUCUGAACAGGCUGCGCACCGGCCAUAAAAACUCCAACCUGACUUGGCGGCUCAAAAAGGUCCGGAAUACUGUCGCCAUCGGAACAGCCCAUGAACCUGCCAUCUUGAAGUUGGUACAACGAGUUUGAUUCAUCAGUGGCUGACUCGCCGUCAGAGCCAGCGGCCGCCUCAUCACCAGACCCGGAUGGAUCACAGGGCCCUCCAUGGAUGCAUCCCACAAAAGCGCGCCUUAAGGCAGGCCGGGCCCGGGCGGGUCGUGCGCGCUGAGCCGUUUCGAUGAGAUCGGCGCAGAGAUCCGGCUCGGGGCCCGGCUCACCGAUCUUGCCAAUGAAGACAUGAAUUCCGCCAAAGGGGACCCGGUACCCGUACUCAAUUGAGCCGGCGUCAGGGCCCCAGUCCUCGUCGUCGAUGUAGAGCUUGCCGCGACGACUCUUGGUCAUCCGGCCUAUGGCGUAUCCCUUGAGCCCUUCGAAGCUGCCCUUCAAGAACUCAAAUCCACCGUGCGCUGACCCCACUAUGGGCGCCAACUGUCGUGGAGUUGUCACGGCAGGUGUCCUCGAGCUAGGACUUAGUCGUGGAGCCAUCGCAACUAGGAAGCUUGAAGGGGUUAUGCGGGACAAGGAACACAAGGGUUUAUACUGGUUCGACCCCUUACGGUGAAGGUAAAAUCCUACGUCCAGUUCGAGGUGUUACUGAUUAGAGUUACGAUCGCCAGGGAGCUAAACAGCUAUGCCCGGCUCUCGAUGAGAUUGUUGUCGCCCCUGAACCGCUGCCGGGUCCUCCCUUUAUAAAGGGAGGCUGACUCCCAGCAGCCCUUAGAGUCCCGGCCGGCUCAUAAGAGCGUCCGGCUCGGACUCUAAAUAAUACUUUCCUUACACUACAAGUCUACUAUAACAAUGAUAGCAACUACGGGCUUUAAGCCAUAUCCGGGUCUCAGCCCAUCUCUGGCCCAUUAUCUUGAAACUUGGCUCCGGGCUUCUGGCAACGACCCUACGAGUAACCCGGCCCCUCCUGGCGGGUGACUCUAAGGUCUAUAUCCUCAACAGUAGCCAAAAGUUAUUUUGGACGAGCCACGAAAGAGGUAUUUAUCGAGCAGUUUUUGCGUGUCCUUUGUUGUCGAGUCGCGUUUGGUCGGUUUUAGGGUAAAUUCUGUACAAGAUGUCAUGUAUGGUUACCUAACUUGGAAACUUUCUAUGAACGGAAUUUUUUAAGAAUGGAUUGGGUAGCUAAAAGUUAUUUUGUACGAGCCAAGGAAGAGGUAGUUAUAGAGGAGGUUCUGCGUGUCCAUUGUUUUCGAGUCGCGUUUGGUUGGUUCAAGGGCAAAUUUUGUACAAGAUGUCAUAUAUGGGUACCUAACUUGGAAAAAUUCUGUGAAUGACAUUUUUUAAGCAUUGAUUGGGUAGCCAAAAGUUAUGUUGGACGAGCCACUAAAGAGGUAGUUAUCGAGGAGUUUUUGCGUGUCCUUUGUUUUUGAGUCGCGUUUGGUCGAUUUUAGGGCAAAUUCUGUACAACAUGUCAUAUAUGGGUUGGGUUAUAAAAAGUUAUGUUGGACGAGCCACUAAAGAGGUAGUUAUCGAGGAGUUUUUGCGUGUCCUUUGUUUUCGAGUCGCGUUUGGUCGAUUUUAGUGCAAAUCCUGUACAACAUGUCAUAUAUGGGUACCUAACUUUGGAAAAAUAAUAUGAAUGGCAUUUUUAUGCAUGGAUUGGGUAGCAAAAAGUUAUUUCGGAAGAGCCACGAAAGAGGUAGUUAUCGAGUCACGUUUNNNNNNNNNNNNNNNNNNNNNNNNNNNNNNNNNNNNNNNNNNNNNNNNNNNNNNNNNNNNNNNNNNNNNNNNNNNNNNNNNNNNNNNNNNNNNNNNNNNNNNNNNNNNNNNNNNNNNNNNNNNNNNNNNNNNNNNNNNNNNNNNNNNNNNNNNNNNNNNNNNNNNNNNNNNNNNNNNNNNNNNNNNNNNNNNNNNNNNNNNNNNNNNNNNNNNNNNNNNNNNNNNNNNNNNNNNNNNNNNNNNNNNNNNNNNNNNNNNGUCCUUUGUUUUUGAGUCGCGUUUGGUCGAUUUUAGGGCAAAUUCUGUACAACAUGUCAUAUAUGGGUUGGGUUAUAAAAAGUUAUGUUGGACGAGCCACUAAAGAGGUAGUUAUCGAGGAGUUUUUGCGUGUCCUUUGUUUUCGAGUCGCGUUUGGUCGAUUUUAGGGCAAAUCCUGUACAACAUGUCAUAUAUGGGUACCUAACUUUGGAAAAAUAAUAUGAAUGGCAUUUUUAUGCAUGGAUUGGGUAGCAAAAAGUUAUUUCGGAAGAGCCACGAAAGAGGUAGUUAUCGAGUCACGUUUGCUCGGUUUUAGGGCAAAUUCUAUACAAGAUGUCAUAUAUGGGUACCUAACUUGGAAAAAUUCUAUGACCGGCUUUUUAAGCAUGGAUUGGGUAGCCAAAAGUUAUUUUGGACGAGCCAUGAAAGAGGUAGUUAUCAAGGAGUUUUUGCGUUUCCUUUGUUUCGAGUCGCGUUUGGUCGGUUUUAGGGCAAAUUUUGUACAACAUGUCAUAUAUGGGUACCUAACUUGGAAACAUUCGGUGAACGACAUUUUAUAAGGAUGGAUUGGGUAGCAAAAAUUUAUGUUGAACAAGCCACGAUAGAGGUAGUUACUGACGAGUUUUUGCAUGUCCUUUGUUUUUGAGUCGCGUUUGGUCGGUUUUAGGGCAAAUUCUGUACAAGAUGUAAUAUAUGGGUACCUAACUUGGAACAAUUAUGUGAACGACAUUUUUAAGCAUGGAUUGGGUUAUAAAAAGUUGUGUUGGACGAGCCACGAAAGAGUUAGUUAUCGAGGAGUUUUUACGUGUCCUUUGUUUGGAUUGGGUAGCAAUAAGUUAUUUUGGGCAAGCCACCAAAGAGGUAAUUAUUGAGGAGUUUCUUCAUGUCGCGUUUGGUUGGUUUUAGGGAAAAUUUUGUAACAGAUGUCAUAUAUGGUACCUACCUUGGAAAUUUUCUGCGAACGGCAUUCUUUUAAGCAUGGACUUGGUAGCUAAAUUUAUUUUGGACGAGCCACAAAAGAGGUAGUUAUCGAGGAGUUUCUGCGUGUCCUUUGUUUUCGAGUCGCGUUUGGUCGGUAUUAGGGCAAAUUCUAUAACAGAUGCCAUAUAUGGUACCUAACUUGGAAAAUUUUUGUGAACGGCGUUUUUUAAGCAUGGAUUGGACAGCAAAAAGUUAUUUUGGACGAGCCACGAAAGAGGUAUUUAUCGAGGAGUUUUUUCGUGUCCUUUGUUUUCGAGUUGCGUUUGGUCGGUUUUAGGGUAAAUUAUGUACAAGAGGUCAUCUAUGGUUACCUAACUUGGAAAAUUUCUAUGAACAGAGUUAUUUAUGAAUGGAUUGGGUAGCUAAAAGUUAUUUUGGACGAGCCAAGAAAGAGGUAGUUAUAGAGGAGGUUUUGCGUGUCCUUUGUUUUCGAGUCGCGUAUGGUUUGUUCAAGGGCAAAUUCUGUACAAGAUGUCAUAUGUGGGUACCUAACUUAGAAAAAUUCUGUGAACGACAUCUUUUAAGCAUGGACUGGGUAGCAAAAAGUUAUGUUGGACGAGGCACUAAAGAGGUAGAUAUCGAGGAGUUUUUGCGUGUCCUUUGUUUUUGAGUCGCGUUGGUCAGUUUUAGGGCAAAUUCUUUACAACAUGUCAUAUAUGGGUACCUAACUUUGGAAAAAUUCUGUGAAUGGCAUUUUUUAAGCAUGGAUUGGGUAGCAAAAAGUUAUUUUGGAAGAGCCACGAAAGAGGUAGUUAUCGAGGAGUUUUUGCAUGUCAUUUGUUUUCGAGUCGCGUUUGGUCGGUUUUAGGGCAAAUUCUGUACAACAUGUCAUAUAUGGGUUGGGUUAUAAAAAGUUAUGUUGGACGAGCCACGAAAGAGUUAGUUAUCGCGGAGNNNNNNNNNNCUUUGUUUUUGAGUCGCGUUGGUCAGUUUUAGGGCAAAUUCUUUACAACAUGUCAUAUAUGGGUACCUAACUUUGGAAAAAUUCUGUGAAUGGCAUUUUUUAAGCAUGGAUUGGGUAGCAAAAAGUUAUUUUGGAAGAGCGACGAAAGAGGUAGUUAUCGAGGAGUUUUUGCAUGUCAUUUGUUUUCGAGUCGCGUUUGGUCGGUUUUAGGGCAAAUUCUGUACAACAUGUCAUAUAUGGGUUGGGUUAUAAAAAGUUAUGUUGGACGAGCCACGAAAGAGUUAGUUAUCGCGGAGUUUUUGCGAGUCCUUUGUUUUUGAGUCGCAUUUGGUAGGUUUAAGGGCAAAUUAUGCACAAGAUGUCAUAUAUGGGUACCUAACUUGGAAAAAUUAUGUAAACGGCAUUUUUGAAGCAUGGAUUGGGUAGCAAAAAUUUAUUUUGGACGAGCCAUAAAAGAGAAAUUUAUCCAGGAGUUUUUCCGUGUCCUUUGUUUUCGAGUCGCAUUUGGUUGGUUUUAGGGCAAAUUCUGGACAAGCUGUCAUAUAUGGGUACCUAACUUGGAAAAAUUCUGUGACCAGCAUUUUUUAAGCAUUGAUUAGGUAGCAAUAAGUUAUUUUGGAUGACCAAGAAAGAGGUAGUUAUCGAGUAGUUUUCCCGUGUCCUUUGUUUUUGAGUCGCGUUUGGUCGGUUUUAGGGCAAAUUCUGUACAAGACAUCAUAUAUGGAUACCUAACAUGGAAAAAUUCUGUGAACGAAAUUUUUGAAGCAUGGAUUGGGUAGCAAAAAGUUAUUUUGGACAAGCCACGAAAGAGGUAGUUAUGGAGGAAUUUUUGCGUGUCCUUUGUUUUUGAGUCGCGUUUCGUCGGUUUUAGGGUAAAUUCUGUACAAGUUGUCAUAUAUGGGUAACAACUUGGAAAUAUUCUGUGGACGACAUUUUUAAGCAUGGAUUGGGUAGCAAAAAGUUAUUUUUGGCAAGCCGCCAAAGAGGUAAUUAUCGAGGAGUUUCUGCGUGUCCUUUCUUUCCGAGUCGUGUUCGGUCGGUUUUAGGGCCAAUUCUAUAAUAGAUGUCAUAUAUGGUACCUACCUUGGAAAUUUUCUGCGAACGGCAUUUUUUUAAGCAUGGAUUUGGUAGCAAAAUUUAUUUUGGACGAGCCACAAAAGAGGUAGUUAUCGAGGAGUUUCUGUGUGUCCUUUGUUUUCGAGUCGCGUUUGGUCGGUUUUAGGGCAAAUUCUAUAACAGAUGCCAUAUAUGGUAGCUAACUUGGAAAAUUUCUGUGAACGACAUUUUUUAAGCAUGGAUUGGGCAGCAAAAAGUUAUUUUGGAUGUGCCACAAAAGAGGUAUUUAUCGAGGAGUUUUUGCGUGUCCUUUGUUUUCGAGUCGCGUUUGGUCGGUUUUAGGGUAAAUUCUGUACAAGAUGUCAUGUAUGGUUACCUAACUUGGAAAAUUUCUAUGAACGGAAUUUUUUAAGAAUGGAUUGGGUAGCUAAAGUUAUUUUGGACGAGCCAAGAAAGAGGUAGUUAUAGAGGAGGUUUUGCGUGUCCUUUGUUUUCGAGUCGCGUUUGGUUGGUUCAAGGGCAAAUUCUGUACAAGAUGUCAUAUAUGGGUACCUAACUUGGAAAAAUUCUGUGAACGACAUUUGUUAAGCAUGGAUUGGGUAGCAAAAAGUAAUGUUGGACGAGCCACUAAAGAGGUAGUUAUCGAGGAGUUUUAGCGUGUCCUUUGUUAUCGAGUGGCGUUUGGUCGGUUUUUAGCGCAAAUUCUGUACAACAUGUCAUAUAUGUGUACCUAACUUUGGAAUAAUUCGGUGAAUGGCAUUUUUAAGCAUGGAUUGGGUAGAAAAAACUUAUUUUGGAAGAGCCACGAAAGAGGUAGUUAUCGAGGAGUUUUUGCAUGUCAUUUGUUUUUGAGUCGCGUUUGGUCGGUUUUAGGGAAAAAUCUGUACAAGAUGUCAUAUAUGGGUACCGAACUUGGAAAAAUUAUAUGACCGGCUUUUUAAGCAUGGAUUGGGUAGCCAAAAGUUAUUUUGGACGAGCCACAAAAGAGGUAUUUAUCGAGGAGUUUUUGCGUGUCAUUUGUUGUCGAGUCGCGUUUGGUCGGUUUUAGGGUAAAUUCUGUACAAGAUGUCAUGUAUGGUUACAUAACUUGGAAAAUUUCUAUGAACGGAAUUUUUUAAGAAUGGAUUGGGUAGCUAAAAGUUAUUUUGGAUGAGCCAAGGAAGAGGUAGUUAUAGAGAAGGUUUUGCGUGUCCUUUGUUUUUGAGUCGCGUUUGGUUGGUUCAAGGGCAAAUUUUGUACAAGAUGUCAUAUAUGGGUACCUACUUGGAAAAAUUCUGUCAAUGACAUUUUUUAAGCAUAGAUUGGGUAGCAAAAAGUUAUGUUGGAUGAGCCACUAAAGAGGUAGUUAUCGAGGAGUUUUUGCGUGUCCUUUGUUUUCGAGUCGCAUUUGGUCGGUUUUAGGGCAAAUUCUGUAAAACAUGUCAUAUAUGGGUACCUAACUUUGGAAAAAUUCUAUAAAUGGCAUUUUUAAGCAUGGAUUGGGUAGCAAAAAGUUAUUUUGGAAGAGCCACGAAAGAGGUAGUUAUCGAGUCACGUUUGGUCGGUUUUUGGGCAAAUUCUGUACAAGAUGUCAUAUAUGGGUACCUAACUUGGAAAAAUUCUAUGACCGGCUUUUUAAGCAUGGAUUGGGUAGCCAAAAUUUAUUUUGGACGAGCCAUGAAAGAGGUAGUUUUUGCGUAUCCUUUGUUUCGAGUCGCGUUUGGUCGGUUUUAGGGCAAAUUUUGUACAACAUUUCAGAUAUGGGUACCUAACUUGGAAACAUUCAGUGAACAACAUUUUAUAAGUAUGGAUUGGGUAGCAAAAAUUUAUGUUGGACGAGCCACGGUAGAGGUAGUUACCGAGGAGUUUUUGCAUGUCCUUUGUUUUUGAGUCGCGUUUGGUCGGUUUUAGGGCAAAUUCUGUACAACAUGUAAUAUAUGGGUACCUAACUUGGAAAAAUUAUGUGAAAAACAUUUUUAAACAUGGAUUGGGUUAUAAAAAGUUAUGUUGGACGAGCCACGAAAGAGUUAGUUAUCGAGGAGUUUUUGCGUGUCCUUUGUUUUCGAGUCCCGUUUGGUAGGUAUAAGGGCAAAUUAUGCACAAGUUUUCAUAUAUGGGUACCUAACAUGGAAAAAAUAUGUAAACAACAUUUUUUAAGCAUGGAUUGGGUAGAAAAAAGUUAUUUUUGACAAGCCGUGAAAGUGAUAUUUAUAAAAGAGAUUUUGCGUGUCCUUUGUUUCGAGUCAUGUUUGGUCGGUUUUAGGGAAAAUUGUGGACAAGCUAUCACAUAUGGGUACCUAACUUUGAAAAAUUCUGUGAGCAGCAUUUUUUAAGCAUGGAUUGGGUAGCACUAAGUUAUUUUGGAUGAGCCAAGAAAUAGGUAGUUAUCGAGUAGUUUUUGCAUGUCAUUUGUUUUCGAGUCACGUUUGGUCGGUUUUAGGGCAAAUUCUAUAGAAGACGUCAUAUAUGGGUACCUAACGUGGAAAAAUUAUGUAAACGACAUUUUUUAAGCAUGGAUUGGGUAGCAAAAAGUUUUUUUGGACGAGACAUGAAAGAGGUAUUUAUCGAGGAGUUUUUGCGUGUCCUUUGUUUUCGAGUCGCGUUUGGUCGGUUUUAGGGCAAAUUCUAGACAAGCUGUCAUAUAUGGGUACCUAACUUGGAAAUAUUCUGUGAGUAGCAUUUUCAGCAUGGAUUGGGUAGCAAUAAGUUUUUUGAGUCGCGUUUGGUUGGUUUUAGGGCAAAUUCCGUACAAGAUGUAAUAUAUGGGUACCUAACUUGGAAAAAUUGUGUGAACGGCAUUUUUAAUUAUGGAUUGGCUUAUAAAAAGUUAUGUUGGAGGAGCCACGAUAGAGUUAGUUAUCGAGGAGUUUUUGCGUGUCCUUUGUUUUCGAGUCGCAUUUGGUCGGUUUUAGGACAAAUUCUGUACAACAUGUCAUAUAUGGGUACCUAACUUUGGAAAAAUUAUGUGAAUGGCAUUUUUUUAGGAUGGAUUGGGUAGCAAAAAGUUAUUUUGGAAGAGCCACGAAAGAGGUUGUUAUCGAGGAGUUUUUGCAUGUCAUUUGUUUUCGAGUCGCGCUUGGUCGGUUUUAGGGCACAUUCUGUACAAGAUGUCUUAUAUGGGUACCUAACUUGGAAAAAUUCUGUGAAUGACAUUUUUUAAGCAUGGAUUGGGUAGCAAAAAGUUAUGUUGGACGAGCCACUAAAGAGGUAGUUAUCGAGGAGUUUUUGCGUGUUCUUUGUUUUUGAGUCGUGUUUGGUCGGUUUUAGGGCAAAUUCUGGACAAGCUAUCACAUAUGGGUACCUAACUUGGAAAAAUUCUGUGAGCAGCAUUUUUUAAGCAUGGAUUGGGUAGCAAUAAGUUAUUUUGGAUGAGCCAAGAAAGAGGUAGUUAUCGAGUAGUUUUUGCAUGUCAUUUGUUUUCGAGUCGCGUUUGGUCGGUUUUAGGGCAAAUUCUAUACAAGACGUCAUAUAUGGGUACCUAACGUGGAAAAAUUAUGUAAACGACAUUUUUUAAGCAUGGAUUGGGUAGCAAAAAGGUUUUUUGGACGAGCCAUGAAAGAGGUAUUUAUCGAGGAGUUUUUGCGUGUCCUUUGUUUUCAAGUCGUGUUUGGUCGAUUUUAGGGCAAAUUCUAGACAAGCUGUCAUAUAUGGGUACCUAACUUGGAAAAAUUCUGUGAGUAGCAUUUUCAAGCAUGGAUUGGGUAGCAAUAAGUUAUUUUGGACGAGCCAAGAAAGAGGUAGUUACCGAGGAGUUUUUGCGUGUCCUUUGUUUUUUGAGUCGCGUUUGGUUGGUUUUAGAGCAAAUUCCGUACAAGAUGUAAUAUAUGGGUACCUAACUUGGAAAAUUUAUGUGAACGACAUUUUUAAUUAUGGAUUGGGUUAUAAAAAGUUAUGUUGGAGGAGCCACGAUAGAGUUAGUUAUCGAGGAGUUUUUGCGUGUCCUUUGUUUUCGAGUCGCGUUUGGUCGGUUUUAGGGCAAAUUCUGUACAACAUGUCAUAUAUGGGUGUAACACCCCAGAUGUAACUUUCCAUAUUUGCAACUUCAACUCUUGCCAUUUUUGGCGAUGUGUUAUGACAUUCCCUUCGUGGUCGGGUUUUGUUUUCCGUUUUGCAUUUUGCUUUUGUCAUGCAUCUCAUAUCAUGUCAUCAUGUGCAUUGCAUUUGCAUACGUGUUCUUCUUUUGCAUCCGAGCAUUUUCCCAGUUGUCCGUUUUGCAAUCCGGCACUCCCACCUCCUCCAGCGCACCCCUCUUGUUUUCUUUUCGUGAGCGGGUGUUGAACAUUCUCGAAAUGGACCGAGGCUUGCCAAGCGGCCUUGGUAUACCACCGGUAGACCACCUGUCAAGUUUCGUUCCAUUUGAAGGUCGUUUGGUACUCCAACGGUUAACCGAGCAACCGCAAAGUCCUUUUGUGUGUUGCAGCAAAACCCCCCUCCUAAUAGCCCAAAACCCAUCUAAGUCACUUCCAUACUCUAGGUCGUUCGAUCACGAUCGUGUGGGCGAAAACCGUGCUCAAUAUGGAGUCUCCUAGCUCCCUCUACCUAUAAAAACACCUCCCCCUCCAAAAUCUGGGCGAAACCCUAGCAAAAAUCGUCCUCCGCGCCGCCGGACGCGUCCACUCCCGCCGGACGAACCCGCCGCCGCGCCCCGCCCACUCACAGCGCGACACGUGGCUUCGCUCCGUCGCCCGCGCCGCCGGCCCGCUGGGCCCGUACGCCGCCCCCGCGGGCCCGUGCGCCCCGCCCCCGAGCCCGCGCCCGACCCCGGCGCCUCCUCCUCCUCUCUUCCCCGACCGCCGCGCCUCUCCUUCCUCCGGCCUCGUCCUCUCCCGACUCCGGCGAGCUCGAGCUCAAACCCUAGCUCCGGCGAGCUCCCGAUCCGAUCUGUCCAGAGGUUGACUUUCCCUCCCCCCGUUUUUUUUCUCCAAGUCCUGAGAAUUUUUACAUUCUGUUGCAUACUUUGACGCAUCAUAACUCUCUGAAUAUAGCUCUGUUUCAUGCGUGUAAUAUAUCGAAAUGUUCAUCUCGAGAUGCUCUUCAUUUUGUUCCAUUGCAGCAUGUUCAUUUGAGUCCAUCUUGAGGCCCAAAUAUCUGGUGCAAGAGUGCUAGUUGCUGUUAACUGCUGUUACUUAUCAGAACAUGAGGAUUUGUUAUUUUUGUUGCUAUUAAUGUGUGCAUCUUAUGAGUAGGAGCUCAACAGGUGUUUUGAUGUAUGCCAUUCCAUCUUUACAGAGGUGUAUGCCAUGUAUUUUGGUGAUCUCUGUGGUGACUAGCACAAGCAUGCAAACUAGGCUUCGUAAUGUUUCUGAUUUCAGGGACUUCGUAAUUUUACCAAGUCUGUGACUGCUGUUAUUGUGUUGCUAUGUAUCCAUGUGGCUACAGAGCGAUGCAUGCUUAUUUUGGGGAUGUUCAGUAAGAAUCUUUUGUAUAUAUAGUUGUGCCCUAUCAAUCCAUGCCUCUUUUUGCAAUUAUCGAGUGACAUAGCUUGACCCAAUCUUGCUCUACUUUUGCUCUAAAAUAUUUCUGGCAGAUUGUUUACGUGUUAUUCAAUUUUGCCAAGCUUGUUGUAGUUGAUCCAUGCAUGCUAUGAACUUGCUCUUGCCAUGGAUAGAUUUGCACACAUGCCAUCUUACUGUAGGUAUGCUUGUUUUGUCAUGCAUUGCUUUGUGGUGAGUUCAUCAAGCUCACAAAGAUGCCUUCAUAUUACUGUUUCUAUCAUAUUACUGUCAUCAAGCUCACCAAGUCUGUAACAUGUUAACGAAACUUGCUAUGUUUACAUGGUUGCCAUCAUAUCUUCUGGUCCUUUUUGGCUUAUGGUCAGUAAGGGACUUUUGUUAUAUGCAUUUAUUAGAAUACUGACAUGCCUUGUUUUGCCAUGUUAAGUUCCUAUAGCAUGUUGAUUGCUUGCUCUGAACAUUGCUACCUGAUGCUGUUUAUGCCAUGUCCAGUAAUUUCACCAAGUCUGUGAACAUGAUAUCUUUUGCACUUUUGCCAUGCCUGUUUGAACCUGCUGUGGUGUGAUCUAGCCGUAGCUCAUUGUUCAUCUUUUUUCAAGCACCUCCUGUAGAUUACUGCCAUAUGCUUUGCUGCUAUGUUGGGGUGCUGUGGCAUUGUUACUUGUUGCAUUCUAAGUGCUAUCAUGCUGUUAAUCGCAGAUUCGUGUCAUUCUUGUUUUGCUUGCCAUUUGCAAACCGUGCAUCCGUUUCCGGUGAUCUUUAUAUCGAUUUCAACCGAAAUCAUCUCAUCUUUCCAGUGGCAUGCUUGGUUUGUCAAUUUACUGCCUUGUUCAUCAUUUUUCUUCCGGAGCACGCAUAUGCAUCGCAUAUCAUAUCUUGCAUAUCAUUCAUGUAUUGCAUCAUGUUGCUUGUGCAUUUCCCGUGAUUGAUUGUGGUUCCAUUGCUUGUGUUCUUGUUUUAGGUAGAGCCGGGAGACGAGUUCGUGAAUGAGGAACCUGUUGAGUACGCUUACGAGGAUCAAGCUUUCGACAACUCUGAGAACCUUGCAGGCAAGAUGACCAUACCCUCGAAAUCACUUCUAUCUUUGCUUUGCUAGUUGUUCGCUCUUUGCCAUGCUGCGCUACCUACCACUUGCUAUAUCAUGCCUCCCAUAUUGCCAUGUCAAGCCUCUAACCAUCCUUUCCUAGCAAACCGUUGUUUGGCUAAGUUACCGCUUUUGCUCAGCCCUUCUUAUAUCGUUGCUAGUUGCAGGUGAAGUUGAAGGUGGUUCCAUCUUGGAACAUGGAUAUAUUGGGAUAUCACAAUAUCUCUUAUUUAAUUAAUGCAUCUAUAUAUUUGGUAAAGGGUGGAAGGCUCGGCCUUAUGCCUGGUGUUUUGUUCCACUCUUGCCGCCCUAGUUUCUGUCAUACCGGUAUUAUGUUCCUUGAGUUUGCGUUCCUUACGCGGUUGGGUGAUUUAUGGGACCCCCUUGACAGUUCGCCUUGAAUAAAACUCCUCCAGCAAGGCCCAACCUUGGUUUUACCAUUUUCCACCUAAGCCUUUUUCCCCCGGGUUUUCGCGAGCCUGAGGGUCAUCUUUAUUUAAACCCCCGGGCCAGUGUUCCUCUGAAUGCUAGUCCAACCUAGAGCACCGUGCGGGACCGUCCCUUGGCAACUUGGGUUAUGUUGGUACCUGUACGCUUCGCUUAUCCGGUGUGCCCUGAGAACGAGAUAUGUGCAGCUCCUAUCGGGAUUUGUCUGCACAUUCGGGCGGCUUUGCUGGUCUUGUUUUACCAUUGUCGAAAUGUCUUGUAAACCGGGAUUCCGAGACUGAUCGGGUCUUCCUGGGAGAAGGUUUAUCCUUCGUUGACCAUGAGAGCUUAUGAUGGGCUGUGUUGGGACACCCCUGUAGGGUAUUAUCUUUCGAAAGCCGUGCCCGCGGUUAUGAGGCAGAUGGGAAUUUGUUAAUGUCCGGUUGUAGAGAACUUGGCACUUGACCCAAUUAAAAUACAUCAUCUGUGUGUGUAACCGUGAUGGCCUCUUCUCGGCGGAGUCCGGGAAGUGAACACGGUUUGAGUUAUGCAUGAACGUAAGUAGUUUCAGGAUCACUUCUUGAUCAUGUCUAGCUUCGCGACCGUUGCGUUGCUUCUCUUCUCGCUCUCAUUUGCGUAUGUUAGCCACCAUAUAUGCUUAGUGCUUGCUGCAGCUCCACCUCAUUACACCAGCCUUUCCUAUAAGCUUAAAUAGUCUUGAUCUCGUGGGUGUGAGAUUGCUGAGUCCUCGUGACUCACAGAUUCUACCAAAACAGUUGCAGGUUCCGACGAUGCCAGUGCAGGUGACGCAACCGAGCUCAAGUGGGAGUUCGAUGAGGAACGUGGUCGUUACUAUGUGUCUUUUCCUGAUGAUCAGUAGUGGAGCCCAGUUGGGACGACCGGGGAUCUAGCAUUUGGGGUUAUCUUAUUUUCAUUUGGAUUUUGACCGUAGUCGGUCUAUGUGUGGUUUUUGGAUGAUGUAUGAAUUAUAUUUAUGUAUUGUGUGAAGUGGCGAUUGUAAGCCAACUCUCGUUAAACCAUUCUUGUUCAUUACAUGGGAUUGUGUGAAGAUGACCCUUCUUGCGACAAAACCACUAUGUGGUUAUGCCUCUAAGUCGUGCCUCGACACGUGGGAGAUAUAGCCGCAUUGUGGGCGUUAUAAGUUGGUAAUCAGAGCCAUCCCCGACUUAGGAGCCCCCUGCUUGAUCGAAUCGCUAGUGUUGUUGAGUCUAGAACAAAAAUGUUUUGAGUCUUAGGAUUAUAUAUAUCGGAGAGUAGGAUUCUUUUUACUCCUCAGUCCCUUCGUUGCUCUGGUGAGGCCUCCUGACGUAGAAGUUUUGACUCUUCUCUCCUCAAAUUUCACUAAAUUUUUUUAGGACCACGCGGGUAUCUUAGAAUCGUUCCGACAGUUUUGUGACGAGAACAUUGUUCUUGGUGCCUCCUGACAUUUAGGGGUUGUGGCAGUGUCCCGGGGAGUUGAGCUCUGAGGUGUUGUCGUCACAGUUUUAUCAUUGCAGUUCUGGAAUACCUGAGUUUCGCCGACAUCGAAAUCUCUUUUAUGCAGUUGUUGGUGAGAUCACCUCGACGCCACCCAGUACUGGGGCGGGAGUUCGGGAGUAUUGCCAUAACUCGUAUAACGGAUGCUUUUCGAAGGUUGAGGUACAUGAUUUCCGAAGGUUUCUUGGUUAUGUGUUGCCGGAUGGAUACAGCUGGAUCUAGGGAUUGCUAGUUUGGGUGAUAUAUUUUGUGUCCCCUGUAUCCCCAACACCAGAUUGCAUAACCAGAAAGUUUCGGGAGUUUAUAGGUGGGAUUCAUGUAGCUCUUAGCAUUUCUUCCCGUAGAUAUUUGGUUCGUGAUUGAGUAAUCCUUACCAUUUAUUUGUUCCACUUGUACCUUUUUAUUUUAUUCAUCAAUCUCUUAUCAAGUGGCUUCUCACCUUAACGGAAGUGUGAUGAUUUACUAUGGAAUUCAUUCAUUCAUCCUCGUUCGAAUGUUUAUUGUGAAGACUAUAUGUUGCAAUUUCUAUCCGUUGAUUCAAUUUGACUAUUUGUCUAUCAAGAUGCUAAUGGAUGUCACCCUCUUCAGGAUGGCUCCGCCAACGCGUCAGAAUCUGGAACGCAAUGAAGGGAGUCAGGCAAACCCUCCGCCAUCACCUCCGCCUCCGGAGGCAUGGCAAGCUAUCAUGGCAGCCACCAACGCCAAUGCUCAGAUGAUUCUGCAACUCUUGCAAGAACACACCCAAGGGCAAGGUAAUCAAGGAAAUCAAGGUCAAGGCAACAAUCAGCCUCACUUCGCUACCCUCAACCAGUUUCUUGCAAAUCAGCCCAAGUCUUUCAGCUACUGUGCCGAGGCCACGGAUGCCGAUGAUUGGCUCGUGGAGAUCAACAAGCAUUUUGAAUGUAGCAAUGUCAAGCCCGAGGACUUUGUCAAGUUCGCUUCUUUUCAACUCAAGGAUCAAGCUGCCGAGUGGUAUCAACAAUACAAAGAUUCCAGAGGAGGUCGUGUGAUUACCUGGGAUGAUUUCCGCCAAGACUUCAAAGCUCACCACAUUCCACAAAGUGUUGCUGAGAGCAAGCGUGAGGAGUUCCGCAAUCUCAAGCAAGGCGGCAUGUCCGUGUAUCAAUACAAUACUCACUUUCAGAAACUCGCUCGCUUCACUAAGCAAGAUGUUCCUGAUGAAAAGAGCAUGAUCUAUCAAUUCAGAGGUGGCCUCAGAGAAGAUUUGCAAUUACCUCUCGUGCUUUUUGAGCCGACCAAGUAUGAUGAUUUCUACAAUAUUGCACUAAAGCAAGAGGCUGCUCAGCUCAAGUGUGUGGCUUCUAAGAAGAGAGUCAGGGACGCAGUUCGGUCUUCUUCUUCCUCACUAGUGGCUGGUAAGCAACAGAAGUUCUGGUUGCCUCCUCCUCCUCUGUUUCGUCAGCCUUACCAGUAGAAGAACAAAGGUGACCAUGGAUCUUCCCACUCACCCAACCCUGGCUAUCAGAACAAGUCUCAGAAUCAAGCUACAAAGUCGAAUGCUCCUUAUCAUCGUCCACUCUUAGAGGUGACUUGCAACAAGUGUCAGCAGAAAGGUCACUAUGCUAACAAGUGCUUCAACCAAAGGCGCCUUCCGCCUCCUCCUCCUGUGAGAUCUUCCAGGAAUGCAGUGGUCAAGCAUAAUCCCAAGUCUGCUAAGGUGAACAUGAUGAAUGCAGCUCAAGCAGAGGAAUCUACUGAUGUGAUAAUGGGUAAUCUCUCAGUUAAUGAUAUUCCUGCAAAAGUUCUUUUUGAUACUGGUGCAUCGCUUUGUUUCAUGUCAAGAUUGUUCUUCACAAAGAAUGAUUUUACUUGGUCUUAUCUGGAUAAACCAUUGGGUGUUGUUUCUCCGAGGAAGUCAAUGAGAGCCAACUCGAUAGUUCCGGAUGUUUCCAUCAAGAUGGGCAACUAUAAAUUUCUGUCUUCUCCAAUUGUUCUUGGUGACUCGGAUAUUGAUCUUAUUCUCGUGAUGGACUGGCUUUCUAAGCACAAGUCUCAACUUGAUUGUGCUGCCAGGGAAAUUCAAUUGACACACUCUUCUGAGGAUGUGAUUAUCUAUGCCGCUCGUGAUGAAACCAUUCGGUUGUUUUCUCUCAAUGAGAAGGGCGAAUUGUAUGCCAUCUCUCAGAUUCCAGUCGUUUGUGAGUAUCAAGAUGUCUUUCCAGAAGAGCUUCCGGGUAUGCCUCCUCACCGGCCAGUUGAGUUCGUUAUCGAUCUUGAGCCCGGCACUGAACCCAUUUGCAAGCGUCCUUACAAGCUUGGACCCAAGGAGCUGAAGGAAUUGAAGAAACAGCUCGAUGAACAAGAGCGUCUGGGUUUGAUCAGACUGAGUUCUUCUCCAUGGGGUUGUGGUGUUCUUUUUGUCUAGAAGAAGGAUGGCACAGACCGACUUUGUGUCGACUACCGUCCAUUGAACAAGAAGACAAUCAAGAACAAGUAUCCACUUCCCAACAUCAAUGAGCUAUUGGAGCAACUCAAAGGUGCUAAAGUAUUCUCCAAGCUUGACCUUCGUAUGGGUUAUCAUCAGAUUCGCAUUCGUGAACAAGAUAUUCCCAAGACAGCAUUCAGAACAAGCUUUGGUUCUUAUGAAUAUACUGUCAUGUCUUUCAGCCUUGUCAAUGCUCCUCGAACAUUCUCUCGGAUGAUGAAUUUCAUCUUCAACCCCUAUACCAAUGAAUUCGUCCUUGUGUAUCUCGAUGAUAUCUUGGUCUUCUCUAAGAAUAAGAAGGAUCAUGCCGAACAUUUGCGAUUGGUGCUCGACAAGCUCAGAGAGUAUCGAUUUUAUGCGAAGUUUUCCAAAUGUGAGUUUUGGCUCGAUGAAGUUCUUUACCUUGGUCACAUCAUCUCUGCCAAGGGCAUCGCUGUUAAUCCCGAGAAGGUGACUGCAAUUGUGAAUUGGGAACCUCCUCAGAAUGUCAAGCAGCUCCGCAGUUUUCUUGGUCUUGCAAGCUAUUGCCGAAGAUUCGUUGAGAAUUUCUCUAAGAUUGCAAAGCCUCUUUCCAACCUCCUCCAGAAGCAUGUGAAGUAUGUCUGGUCUCCUGAGUGUGACGUUGCUUUCAACACUCUCAAAGAGAAACUUGUCACAACUCCUGUCUUAUCUCCUCCUGACGAUCCAAGCCAUUCGAAGUUUUCUGUAAUGCUUCUCUUCAAGGUCUCGGUGCUGUGUUAGUGCAAGAGAAGAAAGUUGUGGCCUAUACCUCUCGUCAGUUGAAGCCCAAUGAAAAGAACUACCCCACUCACGAUCUUGAGUUGGCGGCAGUUGUCCAUGCAUUAAUAACGUGGAGACAUCUCUUGCUGGGAAGAAAAGUGGACAUAUUCACCGAUCACAAGACUCUCAAGUACAUCUUCACUCAGCUCAACCUCAACCUCAGGCAAACUCGAUGGGUCGAAAUGAUUCAAGAGUACAAUCCGAGUAUUGAAUAUACUCCAGGCAAAGCCAAUGUCAUUGCAGAUGCUUUAAGCAGGAAGGCUUAUUGCAACAGCUUAAUUCUCAAGCCAUUCCAACCGGAUCUUUGUGAAAGAGUUAGUUAUAUGGGUACAAGAUGCCAUAUAUGGGUACCUAACUUGGAAAAAUUCUGUGAGCAGCAUGUUUUAAGCAUGGAUUGGGUAGCAAUAAGUUAUUUUUGAUGAGCCAAGAAAGAGUUAGUUAUCGAGUAGUUUAUGCAUGUCAUUUGUUUUCGAGUCGUGUUUGGUCGGUUUUAGGGCAAAUUCUAUACAAGACGUCAUAUAUGUGUACCUAAGUUGGAAAAAUUCGUUGAACGGCAUUUUCUAAGCAUGGAUUGGACAGUAAAAAGUUAUUUUGGACGAGCCACUAAAGAGGUAGUUAUCAAGGAGUUUCUGCGUGUCAUUUUCUUUCGAGUCGCGCUUGGUCGGUUUUAGGGCAAAUUCUGUAACAGAUGCCAUAAAUGGGUCCCUAACUUGGAAAAAUUUGUUGAACGGCAUUUUCUAUGCAUGGAUUGGGCAGUAAAAAGUUAUUUUGGACGAGCCACUAAAAGGUAGUUAUCAAGGAGUUUCUGCGUGUCCUUUGCUUUCGAGUCGCGUUUGGUCGGUUUUAGGGCAAAUUCUGAAACAGAUGCCAUAUAUGGGUACCUAACUUGGAAAAUUUCUGUGAACGGCAUUUUUUAAGCAUGGUUUGGGCAGCAAAAAGUUAUUUUGGACGAGCCAUGCAAGAGGUAUUUAUCAAGGGGUUUUUGCGUGUCCUUUGUUUUCGAGUCGCGUUUGGUCGAUUUUAGGGCAAUUUCUGUAAAAGAUGUUAUGUCUGGUUACCUAACUUGCAAAAUUUCUGGGAACGGCAUUUUUUAAGCAUGGAUUGGGUAGUAAAAGUUAUUUUGGACGAGCCUUGAAAGAGGUAGUUAUCGAGGAGUUUUUUCGUCUCCUUUGUUUUUGAGUCGCGGUUGGUCGGUUCAAGGGCAAAUUCUGUACAAGAUGUCAUAUAUGGGUACCUAACUUGGAAAAAUUCUAUGAACGGCAUUUUUUAAGCAUGGAUUGGGUAGCAAAAAGUUAUGUUGGACGAGCUAGUAAAGAGGUAGUUAUCGAGGAGUUUUUGUGUGUCCUUUGUUUUCGAGUCGCGUUUGGUCGGUUUUAGAGCAAAAUCUGUACAAGAUGUCAUAUAUGGGUACGUAACUUGGAAAUAUUCUGUGAUUGACAUUUUUUAAGCAUGGAUUUGGGUAGCAAAAAGUUAUUUUGGACGCGGCACUAAAGAGGUAGUUAUCGAUGAGUUUUUGCAUGUCAUUUGUUUUCGAGUCGCGUUUGGUCGGUUUUAAGGCAAAUUCUGUACAAGAUGUCAUAUAUGGGUACCUAACUUGGAAAAUUCUAUGACCUUCAUUUUUAAGCAUGGAUUUGGUAGGCAAAAGUUAUUUUGGACGAGCCAUGAAAGAGGUAUUUAUUAAGGAGUUUUUGCGUGUCUUUGUUUCGAGUCGCGUUUGGUCGGUUUUAGGGAAAAUUCUGGACAAGCUGUCAUAUAUGGGUACCUAACUUGGAAAAUUCUGUGAUCAGCAUAUUUUAAGCAUGGAUUGGGUAGCAAUAAGUUAUUUUGGAUGAGGCAAGAAACAGGUAGUUGUCGAGUAGUUUUUGCGUGUCAUUUGUUUUCGAGUCGUGUUUGGUCGGUUUUAAGGUAAAUUCUGUACAAGACGUCAUAUAUGGGUACCUAACAUGGAAAAAUUCUGUGAACGACAUUUUUUAAGCAUGGAUUGGGUAACAAAAACUUAUUUUGGACGAGCCACGAAAGAGGUAGUUAUCGAGGAGUUUUUGCGUGUCCUUUGUUUUUGAGUCGUGUUUGGUCGGUUUUAGGGCAAAUUCUGUUGAUUUCGAAAUUGUCCAGAGUUUUAUAUGUUGUUUUCAUUGCAAAAUGAUGGGUCUCCUUCCAUAACUUUCCAAUUACGAGUACGAGAAUUGAAAGACAUGAAAAUUCUCAAUUCUCCAAGAUGUCAUAUAUGGGUACCUAACUUGGAAAUAUUCUGUGCAUGGCAUUUUUUAAGCAAGGGUUGGGUACUAAAAAGUUAUUUUGGGCAAGCCACGAAAGAGGUAGUUAUCGAGGAGUUUCUGCGUGUCCUUUGUUUCCGAGUCGCGAUUGGUCGAUUUUAGGGCAAAUUCUGUAACAGAUGUCAUAUAUGGGUACCUACCUUGGGAAUUUUCUGCGAACGGCAUUUUUUAAGAAUGGAAUGGGUUGCAAAAAGUUAUUUUGGACGAGCCACAAAAGAGGUAGCUAUCGAUGAGUUUCUGCAUGUCCUUUGUUUUCGAGUCACGUUUGGUCGGUUUUAAGGCAAAUUCUAUAAGAGAUGCCAUAUAUGGGCACCUAACUUGGAAAAAUUCUGUGCACGACAUUUUUUAAGGAUGGAUUGGGUAAUAAAAAGUUAUGUUGGACGAGCCACGAAAGAGGUAGUUAUCGAGGAGUUUUUGCGUGUCCUUUGUUGUUGAGUCUCGUUUGAUCGGUUUUAGGGCAAAUUCUGUACAAGAUGUCAUAUAUGGGUACCUAACUAGGAAAAAUUCGUUGAACGGCAUUUUCUAAGCAUGAAUUGGGCAGUAAAAAGUUAUUUUGGAUGAGCCACUAAAGAGGUACUUAUCAAGGAGUUUCUGCUUUUGAGUCGCGCUUGGUCGGUAUUAGGGCAAAUUCUUUAACAGAUGUCAUAUAUGGGUACCUAACUUGGAAAAAUUCUAUGAACAACAUUUUUUAAGCAUGGAUUGGGUAGCAAAAAGUUAUGUUGGACGAGCCAGUAAAGAGGUAGUUAUCGAGGAGUUUUUGUGUGUCCUUUGUUUUCGACUCGCGUUUGGUCGGUUUUAGGGCAAAUUCUGUACAAGAUGUCAUACAUGGGUACCUAACUUGGAAAAAUUCUGUGAAUGACAUUUCUUAACCAUGGAUUGGGUAGCAUAGAUUUAUUUUGGACGAGCCACUAAAGAGGUAGUUAUUGAGGAGUUUUUCAUGUCAUUUGUUUUCGAGUCGCGUUUGGUCAGUUUUAGGGCAAAUUUUGUACAAGAUGUCAUAUAUGGGUACCUAACUUGGAAAAUUCUAUGACCUUCAGUUUUAAGCAUGGAUUGGGUAGGCAAAAGUGAUUUUGGACGAGCCACGAAAGAGGUAGUUAUUAAGGAGUUUUUGCGUGUCCUUUGUUUCGAGUCACGUUUGAUCGGUUUUAGGGCAAAUUCUGUACAACAUGUCAUGUGUGGGCACCUAACUUGGAAAAAUUCUAUGAACGACAUUUUUUACGGAUGGAUUGGGUAGCAAAAAGUUAUGUUGGACGAGCCACGAAAGAGGUAGUUAUCGAGGAAUUUUUUUGUGUCCUUUGUUUUUGAGUCUCGUUUGGUCGGUUUUAGGCAAAUUCUGGACAAGCUAUCAUAUAUGGGUACAUAACUUGGAAAAAUUCUGUGAGCAACAUUUUUUAAGCAUGGAUUGGGUAGCAAUACGUUAUUUUGUAUGAGCCAAGAAAGAGGUAGUUAUCGAGUAGUUUUUGCAUGUCAUUUGUUUUCGAGUCGCGUUUGGUCAGUUUUAGGGCAAAUUCUAUACAAGACGUCAUAUAUGGAUACCUAACGUGGAAAAAUUAUGUAAACGACAUUUUUUAAGCAUGGAUUGGGUAGCUAAAAGUUUUUUUUGGACGAGCCAUGAAAGAGGUAUUUAUCGAGGAGUUUUUGCGUGUCCUUUGUUUUCGAGUCGCGUUUGGUCGGUUUUAGGGCAAAUUCUAGACAAGCUGUCAUAUAUGGGUACCUAACUUGGAAAAAUUCUGUGAGUAGCAUUAAGCAUGGAUUGGGUAGCAAUAAGUUAUUUUGGACGAGCGAAGAAAGAGGUAGUCAUCGAGGAGUUUUUGCGUGUCCUUUGUUUUUUGAGUCGCGUUUGGUCGGUUUUAGGGCAAAUUCCGUACAAGAUGUAAUAUAUGGGUACCUAAAUUGGAAAUUAUGUACAAGACGUCAUAUAUGGGUACCUAACAUGGAAAAAUUCUGGGAACGACAUUUUUAAGCAUCGAUUGGGUAGCAAAAAGUUAUAUUGGACAAGCCACGAAAGAGGUAGUUAUCGAGGAGUUUUUCCGUGUCCUUUGUUUCCGAGUCGCGUUUGGUAGGUUUUAGGGCAAAUUCUAUAACAGAUGCGAUAUAUGGGUACCUAACUUGGAAAAUUUCUGUGAACGACAUUUUUUAAGCAUGGAUUGGGCAGCAAAAAGUUAUUUUUGAUGAGACACAAAAGAGGUAUUUAUCGAUGAGUUUUUCCGUGUCCUUUGUUUUCGAGUCAGGUUUGGUCGCUUUUAGGGCAAAUUCUGGACAACCUGUCAUAUAUGGGUACCUGACUUGGAAAAAUUCUAUGAGCAGCAUUUUUUAAGCAUGGGGUAGCAAUAAGUUAUUUUGGACGAGGCAAGAAAGAGGUAGUUAUCGAGUAGUUUUUGCGUGUCCUUUAUUUUCGAGUCGCGUUUGGUCGGUUUUAGGGCAAAUUUUGUACAAGACAUCAUAUAUGGGUACCUAACGUGGAAAAAUUAUGUAAAUGACAUUUUCUAAGCAUGGAUUGGGUAGCAAAAAGUUAUUUUGGAUGAGCCAUGAAAGAGGUAUUUAUCGAGGAUUUUUUGCGUGUCCUUUGUUUUCGAGUCGCGUUUGGUCGGUUUUAGGGCAAAUUAUGCACAAGUUUUCAUAUAUGGGUACCUAACUUGGAAAAUUUCCGUGAGUAGCAUUUGUUAAGCAUGGAUUCGGUAGUAAUAAGUUAUUUUGGACGAUCCAAGAAAGAGGUAGUUAUCGUGGAGUUUUUGCGUGUCCUUUGUUUUUGAGUCACGUUUGGUCGGUUUUAGGGCAAAUUCUGUACAAGAUGUAAUAUAUGGGUACCUAACUUGGAAAAAUUAUGUGAAUGGAAUUUUUUAAGCAUGGAUUGGAUAGCAAAAAGUUAUUUUGGACGAGCCAUGAAAGAGGUAUUUAUCGAGGAAUUUUUGCAUGUCCUUUGUUUUCGAGUCGCAUUUGGUCGGUUUUAGGGCAAAUUCUGGACAAGCUGUCAUAUAUGGAUACCUAACUUGGAAAAAUUCUGUGACCAGCAUUUUUUAAGCAUGGAUUAUGUAGCAAUAAGUUAUUUUGGAUGAUCCAAGAAAGAGGUAGUUAUCGAGUAGUUUUUCCGUGUCCUUUGUUUUUGAGUCGCGGUUGGUCGGUUUUAGGGCAAAUUCUGUACAAGACGUCAUAUAUGGGUACCUAACAUGGAAAAUUUCUGUGCACGAAAUUUUUUAAGCAUGGAUUGGGUAGCAAAAAUUUAUUUUGGACGAGCCACGAAACAGGUAGUUAUCGCGGAAUUUUUCCAUGUCCUUUGUUUUUGAGUCGCGUUUGGUCGGUUUUAGGGUAAAUUUUGUACAAGAUGUCAUAUAUGGGUACCUAACUUGGAAAUAUUAUGUGAAUGACAUUUUUAAGCAUGGAUUGGUUAGCAAUAAGUUAUUUUGGGCAAGCCACCAAAGAGGUAAUUAUUGAGGAGUUUCUGUAUGUCGCGUUUGGUUGGUUUUAGGGAAAAUUCUGUAAUUGAUGUCAUAUAUGGUACCUACCUUGGAAAUUUUCUGCAAAUGACAUUCUUUUAAGCAUGGACUUGGUAGCUAAAUUUAUUUUGGACGAGCCACAAAAGAGGUAGUUAUCGAGGAGUUUCUGCGUGUCCUUUGUUUUCGAGUCGCAUUUGGUCGGUAUUAGGGCAAAUUCUAUAACCGAUGCCAUAUAUGGUACCUAACUUGGAAAAUUUCUGUGAACGGCAUUUUUUAUGCAUGGAUUGGACAGCAAACAGUUAUUUCGGAUGAGCCACGAAAGAGGUAUUUAUCGAGGAGUUUUUGCGUGUCCUUUGUUUUCGAGUUGCGUUUGGUCGGUUUUAGGGUAAAUUAUGUACAAGAGGUCAUCUAUGGUUACCUAACUUGGAAAAUUUCUAUGAACAGAGUGUUUUAUGAAUGGAUUGGGUAGCUAAAAGUUAUUUUGGACGAGCCAAGAAAGAGGUAGUUAUAGAGGAGGUUUUGCGUGUCCUUUCUUUUUGAGUCGCGUUUGGUUUGUUCAAGGGCAAAUUCUGUACAAGAUGUCAUAUAUGGGUACCUAACUUAGAAAAAUUCUGUGAACGACAUUUUUUAAGCAUGGACUGGGUAGCAAAAAGUUAUGUUGGACGAGCCACUAAAGAGGUAGUUAUCGAGGAGUUUUUGCGUGUCCUUUGUUUUCGAGUCGCGUUUGGUCGGUUUUAGGGCAAAUUCUGUACAACAUGUCAUAUAUGGGUACCAAACUUUGGAAAAAUUCUGUGAAUGGCCUUUUUGAAGCAUGGAUUGGGUAGCAAAAGGUUAUUUUGGAAGAGCCACGUAAGAGGUAGUUAUCGAGGAGUUUUUGCAUGUCAUUUGUUUUCGAGUCGCGUUUGGUCGGUUUUAGGGCAAAUUCUGUACAACAUGUCAUAUAUGGGUUGGGUUAUAAAAAGUUAUGUUGGACGAGCCACGAAAGAGUUAGUUAUCGCGGAGUUUUUGCGUGUCCUUUGUUUUUGAGUCGCAUUUGGUAGGUUUAAGGGAAAAUUAUGCACAAGAUGUCAUAUAUGGGUACCUAACUUGGAAAAAUUAUGUAAACGGCAUUUUUUAAGCAUGGAUUGGGUAGCAAAAAGUUAUUUUGGACGAGCCAUAGAAGAGAUAUUUAUCCAGGAGUUUUUGCGUGUCCUUUGUUUUCGAGUCGCAUUUGGUUGGUUUUAGGGCAAAUUCUGGACAAGCUGUGAUAUAUGGGUACCUAACUUGGAAAAAUUCUGUGACCAGCAUUUUUUAAGCAUGGCUUAUGUAGCAAUAAUUUAUUUUGGAUGAGCCAAGAAAGAGGUAGUUAUCGAGUAGUUUUUCCGUGUCCUUUGUUUUUGAGUCUCGUUUGGUCGGUUUUAGGGCAAAUUCUGUACAAGACGUCAUAUAUGGAUACCUAACAUGGAAAAAUUCUGUGAACGAAAUUUUUUAAGCAUGGAUUGGGUAGCAAAAAGUUAUUUUGGACAAGCCACGAAAGAGGUAGUUAUGGAGGAAUUUUUGCGUGUCCUUUGUUUUUGAGUCGCGUUUCGUCGGUUUUAGGAUAAAUUCUGUACAAGAUGUCAUAUAUGGGUACCAAACUUGGAAAUAUUCUGUGGACGACAUUUUUAAGCAUGGAUUGGGUAGCAAAAAGUUAUUUUGGGCAAGCCGCCAAAGAGGUAAUUAUCGAGGAGUUUCUGCGUGUCCUUUCUUUCAGAGUCGUGUUUGGUCGGUUUUAGGGCAAAUUCUAUAACAGAUGUCAUAUAUGGUACCUACCUUGGAAAUUUUCUGCGAACGGCAUUUUUUUAAGCAUGGAUUUGGUUGCAAAAUUUAUUUUGGACGAGCCACAAAAGAGGUAGUUAUCGAGGAGUUUCUGCGUGUCCUUUGUUUUCGAGUCGCGUUUGGUCGGUUUUAGGGCAAAUUCUAUAACAGAUGCCAUAUAUGGUAGCUAACUUGGAAAAUUUCUGUGAACGACAUUUUUUAAGCAUGGAUUGGGCAGCAAAAAGUUAUUUUGGACAUGCCACGAAAGAGGUAUUUAUCGAGGAGUUUUUGCGUGUCCUUUGUUUUUGAGUCGCGUUUGGUCGGUUUUAGGGUAAAUUCUGUACAAGAUCUCAUGUAUGGUUACUUAACUUGGAAAAUUUCUAUGAACGGAAUUUUUUAAGAAUGGAUUGGGUAGCUAAAGUUCUUUUGGACGAGCCAAGAAAGAGGUAGUUAUAGAGGAGGUUUUGCAUGUCCUUUGUAUUCGAGUCGCGUUUGGUUGGUUCAAGGGCAAAUUCUGUACAAGAUGUCAUAUAUGGGUACCUAACUUGGAAAAAUUCCGUGAACGACAUUUGUUAAGCAUGGAUUGGGUAGCAAAAAGUAAUGUUGGACGAGCCAUUAAAGAGGUAGUUAUCGACGAGUUUUUGCGUGUCCUUUGUUUUCGAGUGGCGUUUGGUCGGUUUUAGCGCAAAUUCUGUACAACAUGUCAUAUAUGUGUACCUAACUUUGGAAUAAUUCUGUGAAUGGCAUUUUUUAAGCAUGGAUUGGGUAGAAAAAAGUUAUUUUGGAAGAGCCACGAAAGAGGUAGUUAUAGAGGAGUUUUUGCAUGUCAUUUGUUUUUGAGUCGCGUUUGGUCGGUUUUAGGGAAAAUUCUGUACAACAUGUCAUAUAUGGGUACCGAACUUUGGAAAAAUUCUGUGAAUGGCAUUUUUUAAGCAUGGAUGGGGUAGCAAAAAGUUAUUUUGGAAGAGCCACGAAAGAGGUUGUUAUCGAGGAGUUUUUUCAUGUCAUUUGUUUUCGAGUCGCGUUUGGUCGGUUUUAGGGCAAAUUCUGUAAAACAUGUCAUAUAUGGGUUGGGUUAUAAAAAGUUAUGUUGGACAAGGCACGAAAGAGUUAGUUAUCGCGGAGUUUUUGCGUGUCCUUUGUUUUUGACUCGCAUUUGGUAGGUUUAAGGGCAAAUUAUGCACAAGAUGUCAUAUAUGGGUACCUAACUUGGAAAAUAUAUGUAAACGGCAUUUUUUAAGAGUGGAUUGGGUAGCAAAAAGUUAUUUUGGACGAGCCAUAAAAGAGAUAUUUAUCCAGGAGUUUUUUCUUGUCCUUUGUUUUCGAGUCGCAUUUGGUUGGUUUUAGGGCAAAUUUUGGACAAGCUGUGAUAUAUGGGUACCUAACUUGGAAAAAUUCUGUGACCAGCAUUUUUUAAGCAUGGAUUAGGUAGCAAUAAGUUAUUUUGGAUGAGCCAAGACAGAGGUAGUUAUCGAGUAGUUUUUCCGUGUCCUUUGUUUUUGAGUCGCGUUUGGUCGGUUUUAGGGCAAAUUCUGUACAAGACGUCAUAUAUGGAUACCUAACAUGGAAAAAUUCUGUGAACGAAAUUUUUUAAGCAUGGAUUGGGUAGCAAAAAGUUAUUUUGGAAAAGCCACGAAAGAGGUAGUUAUGGAGGAAUUUUUGCGUGUCCUUUGUUUUUGAUUCGCGUUUCGUCGGUUUUAGGGUAAAUUCUGUACAAGAUGUCAUAUAUGGGUACCAAACUUGGAAAUAUUCUGUGGACGACAUUUUUAAGCAUGGAUUGGGUAGCAAAAAGUUAUUUUGGGCAAGCCGCCAAAGAGGUAAUUAUCGAGGAGUUUCUGCGUGUCCUUUCUUUCCGAGUCGUGUUUGGUCGGUUUUAGGGCAAAUUCUAUAAGAGAUGUCAUAUAUGGUACCUACCUUGGAAAUUUUCUGCGAACGGCAUUUUUUAAGCAUGGAUUUGGUAGCAAAAUUUAUUUUGGACGAGCCACAAAAGAGGUAGUUAUCGACGAGUUUCUGCGUGUCCUUUGUUUUCGAGUCGCGUUUGGUCGGUUUUAGGGCAAAUUCUAUAACAGAUGCCAUAUAUGGUAGCUAACUUGGAAAAUUUCUGUGAACGACAUUUUUUAAGCAUGGAUUGGGCAGCAAAAAGUUAUUUUGGACGUGCCACGAAAGAGGUAUUUAUCGAGGAGUUUUUGCGUGUCCUUUGUUUUUGAGUCGCGUUUGGUCGGUUUUAGGGUAAAUUCUGUACAAGAUGUCAUGUAUGGUUACUUAACAUGGAAAAUUUCUAUGAACGGAAUUUUUUAAGAAUGGAUUGGGUAGCUAAAGUUAUUUUGGACGAGCCAAGAAAGAGGUAGUUAUAGAGGAGGUUUUGCGUGUUCUUUGUUUUCGAGUCGCGUUUGGUUGGUUCAAGGGCAAAUUCUGUACAAGAUGUCAUAUAUGGGUACCUAACUUGGAAAAAUUCUGUGAACGGCAUUUGUUAAGCAUGGAUUGGGUAGCAAAAAGUAAUGUUGGACGAGCCAUUAAAGAGGUAGUUAUCGACGAGUUUUUGCGUGUCCUUUGUUUUCGAGUGGCGUUUGGUCGGUUUUAGCGCAAAUUCUGUACAACAUGUCAUAUAUGUGUACCUAACUUUGGAAUAAUUCUGUGAAUGGCAUUUUAUAAGCAUGGAUUGGGUAGAAAAAAGUUAUUUUGGAAGAGCCACGAAAGAGGUAGUUAUAGAGGAGUUUUUGCAUGUCAUUUGUUUUUGAGUCGCGUUUGGUCGGUUUUAGGGAAAAUUCUGUACAACAUGUCAUAUAUGGUACCGAACUUUGGAAAAUUUCUGUGAAUGGCAUUUUUUAAGCAUGGAUGGGGUAGCAAAAAGUUAUUUUGGAAGAGCCACGAAAGAGGUUGUUAUCGAGGAGUUUUUGAAUGUCAUUUGUUUUCGAGUCGCGUUUGGUCGGUUUUAGGGCAAAUUCUGUACAACAUGUCAUAUAUGGGUUGGGUUAUAAAAAGUUAUGUUGGACAAGGCACGAAAGAGUUAGCUAUCGCGGAGUUUUUGCGUGUCCUUUGUUUUUGACUCGCAUUUGGUAGGUUUAAGGGCAAAUUAUGCACAAGAUGUCAUAUAUGGGUACCUAACUUGGAAAAUAUAUGUAAACGGCAUUUUUUAAGCAUGGAUUGGGUAGCAAAAAGUUAUUUUGGACGAGCCAUAAAAGAGAUAUUUAUCCAGGAGUUUUUUCUUGUCCUUUGUUUUCGAGUCGCAUUUGGUUGGUUUUAGGGCAAAUUCUGGACAAGCUGUGAUAUAUGGGUACCUAACUUGGAAAAAUUCUAUGACCAGCAUUUUUUAAGCAUGGAUUAGGUAGCAAUAAGUUAUUUUGGAUGAGCCAAGACAGAGGUAGUUAUCGAGUAGUUUUUCCAUCUCCUUUGUUUUUGAGUCGCGUUUGGUCGGUUUUAGGGAAAAUUCUGUACAAGACGUCAUAUAUGGAUACCUAACAUGGAAAAAUUCUGUGCACGAAAUUUUUUAAGCAUGGAUUGGGUAGCAAAAAGUUAUUUUGGACAAGCGACGAAAGAGGUAGUUAUGGAGGAAUUUUUGCGUGUCCUUUGUUUUUGAGUCGCGUUUCGUCGGUUUUAGGGUAUAUUUUGUACAAGAUGUCAUAUAUGGGUACCAAACUUGGAAAUAUUCUGUGGACGACAUUUUUAAGCAUGGAUUGGGUAGCAAAAAGUUAUUUUGGGCAAGCCGCCAAAGAGGUAAUUAUCGAGGAGUUUCUGCGUGUCCUUUCUUUCCGAGUCGUGUUUGGUCGGUUUUAGGGCAAAUUCUAUAACAGAUGUCAUAUAUGGUACCUACCUUGGAAAUUUUCUGCGAACUGCAUUUUUUUAAGCAUGGAUUUGGUAGAAAAAUUUAUUUUGGACGAGCCACAAAAGAGGUAGUUAUCGAGGAGUUUAUGCGUGUCCUUUCUUUUCGAGUCACGUUUGGUCGGUUUUAGGGCAAAUUCUAUAACAGAUGCCAUAUAUGGUAGCUAACUUGGAAAAUUUCUGUGAACGACAUUUUUUAAGCAUGGAUUGGGCAGCAAAAAGUUAUUUUGGACGUGCCACGAAAGAGGUAUUUAUCGAGGAGUUUUUGCGUGUCCUUUGUUUUUUAGUCGCGUUUGGUCGGUUUUAGGGUAAAUUCUGUACAAGGUGUCAUGUAUGGUUACCUAACUUGGAAACUAUCUAUGAACGGAAUUUUUUAAGAAUGGAUUGGGUAGCUAAAGUUAUUUUGGACAAGCCAAAAAAGAGGUAGUUAUAGAGGAGGUUUUGCGUGUCCUUUGUUUUCGAGUCGCGUUUGGUUGGUUCAAGGGCAAAUUCUGUACAAGAUGUCAUAUAUGGGUACCUAACUUGGAAAAAUUUUGUGAACAACAUUUGUUAAGCAUGGAUUGGGUAGCAAAAAGUAAUGUUGGACGAGCCACUAAAGAGGUAGUUAUCGAGGAGUUUUUGCGUGUCCUUUGUUUUCGAGUGGCGUUUGGUCGGUUUUAGCGCAAAUUCUGUACAACAUGUCAUAUAUGUGUACCUAACUUUGGAAUAAUUCUGUGAAUGGCAUUUUUUAAGCAUGGAUUGGGUAGAAAAAAGUUAUUUUGGAAGAGCCACGAAAGAGGUAGUUAUCGAGGAGUUUUUGCAUGUCAUUUGUUUUUGAGUCGCGUUUGGUCUGUUUUAGGGAAAAUUCUGUACAAGAUGUCAUAUAUGGGUACCGAACUUGGAAAAGUUCUAUGAUCGUCUUUUUAAGCAUGGAUUGGGUAGCCAAAAGUUAUUUUGGACGAGCCACAAAAGAGAUAUUUAUCGAGGAGUUUUUGCGUGUCAUUUGUUGUCGAGUCGCGUUUGGUCGGUUUUAGGGUAAAUUCUGUACAAGAUGUCAUGUAUGGUUACCUAACUUGGAAAAUUUCUAUGAACGGAAUUUUUUAAGAAUGGAUUGGGUAGCUAAAAGUUAUUUUGGAUGAGCCAACGAAGAGGUAGUUAUAGAGGAGGUUUUGCGUGUCCUUUGUUUUCGAGUCGCGUUUGGUUGGUUCAAGGGCAAAUUUUGUACAAGAUGUCAUAUAUGGGUACCUACUUGGAAAAAUUCUGUCAAUGACAUUUUUUAAGCAUAGACUGGGUAGCAAAAAGUUAUGUUGGAUGAGCCACUAAAGAUGUAGUUAUCGAGGAGUUUUUGCGUGUCCUUUGUUUUCGAGUCGCGUUUGGUCGGUUUUAGGGCAAAUUCUGUACAACAUGUCAUAUAUGGCUACCUAAAUUUGGAAAAAUUCUGUGAAUGACAUUUUUUAAGCAUGGAUUGGGUAGCAAAAAGUUAUUUUGGAAGAGCCACGAAAGAGGUAGUUAUCGAGUUACGUUAGGUCGAUUUUAGGGCAAAUUCUGUACAAGAUGUCAUAUAUGGGUACCUAACUUGGAAAAAUUCUAUGACCGGCUUUUUAAGCAUGGAUUGGGUAGCCAAAAGUUAUUUUGGACGAGCCAUGAAAGAGAUAGUCAUGAAAGAGUUUUUGCGUAUCCUUUGUUUAGAUUCGCGUUUGGUCGGUUUUAGGGCAAAUUUUGUACAACAUGUCAUAUAUGGGUACCUAACUUGGAAACAUUCGGUGAACGACAUUUUAUAAGGAUGGAUUGGGUUGCAAAAAUUUAUGUUGGACGAGCCACGAAAGAGGUAGUUCCCAAGGAGUUUUUGCAUGUUCUUUGUUUUUGAGUCGCGUUUGUUCGGUUUUAGGGCAAAUUCUGUACAAGAUGUAAUAUAUGGGUACCUAACUUGGAAAAAUUAUGUGAACGACAUUUUUAAGCAUGAAUUGGGUUAUAAAAAGUUAUGUUGGACGAGCCACGAAAGAGUUAGUUAUCGAGGAGUUUUUCCGUGUCCUUUGUUUUCAAGUCGCGUUUGGUAGGUUUAAGGGCAAAUUAUGUACAAGUUUUCAUAUAUGGGUACCUAACUUGGAAAAAUUAUGUAAACAGUAUUUUUUAAGCAUGGAUUGGGUAGCAAAAAGUUAUUUUGGACAAGCCAUGAAAGUGGUAUUUAUCGAACAGUUUUUGCGUGUCCUUUGUUUUCGAGUCAUGUUUGGUCGGUUUUAGGGCAAAUUCUGGACAAGCUAUCACAUAUGGGUACCUAACUUGGAAAAAUUCUGUGAGCAGCAUUUUUUAAGCAUGUAUUGGGUAGCAAUAAGUUAUUUUGGAUGAGCCAAGAAAGAGGUAGUUAUCGAGUAGUUUUUGCAUGUCAUUUGUUUUCGAGUCGCGUUUGGUCGGUUUUAGGGCAAAUUCUAUACAAGACGUCAUAUAUGGGUACCUAACGUGGAAAAAUUAUGUAAACGACAUUGUUUAAGCAUGGAUUGGGUAGCAAAAAGUUUUUUUGGACGAGCCAUGAAAGAGGUAUUUAUCGAGGAGUUUUUGCGUGUCCUUUGUUUUCGAGUUGCGUUUGGUCGGUUUUAGGGUAAAUUAUGUACAAGAGGUCAUCUAUGGUUACCUAACUUGGAAAAUUUCUAUGAACAGAGUUUUUUAUGAAUGGAUUGGGUAGCUAAAAGUUAUUUUGGACGAGCCAAGAAAGAGGUAGUUAUAGAGGAGGUUUUGCGUGUGCUUUGUUUUCGAGUCGCGUUUGGUUUGUUCAAGGGCAAAUUCUGUACAAGAUGUCAUAUAUGGGUACCUAACUUAGAAAAAUUCUGUGAACGACAUUUUUUAAGCAUGGACUGGGUAGCAAAAAGUUAUGUUGGACGAGCCACUAAAGAGGUAGUUAUCGAGGAGUUUUUGCGUGUCCUUCGUUUUCGAGUCGCGUUUGGUCGGUUUUAGGGCAAAUUCUGUACAAUAUGUCAUAUAUGGGUACCUAACUUUGGAAAAAUUCUGUGAAUGGCCUUUUUGAAGCAUGGAUUGGGUAGCAAAAAGUUAUUUUGGAAGAGCCACGAAAGAGGUAGUUAUCAAGGAGUUUUUGCAUGUCAUUUGUUUUCGAGUCGCGUUUGGUCGGUUUUAGGGCAAAUUCUGUACAACAUGUCAUAUAUGGGUUGGGUUAUAAAAAGUUAUGUUGGACGAGCCACGAAAGAGUUAGUUAUCGCGGAGUUUUUGCGUGUCCUUUGUUUUUGAGUCGCAUUUGGUAGGUUUAAGGGCAAAUUAUGCACAAGAUGUCUUAUAUGGGUACCUAACUUGGAAAAAUUAUGUAAACGGCAUUUUUAAGCAUGGAUUGGGUAGCAAAAAGUUAUUUUGGACGAGCCAUAAAAGAGAUAUUUAUCCAGGAGUUUUUGCGUGUCCUUUGUUUUCGAGUCGCAUUUGGUUGGUUUUAGGGAAAAUUCUGGACAAGCUGUGAUAUAUGGGUACCUAACUUGGAAAAAUUCUGUGACCAGCAUUUUUUAAGCAUGGAUUAUGUAGCAAUAAGUUAUUUUGGAUGAGCCAAGAAAGAGGUAGUUAUCGAGUAGUUUUUCCGUGUCCUUUGUUUUUGAGUCGCGUUUGGUCGGUUUUAGGGCAAAUUCUGUACAAGACGUCAUAUACGGAUACCUAACAUGGAAAAAUUCUGUGAACGAAAUUUUUUAAGCAUGGAUUGGGUAGCAAAAAGUUAUUUUGGACAAGCCACGAAAGAGGUAGUUAUGGAGGAAUUUUUGCGUGUCCUUUGUUUUUGAGUCGCGUUUCGUCGGUUUUAGGGUAAAUUCUGUACAAGAUGUCAUAUAUGGGUACCAAACUUGGAAAUAUUCUGUGGACGACAUUUUUAAGCAUGGAUUGGGUAGCAAAAAGUUAUUUUGGGCAAGCCGCCAAAGAGGUAAUUAUCGAGGAGUUUCUGCGUGUCCUUUCUUUUCGAGUCGUGUUUGGUCGGUUUUAGGGCAAAUUCUAUAACAGAUGUCAUAUAUGGCACCUACCUUGGAAAUUUUCUGCGAACGGCAUUUUUUGAAGCAUGGAUUUGGUAGCAAAAUUUAUUUUGGACAAGCCACAAAAGAGGUAGUUAUCGAGGAGUUUCUGCGUGUCCUUUGUUUUCGAGUCGCCUUUGGUCGGUUUUAGGGCAAAUUCUAUAACAGAUGCCAUAUAUGGUAGCUAACUUGGAAAAUUUCUGUGAACGACAUUUUUUAAGCAUGGAUUGGGCAGCAAAAAGUUAUUUUGGACGUGCCAGGAAAGAGGUAUUUAUCGAGGAGUUUUUGCGUGUCCUUUGUUUUUGAGUCGCGUUUGGUCAGUUUUAGGGUAAAUUCUGUACAAGAUGUCAUGUAUGGUUACUUAACUUGGAAAAUUUCUAUGAACGGAAUUUUUUAAGAAUGGAUUAGGUAGCUAAAGUUAUUUUGGACGAGCCAAGAAAGAGGUAGUUAUGGAGGAGGUUUUGCGUGUCCUUUGUUUUCGAGUCGCGUUUGGUUGGUUCAAUGGCAAAUUCUGUACAAGAUGUCAUAUAUGGGUACCUAACUUGGAAAAAUUAUGUGAACGACAUUUGUUAAGCAUGGAUUGGGUAGCAAAAAGUAAUGUUGGACGAGCCAUUAAAGAGGUAGUUAUCGAGGAGUUUUUGCGUGUCCUUUGUUUUCGAGUGGCGUUUGGUCGGUUUUAGCGCAAAUUCUGUACAACAUGUCAUAUAUGUGUACCUAACUUUGGAAUAAUUCUGUGAAUGGCAUUUUUUAAGCAUGGAUUGGGUAGAAAAAGUUAUUUCGGAAGAGCCACGAAAGAGGUAGUUAUAGAGGAGUUUUUGCAUGUCAUUUGUUUUUGAGUCGCGUUUGGUCGGUUUUAGGAAAAUUAUGUACAACAUGUCAUAUAUGGGUACCGAACUUCGGAAAAAUUUUGUGAAUGGCAUUUUUUAAGCAUGGAUGGGGUAGCAAAAAGUUAUUUUGGAAGAGCCACCAAAGAGGUAGUUAUCGAGGAGUUUUUGCAUGUCAUUUGUUUUCGAGUCGCGUUUGGUCGGUUUUAGGGCAAAUUCUGUACAACAUGUCAUAUAUGGGUUGGGUUAUAAAAAGUUAUGUUGGACGAGGCACGAAAGAGUUAGUUAUCGCGGAGUUUUUGCGUGUCCUUUGUUUUUGACUCGCAUUUGGUAGGUUUAAGGGCAAAUUAUGCACAAGAUGUCAUAUAUGGGUACCUAACUUGGAAAAUAUAUGUAAGCGGCAUUUUUUAAGCAUGGAUUGGGUAGCAAAAAGUUAUUUUGUACGAGCCAUAAAAGAGAUAUUUAUCCAGGAGUUUUUGCUUGUCCUUUGUUUUCGAGUCGCAUUUGGUUGGUUUUAGGGCAAAUUCUGGACAAGCUGUGAUAUAUGGGUACCUAACUUGGAAAAAUUCUGUGACCAGCAUUUUUUAAGCAUGGAUUAGGUAGCAAUAAGUUAUUUUGGAUGAGCCAAGACAGAGGUAGUUAUCGAGUAGUUUUCCGUGUCCUUUGUUUUUGAGUCGCGUUUGGUCGGUUUUAGGGCAAAUUCUGUACAAGACGUCAUAUAUGGAUACCUAACAUGAAAAAAUUCUAUGAACGAAAUUUUUUAAGCAUGGAUUGGGUAGCAAAAAGUUAUUUUGGACAAGCCACGAAAGAGGUAGUUAUGGAGGAAUUUUUGCGUGUCCUUUGUUUUUGAGUCGCGUUUCGUCGGUUUUAGGGUAAAUUCUGUACAAGAUGUCAUAUAUGGGUACCAAACUUGGAAAUAUUCUGUGGACGACAUUUUUAAGCAUGGAUUGGGUAGCAAAAAGUUAUUUUGGGCAAGCCGCCAAAGAGGUAAUUAUCGAGGAGUUUCUGCGUGUCCUUUCUUUCCGAGUCGUGUUUGGUCGGUUUUAGGGCAAAUUCUAUAACAGAUGUCAUAUAUGGUACCUACCUUGGAAAUUUUCUGCGAACGGCAUUUUUUUAAGCAUGGAUUUGGUAACAAAAUUUAUUUUGGACGAGCCACAAAAGAGGUAGUUAUCGAGGAGUUUCUGCGUGUCAUUUGUUUUCGAGUCACGUUUGGUCGGUUUUAGGGCAAAUUCUAUAACAGAUGCCAUAUAUGGUAGCUAACUUGGAAAAUUUCUGUGAACGACAUUUUUUAAGCAUGGAUUGGGCAGCAAAAAGUUAUUUUGGACGUGCCACGAAAGAGGUAUUUAUCGAGGAGUUUUUGCGUGUCCUUUGUUUUCGAGUCGCGUUUGGUCGGUUUUAGGGUAAGUUCUGUACAAGAUGUCAUGUAUGGUUACCUAACUUGGAAAAUUUCUAUGAACGGAAUUUUUUAAGAAUGGAUUGGAUAGCUAAAGUUAUUUUGGACAAGCCAAAAAAGAGGUAGUUAUAGAGGAGGUUUUGCGUGUCCUUUGUUUUCGAGUCGCGUUUGGUCGGUGCAAGGGAAAAUUCUUUACAAGAUGUCAUAUAUGCGUACCUAACUUAGAAAAAUUCUGUGAACAACAUUUGUUAAGCAUGGAUUGGGUAGCAAAAAGUAAUGUUGGUCGAGCCACUAAAGAGGUAGUUAUCGAGGAGUUUUUGCGUGUCCUUUGUUUUCGAGUGGCGUUUGGUCGGUUUUAGCGCAAAUUCUGUACAACAUGUCAUAUAUGUGUACCUAACUUUGGAAUAAUUUUGUGAAUGGCAUUUUUUAAGCAUGGAUUGGGUAGAAAAAAGUUAUUUUUGAAGAGCCACGAAAGAGGUAGUUAUCGAGGACUUUUUGCAUGUCAUUUGUUUUUGAGUCGCGUUUGGUCGAUUUUAGGGAAAAUUCUGUACAAGAUGUCAUAUAUGGGUACCGAACUUGGAAAAAUUCUAUGACCAGCUUUUUAAGCAUGGAUUGGGUAGCCAAAAGUUAUUUUGGACGAGCCACAAAAGAGAUAUUUAUCGAGGAGUUUUUGCGUGUCAGUUGUUGUCGAGUCGCGCUUGGUCGGUUUUAGGGUAAAUUAUGUACAAGAGGUCAUCUAUGGUUACCUACUUGGAAAAUUUCUAUGAACAGAGUUUUUUAUGAAUGGAUUGGGUAGCUAAAAGUUAUUUUGGAUCAGCCAAGGAAGAGGUAGUACUGAGGAGGUUUUGCGUGUCCUUUGUUUUCGAGUCGCGUUUGGUUGGUUCAAGGGCAAAUUUUGUACAAGAUGUCAUAUAUGGGUACCUACUUGGAAUAAUUCUGUCAAUGACAUUUUUUAAGCAUAGACUGGGUAGCAAAAAGUUAUGUUGGAUGAGCCACUAAAGAGGUAGUUAUCGAGGAGUUUUUGCGUGUCCUUUGUUUUCGAGUCGCGUUUGGUCGGUUUUAGGGCAAAUUCUGUACAACAUGUCAUAUAUGGCUACCUAACUUUGGAAAAAUUCUGUGAAUGACAUUUUUUAAGCAUGGAUUGGGUAGCAAAAAGUUAUUUUGGAAGAGCCACGAAAGAGGUAGUUAUCGAGUCACGUUUGGUCGAUUUUAGGGCAAAUUCUGUACAAGAUGUCAUAUAUGGGUACCUAACUUGGAAAAAUUCUAUGACCGGCUUUUUAAGCAUGGAUUGGGUAGCCAAAAGUUAUUUUGGACGAGCCAUGAAAGAGAUAGUUAUGAAGGAGUUUUUGCGUAUCCUUUGUUUAGAGUCGCGUUUGGUCGGUUUUAGGGCAAAUUUUGUACAACAUGUCAUAUAUGGGUACCUAACUUGGAAACAUUCGGUGAACGACAUUUUAUAAGGAUGGAUUGGGUAGCAAAAAUUUAUGUUGGACGAGCCACGAAAGAGGUAGUUACCAAGGAGUUUUUGCAUGUUCUUUGUUUUUGAGUCGCGUUUGUUCGGUUUUAGGGCAAAUUCUGUACAAGAUGUAAUAUAUGGGUACCUAACUUGGAAAAAUUAUGUGAACGGCAUUUUUAAGCAUGGAUUGGGUUAUAAAAAGUUAUGUUGGACGAGCCACGAAAGAGUUAGUUAUCGAGGAGUUUUUCUGUGUCCUUUGUUUUCAAGUCGCGUUUUGUAGGUUUAAGGGAAAAUUAUGCACAAGUUCUCAUAUAUGGGUACCUAACUUGGAAAAAUUAUGUAAACAGCAUUUUUUAAGCAUGGAUUGGGUAGCAAAAAGUUAUUUUGGACAAGCCAUGAAAGUGGUAUUUAUCGAACAGUUUUUGCGUGUCCUUUGUUUUCGAGUCGUGUUUGGUCGGUUUUAGGGCAAAUUCUGGACAAGCUAUCACAUAUGGGUACCUAACUUGGAAAAAUUCUGUGAGCAGUAUUUUUUAAGCAUGUAUUUGGUAGCAAUAAGUUAUUUUGGAUGAGCCAAGAAAGAGGUAGUUAUCGAGUAGUUUUUGCAUGUCAUUUGUUUUCGAGUCGCGUUUGGUCGGUUUUAGGGCAAAUUCUAUACAAGACGUCAUAUAUGGGUACCUAACGUGGAAAAAUUAUGUAAACGACAUUGUUUAAGCAUGGAUUGGGUAGCAAAAAGUUUUUUCGGACGAGCCUUGAAAGAGGUAUUUAUCGAGGAGUUUUUGCGUGUCCUUUGUUUUCGAGUCGUGUUUGGUCGGUUUUAGGGCAAAUUCUAGACAAGCUGUCAUAUAUGGGUACCUAACUUGGAAAAAUUCUGUGAGUAGCAUUUUCAAGCAUGGAUUGGGUAGCAAUAAGUUAUUUUGGACGAGCCAAGAAAGAGGUAGUUAUCGAUGAGUUUUUGCGUGUCCUUUGUUUUUUGAGUCGCGUUUGGUUGGUUUUAGAGCAAAUUCCGUACAAGAUGUAAUAUAUGGGUACCUAACUUGGAAAAAUUAUGUGAACGGCAUUUUUAAUUAUGCAUUGGGUUAUAAAAAGUUAUGUUGGAGGAGCCAUGAUAGAGUUAGUUAUCGAGGAGUUUUUGCGUGUCCUUUGUUUUCGAGUCGCGUUUGGUCGGUUUUAGGGCAAAUUCUGUACAACAUGUCAUAUAUGGGUGUAACACCCCAGAUGUAACUUUCCAUAUUUGCAACUUCAACUCUUGCCAUUUUUGGCUAUGUGUUAUGACAUUCCCUUCGUGGUCGGGUUUUGUUUUCCGUUUUGCAUUUUGCUUUUGUCAUGCAUCUCAUAUCAUGUCAUCAUGUGCAUUGCAUUUGCAUACGUGUUCGUCUUUUUCAUCCGAGCAUUUUCCCAGUUGUCCGUUUUGCAAUCCGGCACUCCCACCUCCUCCGGCGCACCCUUCUUGUUUUCUUUUCGUGAGCGGGUGUUGAACAUUCUCGAAAUGGACCGAGGCUUGCCAAGCGGCCUUGGUAUACCACCGGUAGACCACCUGUCAAGUUUUGUUCCAGUUGGAGGUCGUUUGGUACUCCAACGGUUAACCGGGCAACCGCAAAGUCCUUUUGUGUGUUGCAGCAAAACCCCCCUCCUAAUAGCCCAAAACCCAUCUAAGUCACUUCCAUGCUCUAGGUCGUUCGAUCAUGAUCGUGUGGGCGAAAACCGUGCUCAAUUUGGAGUCUCCUAGCUCCCUCUACCUAUAAAAACACCUCCCCCUCCGAAAUCUGGGCGAAACCCUAGCAAAAAUCGUCCUCCGCGCCGCCAAACGCGUCCACUCCCGCCGGACGAACCCGCCGCCGCGCCCUGCCCACUCACAGCGCGACACGUGGCUACGCUCCGUCGCCCGCGCUGCCGGCCCGCUGGGCGUGUAAUAUAUCGAAAUGUUCAUCUCGAGAUGCUCUUCAUUUUGUUCCAUUCCACCAUGUUCAUUUGAGUCCAUCUUGAGGCCCAAAUCUCUGGUGCAAGAGUGCUAGUUGCUGUUAACUGCUGUUACUUAUCAGAACUUGAGGAUUUGUUAUUUUUGUUGCUAUUAAUGUGUGCAUCUUAUGAGUAGGAGCUCAACAGGUGUUUUGAUGUAUGCCAUUCCAUCUUUACAGAGGUGUAUGCCAUGUAUUUUGGUGAUCUCUGUGGUGACUAGCACAAGCAUGCAAACUAGGCUUCGUAAUGUUUCUGAUUUCAGGGACUUCGUAAUUUUACCAAGUCUGUGACUGCUGUUAUUGUGUUGCUAUGUAUCCAUGUGGCUACAGAGCGAUCCAUGCUUAUCUUGGGGAUGUUCAGUAAGAAUCUUUUGUAGAUAUAGUUGUGCGCUAUCCAUCCAUGCCUCGUUUUGCAAUUAUCGAGUGACAUAGCUUGACUCAAUCUUGCUCUACUUUUGCUAUAAAAUAUUUCUGACAGAUUGUUUACGUGUUAUUCAAUUUUGCCAAGCUUGUUGUAGUUGAUCCAUGCAUGCUAUGAACUUGCUCUUGCCAUGGAUAGAUUUACAAACAUGCCAUCUUGCUGUAGCUAUGCUUGUUUUGUCAUGCAUUGCUUUGUGGUGAGUUCAUCAAGCUCACAAAGAUGCCUUCAUAUUACUGUUUCUGUCAUAUUACUGUCAUCAAGCUCACCAAGUCUGUAACCUGUUAACGAAACUUGCUAUGUUUACAUGGUUGCCAUCAUAUCUUCUGAUCCUUUUUGGCUUAUGGUCAGUAAGGGACUUUUGUUAUAUGCAUUUAUUAGAAUACUGACAUGCCUUGUUUUGCCAUGUUAAGUUCCUGUAGCAUGUUGAUUGCUUGCUCUGAACAUUGCUACCUGAUGCUGUUUAUGCCAUGUCCAGUAAUUUCACCAAGUCUGUGAACAUGAUAUCUUUUGCACUUUUGCCAUGCCUGUUUGAACCUGCUGUGGUGUGAUCUAGCCGUAGCUCAUUGUUCAUCUUUUGUCAAGAACCUCCUGUAGAUUACUGCCAUAUGCUUUGCUGCUAUGUUGGGGUGCUGUAGCAUUGUUACUUAUUGCAUUCUAAGUGCUAUCAUGCUGUUAAUCGCAGAUUCGUGUCAUUCUUGUUUUGCUUGCCAUUUGCAAACCGUGCAUCCGUUUCCGGUGAUCUUUAUAUCGAUUUCAACCGAAAUCAUCUCAUCUUUCCAGUGACAUGCUGUCAAUUUACUGCCUUGUUCAUCAUUUUUCUUCCGGAGCACGCAUAUGCAUCGCAUAUCAUAUCUUGCAUAUAAUUCAUGUAUUGCAUCAUGUUGCUUGUGCAUUUCCCAUGAUUGAUUGUGGUUCCGUUGCUUAUGUUCUUGUUUUGGGUAGAGCCGGGAGACGAGUUCGUGAACGAGGAACCUGUUGAGUACGCUUACGAGGAUCAAGCUUUCAACAACUCUGAGAACCUUGCAGGCAAGAUGACCAUACCCUCGAAAUCACUUCUAUCUUUGCUUUGCUAGUUGUUCGUUCUUUGCCAUGCUGCGCUACCUACCAUUUGCUAUAUCAUGCCUCCCAUAUUGCCAUGUCAAGCCUCUAACCAUCCUUUCCUAGCAAACCGUUGUUUGGCUAACUUACCGCUUUUGCUCAGCCCUUCUUAUAGCGUUGCUAGUUGCAGGUGAGCCACUAAAGAGGUACUUAUCAAGGAGUUUCUGCGUGUCCUUUGCUUUUGAGUCGCGCUUGGUCGGUUUUAGGGCAAAUUCUGUAACAGAUGCCAUAUAUGGGUACCUAACUUGGAAAAUUUCUAUGAAUGGCAUUUUUUAAGCAUGGAUUGGGCAGCAAAAAUUAUUUUGGACGAGCCACGAAAGAGGUAUUUAUCAAGGAGUUUUUGCGUGUCCUUUGUUUUCGAGUCGCGUUUGGUCGAUUUCAGGGCAAAUUCUGUACAGGAUGUCAGGUAUGGUUACCUAACUUGGAAAAUUUCUGUGAACGGCAUUUUCUAAGCAUGGAUUGGCUAGUAAAAUUUAUUUUGGACAAGCCAUGAAAGAGGUAGUUAUCGAGGUGUUUUUUCGUCUCCUUUGUUUUCGAGUCGUGUUUGGUCGGUUCAAGGGCAAAUUUUGUACAAGAUGUCAUAUAUGGGUACCUAACGUGGAAAAAUUUUGUAAAUGACAUUUUCUAAGCAUGGAUUGGGCAGCCAAGAAAGAGGUAGUUAUCGUGGAGUUUUUGCAUGUCCUUUAUUUUUUAGUCGCGUUUGGUCGGUUUUAGGGUAAAUUCUGUACAAUAUGUAAUAUAUGGGUACCUAACUUGGAAAAACUAUGUGAAUGGAAUUUUUUAGCAUGGAUUGGGGUAUAAAAAGUUAUGUUGGACGAGCCACGAAAGAGAUAGUUAUCGAGGAUUUUUUGCGUGUCCUUUGUUUUUGAGUCGCAUUUGGUAGGUUUAAGGGCAAAUUAUGCACAAGAUGUCAUAUUUGGGUGCCUAACUUGGAAAAACUAUGUAAAGGGCAAUUUUAAGCAUGUACUGGGUAGCAAAAAGUUAUUUUGGACGAGCCAUAAAAGAGGUAUUUAUCGAGGAGUUUUUGCGUGUCCUUUGUUUUCGAGUCGCAUUUGGUCGGUUUUUGGGCAAAUCCUGGACAAGCUGUCAUAUAUGGGUACCUCACUUGGAAAAAUUCUGUGACCAGCAUUUUUUAAGCAUGGAUGGGGUAGCAAUAAGUUAUUUUGGAUGAGCCAAGAAAGAGGCAGUUAUCGAGUAGUUUUUCCGUGUCCUUUGUUUUGAGUCGCGUUUGGUCGGUUUUAGGGCAAAUUCUGUACAAGACGUCAUAUAUGGGUACCUAACAUGGAAAAAUUCUGUGAACAAAAUGUUUUAAGCAUGGAUUGGGUAGCAAAAAGUUAUUUUGGACGAGCCACAAAAGAGGUAAUUAUCGAGGAGUUUCUGCGUGUCCUUUUUUUUUUGAGUUGCGUUCGGUCGGUUUUAGGGUAAAUUCUGUACAAGAUGUCAUAUAUGGGUACCAAACUUGGAAAUAUUCUAUGAACGACAUUUUUAAGCAUGGAUUGGGUAGCAAAAAGUUAUUUUGGGCAAGCAAACAAAGAGGUAAUUAUCGAGGAGUUUCUGCGUGUCCUUUCUAUCCGAGUCGUGUUUGGUCGGUUUUAGGGCAAAUUCUGUAACAGAUGUCAUAUGUGGUACCUACCUUGGAAAUUUUCUGCGAACGUCAUUCUUUUAAGCAUGGACUUGGUAGCAAAAUUUAUUUUGGACGAGCCACAAAAGAGGUAGUUAUCAAGGAGUUUCUGCGUGUCCUUUGUUUUCGAGUCGCGUUUGGUCGGUUUCUGGGCAAAUUCUAUAAGAGAUGCCAUAUACGGUACCUAACUUGGAAAAUUUCUGUGAACGGCAUUUUUAAGCAUGGAUUGGGCAGCAAAAAGUUAUUUUGGACGUGCCAUGAAAGAGGUAUUUAUCGAGGAGUUUUUGCGUGUCCUUUGUUUUCGAGGCUCGUUUGGUCGGUUUUAGGGUAAAUUCUGUACAAGAUGUCAUGUAUGGUUACCUAACUUGGAAAAUUUCUAUGAACGGAAUUUUUUAAGAAUGGAUUGGGUAGCUAAAAGUUAUUUUGGAGGAGCCAAGAAAGAGGUAGUUAUAGAGGAGGUUUUGCGUGUCCUUUGUUUUCGAGUCGCGUUUGGUUGGUUCAAGGGCAAAUUCUGUACAAGAUGUCAUAUAUGGGUACCUAACUUGGAAAAAUUCUGUGAACGACAUUUUUUAAGCAUGGAUUGGGUAGCAAAAAGUUAUGUUGGACGAGCCACUAAAGAGGUAGUUAUCGAGGAGUUUUUGCGUGUCCUUUAUUUUCGAGUCACGUUUGGUCGGUUUUAGGGCAAAUUCUGUACAACAUGUCAUAUAUGGGUACUUAACUUUGGAAAAAUUCUGUGAAUGGCAUUUUUUAAUCAUGGAUUGGGUAGAAAAAAAUUUAUUUUGGAAGAGCCACAAAAGAGGUAGUUAUCGAGGAGUUUUUGCAUGUCAUUUGUUUUUGAGUCGCGUUUGGUCGGUUUUAGGGCAAAUUCCGUACAAGAUGUCAUAUAUGGGUACCUAACUUGGAAAAAUUCUAUGACCGGCUUUUUAAGCAUGGAUUGGGUAGCCAAAAGUUAUUUUGGACGAGCCACGAAAGAGGUAUUUAUCGAGGAGUUUUUGCGUGUCCUUUGUUGUCGAGUCGCGUUUGGUCGGUUUUAGGGUAAAUUCUGUACAAGAUGUCAUGUAUGGUUACCUAACUUGGAAACUUUCUAUGAACAGAAUUUUUUAAGAAUGGAUUGGGUAGCUAAAAGUUAUUUUGUACGAGCCAAGGAAGAGGUAGUUAUAGAGGAGGUUCCGCGUGUCCAUUGUUUUCGAGUCGCGUUUGGUUGGUUCAAGGGCAAAUUUUGUACAAGAUGUCAUAUAUGGGUACCUAACUUGGAAAAAUUCUGUGAAUGACAUUUUUUAAGCAUUGAUUGGGUAGCCAAAAGUUAUCUUGGUCGAGCCACUAAAGAGGUAGUUAUCGAGGAGUUUUUGCGUGUCCUUUGUUUUCGAGUCGCGUUUGGUCGAUUUUAGGGCAAAUUCUGUACAACAUGUCAUAUAUGGGUACCUAACUUUGGAAAAAUAAUAUGAAUGGCAUUUUUAUGCAUGGAUUGGGUAGCAAAAAGUUAUUUUGGAAGAGCCACGAAAGAGGUAGUUAUCGAGGAGUUUUUGCGUGUCCUUUGUUUCGGGUCGCGUUUGGUCGGUUUUAGGGCAAAUUUUGUACAACAUGUCAUAUAUGGGUACCUAACUUGGAAACAUUCGGUGAACGACAUUUUAUAAGGAUGGAUUGGGUAGCAAAAAUUUAUGUUGAACAAGCCACGAGUUUUUGCAUGUCCUUUGUUUUUUAGUCGCGUUUGGUCGGUUUUAGGGCAAAUUCUGUACAAGAUGCCAUAUAUGGUACCUAACUUGGAAAAUUUCUGUGAACGGCGUUUUUUAAACAUGGACUGGACAGCAAAAAGUUAUUUUGGACGAGCCACGAAAGAGGUAUUUAUCGAGGAGUUUUUGCGUGUCCUUUGUUUUCGAGUUGCGUUCGGUCGGUUUUAGGGUAAAUUAUGUACAAGAGGUCAUCUAUGGUUACCUAACUUGGAAAAUUUCUAUGAACAGAGUUUUUUAUGAAUGGAUUGGGUAGCUAAAUGUUCUUUUGGACGAGCCUAGAAAGAGGUAGUUAUAGAGGAGGUUUUGCGUGUCCUUUGUUUUCGAGUCGCGUUUGGUUUGUUCAUGGGCAAAUUUUGUACAAGAUGUCAUAUAUGCGUACCUAACUCAGAAAAAUUCUGUGAACGACAUUUUUUAAGCAUGGACUGGGUAGGAAAAAGUUAUGUUGGAUGAGCCACUAAAGAGGUAGUUAUCGAGGAGUUUUUGCGUGUCCUUUGUUUUCGAGUCGCGUUUGAUCGGUUUUAGGGCAAAUUCUGUACAACAUGUCAUAUAUGGGUACCUAACUUUGGAAAAAUUCUGUGAAUGGCAUUUUUUAAGCAUGGAUUGGGUAGCAAAAAGUUAUUUUGGAAGAGCCACGAAAGAGGUAGUUAUCGAGGAGUUUUUGCAUGUCAUUUGUUUUUGAGUCGCGUUUGGUCGGUUUUAGGGCAAAUUCUGUACAACAUGUCAUAUAUGGGUUGGGUUAUAAAAAGUUAUGUUGGACGAGCCACGAAAGAGUUAGUUAUCGCGGAGUUUUUGCGUGUCCUUUGUUUUUGAGUCGCAUUUGGUAGGUUUAAGGGCAAAUUAUGCACAAGAUGUCAUAUAUGGGUACCUAACUUGGAAAAAUUAUGUAAACGGCAUUUUUUAAGCAUGGAUUGGGUAUCAAAAAGUUAUUUUGGACGAGCCAUAAAAGAGAUAUUUAUCCAGGAGUUUUUGAGUGUCCUUUGUUUUCGAGUCGCAUUUGGUUGGUUUUAGGGCAAAUUCUGGACAAGCUGUCAUAUAUGGGUACCUAACUUGGAAAAAUUCUGUGACCAGCAUUUUUUAAGCAUGGAUUCGGUAGCAAUAAGUUAUUUUGGAUGAGCCAAGAAAGAGGUAGUUAUCGAGUAGUUUUUCCGUGUCCUUUGUUUUUGAGUCGCGUUUGGUCGGUUUUAGGGCAAAUUCUGUACAAGACGUCAUAUAUGGAUACCUAACAUGGAAAAAUUCUGUGAACGAAAUUUUUUAAGCAUGGAUUGGGUAGCAAAAAGUUAUUUUAGACAAGCCACGAAAGAGGUAGUUAUGGAGGAAUUUUGCGUGUCCUUUGUUUUUGAGUCGCGUUUUGUCGGUUUUAGGGUAAAUUCUGUACAAGAUGUCAUAUAUGGGUACCAAACUUGGAAAUAUUCUGUGGACGACAUUUUUAAGCAUGUAUUGGGUAGUAAAAAGUUAUUUUGGGCAAGCCACCAAAGAGGUAAUUAUCCAGGAGUUUCUGCGUGUCCUUUCUUUCCGAGUCGUGUUUGGUCGGUUUUAGGGAAAAUUCUAUAACAGAUGUCAUAUAUGGUACCUACCUUGGAAAUUUUCUGCGAACGACAUUUUUUUAAGCAUGGAUUUGGUAGCAAAAUUUAUUUUGGACGAGCCACAAAAGAGGUAGUUAUCGAGGACUUUCUGCGUGUCCUUUAUUUUCGAGUCGCGUUUGGUCGGUUUUAUGGUAAAUUCUAUAACAGAUGCCAUAUAUGGUAGCUAACUUGGAAAAUUUCUGUGAACGACAUUUUUUAAGCAUGGAUUGGGAAGCAAAAAGUUAUUUUGAACGUGCCACGAAAGAGGUAUUUAUCGAGGAGUUUUUGCGUGUCCUUUGUUUUCGAGUCGCGUUUGGUCGGUUUUAGGGUAAAUUCUGUACAAGAUGUCAUGUAUGGUUACCUAACUUGGAAAUGUUCUAUGAACGGAAUUUUUUAAGAAUGGAUUGGGUAGCUAAAGUUAUUUUGGACGAGCCAAGAAAGAGGUAGUUAUAGAGGAGGUUUUGCGUGUCCUUUGUUUUUGAGUCGCGUUUGGUUGGUUCAAGGGCAAAUUCUGUACAAGAUGUCAUAUAUGGGUACCUAACUUGGAAAAAUUCUGUGAACGACAUUUGUUAAGCAUGGAUUGGGUAGCAAAAAGUAAUGUUGGACGAGCCACGAAAGAGUUAGUUAUCGAGGAGUUUUUGCGUGUCCUUUGUUUGGAUUGGGUAGCAAUAAGUUAUUUUGGGCAAGCCACCAAAGAGGUAAUUAUUGAGGAGUUUCUGCAUGUCGCGUUUGGUCGGUUUUAGGGCAAAUUCUAUAACAGAUGCCAUAUAUGGUACCUAACUUGGAAAAUUUCUGUGAACGGCGUUUUUUAAACAUGGACUGGACAGCAAAAAGUUAUUUUGGAUGAGCCACGAAAGAGGUAUUUAUCGAGGAGUUUUUGCGUGUCCUUUGUUUUCGAGUUGCGUUCGGUCGGUUUUAGGGUAAAUUAUGUACAAGAGGUCAUCUAUGGUUACCUAACUUGGAAAAUUUCUAUGAAUAGAGUUUUUUAUGAAUGGAUUGGGUAGCUAAAAGUUCUUUUGGACGAGCCUAGAAAGAGGUAGUUAUAGAGGAGGUUUUGCGUGUCCUUUGUUUUCGAGUCGCGUUUGGUUUGUUCAUGGGCAAAUUUUGUACAAGAUGUCAUAUAUGCGUACCUAACUCAGAAAAAUUCUGUGAACGACAUUUUUUAAGCAUGGACUGGGUAGGAAAAAGUUAUGUUGGAUGAGCCACUAAAGAGGUAGUUAUCGAGGAGUUUUUGCGUGUCCUUUGUUUUCGAGUCGCGUUUGGUCGGUUUUAGGGCAAAUUCUGUACAACAUGUCAUAUAUGGGAACCUAACAUUGGAAAAAUUCUAUGAAUGGCAUUUUUAAGCAUGGAUUGGGUAGCAAAAGGUUAUUUUGGAAGAGCCACGAAAGAGGUAGUUAUCGAGUCACGUUUGGUCGGUUUUACGGCAAAUUCUGUACAAGAUGUCAUAUAUGGGUACCUAACUUGGAAAAAUUCCAUGACCGGCUUUUUAAGCAUGGAUUGGGUAGCAAAAAUUUAUUUUGGACGAGCCAUGAAAGAGGUAGUUAUCAAGUAGUUUUUACGUAUCCUUUGUUUCGAGUCGCGUUUGGUCGGUUUUAGGGCAAAUUUUGUACAACAUGUCAGAUAUGGGUACCUAACUUGGAAACAUUCGGUGAAUAACAUUUUAUAAGUAUGGAUUGGGUAGCAAAAAUUUAUGUUGGACGAGCCACGAUAGAGGUAGUUACCGAGGAGUUUUUGCAUGUCCUUUGUUUUUGAGUCGCGUUUGGUCAGUUUUAGGGCAAAUUCUGUACAACAUGUAAUAUAUGGGUACCUAACUUGGAAAAAUUAUGUGAACGGCAUUUUUAAGCAUGGAUUGGGUUAUAAAAAGUUAUGUUGGACGAGCCACGAAAGAGUUAGUUAUCGAGGAGUUUUUGCGUGUCCUUUGUUUUCGAGUCCCGUUUGGUAGGUAUAAGGGCAAAUUAUGCACAAGUUUUCGUAUAUGGGUACCUAACAUGGAAAAAUUAUGUAAACAAUAUUUUUUAAGCAUGGAUUGGGUAGAAAAAAUGUUAUUUUGGACAAGCCAUGAAAGUUGUAUUUAUCGAAGAAAUUUUGCGUGUCCUUUGUUCGAGUCAUGUUUGGUCGGUUUUAGGGAAAAUUCUGGACAAGCUAUCACAUAUGGGUACCUAACUUGGAAAAAUUCUGUCAGCAGCAUUUUUUAAGCAUGGAUUGGGUAGCAAAAACUUAUUUUGGACAAGCCACGAAAGAGGUAGUUAUCGAGGAGCUUUUGCGUGCCCUUUCUUUUUGAGUCGUGUUUGGUCGGUUUUAGGGCAAAUUCUGUACAAGAUGUCAUAUAUGGGUACCUAACUUGGAAAUAUUCUGUGAACGUUAUUUUUUAAGCAAGGAUUGGGUAGCAAAAAUUUAUUUUGGACGAGCCACGAAAGAGGUAGUUAUUGAGGAGUUUCUGCAUGUCCUUUGUUUUCGAGUCGCGUUUGGUCGGUUUUAGGGAAAAUUCUAUAACAGAUGCUAUAUAUGGGCACCUAACUUGGAAAAAUUCUGUGAACGACAUUUUUUAAGGAUGGAUUGGGUAGCAAAAAGUUAUGUUGGACGAGCCACGAAAGAGGUAGCUAUCGUGGAGUUUUUGUGUGUCCUUUGUUUUUGAGUCUCGUUUGGUCGGUUUUACGGCAAAUUCUGGACAAGAUGUAAUAUAUGGGUACCUAACUUGGAAAAAUUUUGUGAAUGACAUUUUUUAAGCAUGGAUUGGGCAGCAAAAAGUUAUUUUGGAUGAGCCACGAAAGAGGUAUUUAUUGAGGAGUUUUUGCGUGUCCUUUGUUUUCGAGUCACGUUCCGUCGGUUUUAGGGUAAAUUCCGUACAAGAUGUCAUGUAUGGUUACCUAACUUGGAAAAUUUGUAUGAACGGAAUUUUUUUAAGCACGGAUUGGGUAGCUAAAAGUUAUUUUGGAUGAGCCAUGAAAGAGGUAGUUAUCAAGGAGUUUUUGCGUGUCCUUUGUUUUCAAGUCCUGUUUGGUCGGUUCAAGGGCAAAUUCUGUACAAGAUGUCAUAUAUGGGUACCUAAGUUUGAAUAAUUCUAUGAACGGUAUUUUUUAAGCAUGGAUUGGGUACCAAAAAGUUAUUUUGGACGAGCCACAAAAGAGGUAGUUAUCGAGGAGUUUCUGCGUGUCCUUUGUUUUCGAGUCGCGUUUGGUCGGUUUUAGGGCAAAUUCUAUAACAGAUGCCAUAUAUGGUAGCUAACUUGGAAAAUUUCUGUGAACGACAUUUUUUAAGCAUGGAUUGGGCAGCAAAAAGUUAUUUUGAACGUGCCACGAAAGAGGUAUUUAUCGAGGAGUUUUUGCGUGUCCUUUGUUUUCGAGUCGCGUUUGGUCGGUUUUAGGGUAAAUUCUGUACAAGAUGUCAUGUAUGGUUACCUAACUUGGAAAAUUUCUAUGAACGGAAUUUUUUAAGAAUGGAUUGGGUAGCUAAAGUUAUUUUGGACGAGCCAAGAAAGAGGUAGUUAUAGAGGAGGUUUUGCGUGUCCUUUGUUUUUGAGUCGCGUUUGGUUGGUUCAAGGGAAAAUUCUGUACAAUAUGUCAUAUAUGGGUACCUAACUUGGAAAAAUUCUGUGAACGACAUUUGUUAAGCAUGGAUUGGGUAGCAAAAAUUUAUUUUGGACGAGCCACGAAAGAGGUAGUUAUUGAGGAGUUUCUGCAUGUCCUUUGUUUUCGAGUCGCGUUUGGUCGGUUUUAGGGAAAAUUCUAUAACAGAUGCCCUAUAUGGGCACCUAACUUGGAAAAAUUCUGUGAACGACAUUUUUUAAGGAUGGAUUGGGUAGCAAAAAGUUAUGUUGGACGAGCCACGAAAGAGGUAGUUAUCGUGGAGUUUUUGUGUGUCCUUUGUUUUUGAGUCUCGUUUGGUCGGUUUUAGGGCAAAUUCUGGACAAGAUGUAAUAUAUGGGUACCUAACUUGGAAAAUUUUUGUGAAUGACAUUUUUUAAGCAUGGAUUGGGCAGCAAAAAGUUAUUUUGGAUGAGCCACGAAAGAGGUAUUUAUUGAGGAGUUUUUGCGUGUCCUUUGUUUUCGAGUCACGUUCCGUCGGUUUUAGGGUAAAUUCCGUACAAGAUGUCAUGUAUGGUUACCUAACUUGGAAAAUUUGUAUGAACAGAAUUUUUUAAGCACGGAUUGGGUAGCUAAAAGUUAUUUUGGAUGAGCCAUGAAAGAGGUAGUUAUCAAGGAGUUUUUGCGUGUCCUUUGUUUUCAAGUCCUGUUUGGUCGGUUCAAGGGCAAAUUCUGUACAAGAUGUCAUAUAUGGGUACCUAAGUUUGAAUAAUUCUAUGAACGGCAUUUUUUAAGCAUGGAUUUGGUACCAAAAAGUUAUUUUGGACGAGCCACAAAAGAGGUAGUUAUCGAGGAGUUUCUGCGUGUCCUUUGUUUUCGAGUCGCGUUUGGUCGGUUUUAGGGCAAAUUCUAUAACAGAUGCCAUAUAUGGUAGCUAACUUGGAAAAUUUCUGUGAACGACAUUUUUUAAGCAUGGAUUGGGAAGCAAAAAGUUAUUUUGAACGUGCCACGAAAGAGGUAUUUAUCGAGGAUUUUUUGCGUGUCCUUUGUUUUCGAGUCGCGUUUGGUCGGUUUUAGGGUAAAUUCUGUACAAGAUGUCAUGUAUGGUUACCUAACUUGGAAAAUUUCUAUGAACGGAAUUUUUUAAGAAUGGAUUGGGUAGCUCAAGUUAUUUUGGACGAGCCAAGAAAGAGGUAGUUAUAGAGGAGGUUUUGCGUGUCCUUUGUUUUUGAGUCGCGUUUGGUUGGUUCAAGGGCAAAUUCUGUACAAGAUGUCAUAUAUGGGUACCUAACUUGGAAAAAUUCUGUGAACGACAUUUGUUAAGCAUGGAUUGGGUAGCAAAAAGUAAUGUUGGACGAGCCACUAAAGAGGUAGUUAUCGAGGAGUUUUUGCGUGUCCUUUGUUUUCGAGUGGCGUUUGGUCGGUUUUAGCGCAAAUUCUGUACAACAUGUCAUAUAUUUGUACCUAACUUUGGAAUAAUUCUGUGAAUGGCAUUUUUUAAGCAUGGAUUGGGUAGANNNNNNNNNNNNNNNNNNNNNNNNNNNNNNNNNNNNNNNNNNNNNNNNNNNNNNNNNNNNNNNNNNNNNNNNNNNNNNNNNNNNNNNNNNNGGUUCAAGGGCAAAUUCUGUACAAGAUGUCAUAUAUGGGUACCUAACUUGGAAAAAUUCUGUGAACGACAUUUGUUAAGCAUGGAUUGGGUAGCAAAAAGUAAUGUUGGACGAGCCACUAAAGAGGUAGUUAUCGAGGAGGUUUUGCGUGUCCUUUGUUUUCGAGUGGCGUUUGGUCGGUUUUAGCGCAAAUUCUGUACAACAUGUCAUAUAUUUGUACCUAACUUUGGAAUAAUUCUGUGAAUGGCAUUUUUUAAGCAUGGAUUGGGUAGAAAAAAGUUAUUUUGGAAGAGCCACGAAAGAGGUAGUUAUCGUGGAGUUUUUGCAUGUCACUUGUUUUUGAGUCGCGUUUGGUCGGUUUUAGGGAAAAUUCUGUACAAGAUGUCAUAUAUGGGUACCGAACUUGGAAAAAUUCUAUGACCGGCUUUUUAAGCAUGGAUUGGGUAGCCAAAAGUUAUUUUGGACGAGCCACAAAAGAGGUAUUUAUCGAGGAUUUUUUGCGUCUCAUAUGUUGUCGAGUCGCGUUUGGUCGGUUUUAGGGUAAAUUCUGUACAAGAUGUCAUGUAUGGUUACCUAACUUUGAAAAUUUCUAUGAACGGAAUUUUUUAAGAAUGGAUUGGGUAGCUAAAAGUUAUUUUGGAUGAGCCAAGGAAGAGGUAGUUAUAGAGGAGGUUUUGCGUGUCCUUUGUUUUCGAGUCGCGUUUGGUUGGUUCAAGGGCAAAUUUUGUACAAGAUUUCAUAUAUGGGUACCGACAUGGAAAAAUUCUGUCAAUGACAUUUUUUAAGCAUAGAUUGGGUAGCAAAAAGUUAUGUUGGAUGAGCCACUAAAGAGGUAGUUAUCGAGUAGUUUUUGCGUGUCCUUUGUUUUCGAGUCGCAUUUGGUCGGUUUUAGGGCAAAUUCUGUACAACAUGUCAUAUAUGGGAACCUAACUUUAGAAAAAUUCUAUGAAUGGCAUUUUUAAGCAUGGAUUGGGUAGCAAAAAGUUAUUUUGGAAGAGCCACGAAAGAGGUAGUUAUCGAGUCACGUUUGGUCGGUUUUAGGGCAAAUUCUGUACAAGAUGUCAUAUAUGGGUACCUAACUUGGAAAAAUUCCAUGACCGGCUUUUUAAGCAUGGAUUGGGUAGCAAAAAUUUAUUUUGGACGAGCCAUGAAAGAGGUAGUUAUCAAGUAGUUUUUACGUAUCCUUUGUUUCGAGUCGCGUUUGGUCGGUUUUAGGGCAAAUUUUGUACAACAUGUCAGAUAUGGGUACCUAACUUGGAAACAUUCGGUGAACAACAUUUUAUAAGUAUGGAUUGGGUAGCAAAAAUUUAUGUUGGACGAGCCACGAUAGAGGUAGUUACCGAGGAGUUUUUGCAUGUCCUUUGUUUUUGAGUCGCGUUUGGUCGGUUUUAGGGAAAAUUCUGUACAACAUGUAAUAUAUGGGUACCUUACUUGGAAAAAUUAUGUGAACGGCAUUUUUAAGCAUGGAUUGGGUUAUAAAAAGUUAUGUUGGACGAGCCACGAAAGAGUUAGUUACCGAGGAGUUUUUGCGUGUCCGUUGUUUUCGAGUCCCGUUUGGUAGGUAUAAGGGCAAAUUAUGCACAAGUUUUCGUAUAUGGGUACCUAACAUGGAAAAAUUAUGUAAACAAUAUUUUUUAAGCAUGGAUUGGGUAGAAAAAAUGUUAUUUUGGACAAGCCAUGAAAGUGGUAUUUAUCGAAGAGUUUUUGCGUGUCCUUUGUUCGAGUCGUGUUUGGUCGGUUUUAGGGAAAAUUCUGGACAAGCUAUCACAUAUGGGUACCUAACUUGAACAAAUUCUGUCAGCAGCAUUUUUUAAGCAUGGAUUGGGUAGCAAAAACUUAUUUUGGACAAGCCACGAAAGAGGUAGUUAUCGUGGAGUUUUUGCGUGCCCUUUGUUUUUGAGUCGUGUUUGGUCGGUUUUAGGGCAAAUUCUGUACAAGAUGUCAUAUAUGGGUACCUAACUUGGAAAUAUUCUGUGAACGUUAUUUUUUAAGCAAGGAUUGGGUGGUAAAAAGUUAUUUUGGGCAAGCCACGACAGAGGUAGUUAUCGAGGAGUUUCUGCGUGCCCUUUGUUUCCGAGUUGCGUUUGGUCGGUUUUAGGGCAAAUUCUGUAACAGAUGUCAUAUAGGGGUACCUACCUUGGAAUUUUUCUGCGAACGACAUUUUUUAAGCAUGAUUGGGUAGCAAAAAGUUAUUUUGGACGAGCCACGAAAGAGGUAGUUAUUGAGGAGUUUCUGCAUGUCCUUUGUUUUCGAGUCGCGUUUGGUCGGUUUUAGGGAAAAUUCUAUAACAGAUGCCAUAUAUGGGCACCUAACUUGGAAAAAUUCUGUGAACGACAUUUUUUAAGGAUGGAUUGGGUAGCAAAAAGUUAUGUUGGACGAGCCAUGAAAGAGGUAGUUAUCGUGGAGUUUUUGUGUGUCCUUUGUUUUUGAGUCUCGUUUGGUCGGUUUUAGGGCAAAUUCUGGACAAGAUGUAAUAUAUGGGUACCUAACUUGGAAAAUUUUUGUGAAUGACAUUUUUUAAGCAUGGAUUGGGCAGCAAAAAGUUAUUUUGGAUGAGCCACGAAAGAGGUAUUUAUUGAGGAGUUUUUGCGUGUCCUUUGUUUUCGAGUCACGUUCCGUCGGUUUUAGGGUAAAUACCGUACAAGAUGUCAUGUAUGGUUACCUAACUUGGAAAAUUUGUAUGAACAGAAUUUUUUAAGCACGGAUUGGGUAGCUAAAAGUUAUUUUGGAUGAGCCAUGAAAGAGCUAGUUAUCAAGGAGUUUUUGCGUGUCCUUUGUUUUCAAGUCCCGUUUGGUCGGUUCAAGGGCAAAUUCUGUACAAGAUAUCAUAUAUGGGUACCUAAGUUUGAAUAAUUCUAUGAACGGCAUUUUUUAAGAAUGGAUUGGGUACCAAAAAGUUAUGUUGGACGAGCCACGAAAGAGGUAGUUACCGAGGAGUUUUUGCGUGUCUUUUGUUUUUGAGUCGCGUUUGGUCUGUUUUAGGGCAAAUUCUGUACAACAUGUAAUAUAUGGGUACCUAACUGGGAAAAAUUAUGUGAACGACAUUUUUAAGCAUGGAUUGGGUUAUAAAAAGUUAUGUUGGACGAGCCACGAAAGAGUUAGUAUCGAGGGGUUUUUGCGUGUCCUUUGUUUUCUAGUCGCGUUUGGUAGGUUUUAGGGCAAAUUAUGCACAAGCUGUCAUAUAUGGGUACCUAACUUGGAAAAAUUAUGUGAACGGCAUUUUUUAAUUAUGGAUUGGGUUAUAAGAAGUUAUGUUGGAGGAGUCACGAUAGAGUUAGUUAUCGAGGAGCUUUUGCGUGUCCUUUGUUUUCGAGUCGCGUUUGGUCGCUUUUAGGGCAAAUGCUGGACAAGCUGUCAUAUAUGGGUACCUGACUUGGAAAAAUUCUAUGAGCAGAAUUUUUUAAGCAUGGGGUAGCAAUAAGUUAUUUUGGACGAGCCAAGAAAGAGGAAGUUAUCGAGUAGUUUUUGCCUGUUCUUUGUUUUCGGGUCGCGUUUGGUCGGUUUUAAGAGAAAUAUUGUACAAGACGUCAUAUAUGGGUACCUAACAUGGAAAAAUUAUGUAAACGACAUUUUCUAAGCAUGGAUUGGGUAGCAAUAAGUUAUUUUGGACGAGCCAAGAAAGAGGUAGUUAUCGUGGAGUUUUUGCAUGUCCUUUAUUUUUGAGUCGCCUUUGGUCGGUUUUAGGGCAAAUUCUGUACAAUAUGUAAUAUAUGGGUACCUAACUUGGAAAAAUUAUGUGAAUUGAAUUUUUUAAGCAUGGAUUGGGUUAUAAAAAGUUAUGUUGGACGAGCCACGAAAGAGUUAGUUAUCGAGGAUUUUUUUGCGAUACCUUUGUUUUUGAGUCGCAUUUGGUAGGUUUAAGGGCAAAUUAUGCACAAGAUGUCAUUUAUGCGUGCCUAACUUGGAAAAACUAUGUAAAGGGCAUUUUUAAGCAUGUAUUGGGUAGGAAAAAGUUAUUUUGGACGAGCCAUAAAAGAGGUAUUUAUCGAGGUGUUUUUGCGUGUCCUUUGUUUUCGAGUCGCAUUUGGUCCGUGUUUGGGCAAAUUCUGGACAAGCUGUCAUAUAUGGGUACCUCACUUGGAAAAAUUCUGUGACCAGCAUUUUUUAAGCAUGGAUUAGGUAGCAAUAAGUUAUUUUGGAUGAGCCAAGAAAGAGGUAGUUAUCGAGUAGUUUUUCCGUGUCCUUUGUUUUGAAUCGCGUUUGGUCAGUUUUAGGGCAAAUUCUGUACAACAUGUCAUAUAUGGGAACCUAACUUUAGAAAAAUUCUAUGAAUGGCAUUUUUAAGCAUGGAUUGGGUAGCAAAAAGUUAUUUUGGAAGAGCCACGAAAGAGGUAGUUAUCGAGUCACGUUUGGUCGGUUUUAGGGCAAAUUCUGUACAAGAUGUCAUAUAUGGGUACCUAACUUGGAAAAAUUCCAUGACCGGCUUUUUAAGCAUGGAUUGGGUAGCAAAAAUUUAUUUUGGACGAGCCAUGAAAGAGGUAGUUAUCAAGUAGUUUUUACGUAUCCUUUGUUUCGAGUCGCGUUUGGUCGGUUUUAGGGCAAAUUUUGUACAACAUGUCAGAUAUGGGUACCUAACUUGGAAACAUUCGGUGAANNNNNNNNNNAGGUAGUUAUCGUGGAGUUUUUGCAUGUCCUUUAUUUUUGAGUCGCCUUUGGUCGGUUUUAGGGCAAAUUCUGUACAAUAUGUAAUAUAUGGGUACCUAACUUGGAAAAAUUAUGUGAAUUGAAUUUUUUAAGCAUGGAUUGGGUUAUAAAAAGUUAUGUUGGACGAGCCACGAAAGAGUUAGUUAUCGAGGAUUUUUUUGCGAUACCUUUGUUUUUGAGUCGCAUUUGGUAGGUUUAAGGGCAAAUUAUGCACAAGAUGUCAUUUAUGCGUGCCUAACUUGGAAAAACUAUGUAAAGGGCAUUUUUAAGCAUGUAUUGGGUAGGAAAAAGUUAUUUUGGACGAGCCAUAAAAGAGGUAUUUAUCGAGGUGUUUUUGCGUGUCCUUUGUUUUCGAGUCGCAUUUGGUCCGUGUUUGGGCAAAUUCUGGACAAGCUGUCAUAUAUGGGUACCUCACUUGGAAAAAUUCUGUGACCAGCAUUUUUUAAGCAUGGAUUAGGUAGCAAUAAGUUAUUUUGGAUGAGCCAAGAAAGAGGUAGUUAUCGAGUAGUUUUUCCGUGUCCUUUGUUUUGAAUCGCGUUUGGUCAGUUUUAGGGCAAAUUCUGUACAAGACGUCAUAUAUGGGUACCUAACAUGGAAAAAUUCUGUGAACGAAAUUUUUUAAGCAUGGAUUAGGUAGCAAAAAGUUAUUUUGGACGAGCCACGAAAGAGGUAAUUAUUGAGGAGUUUCUGCGUGUCCUUUGUUUUUGAGUCGCGUUUGGUCGGUUCUAGGGUAAAUUCUGUACAAGAUGUCAUAUAUGGGUACCUAACUUGGAAAUAUUCUAUGAACGACAUUUUUAAGCAUGGAUUGGGUAGCAAAAAUUUAUUUUGGGCAAGCCAACAAAGAGGUAAUUAUCGAGGAGUUUCUGCGUGUCCUUUCUUUCCGAGUCGUGUUUGGUCGGUUUUAGGGCAAAUUCUGUAACAGAUGUCAUAUGUGGUACCUACCUUGGAAAUUUUCUGCGAACGGCAUUCUUUUAAGCAUGUACUUGGUUGCAAAAUUUAUUUUGGAGGAGCCACAAAAGAGGUAGUUAUCAAGGAGUUUCUGCGUGUCCUUUGUUUUCGAGUCGCGCUUGGUCGGUUUCUCGGAAAUUCUAUAACAGAUGCCAUAUAUGGUACCUAACUUGGAAAAUUUCUGUGAACGGUAUUUUUAAGCAUGGAUUGGGCAGCAAAAAGUUAUUUUGGACGUCCCACGAAAGAGGUAUUUAUCGAGGAGUUUUUUCGUGUCCUUUGUUUUCGAGUCUCGUUUGGUCGGUUUUAGGGUAAAUUCUGUACAAGAUGUCAUGUAUGGUUACCUAACUUGGAAAAUUUCUAUGAACGUAAUUUUUUAAGAAUGGAUUGGGUAGCUAAAAGUUAUUUUGGACGAGCCAAGAAAGAGGUAGUUAUAGAGGAGGUUUUGCGUGUCCUUUGUUUUCGAGUCGCGUUUGGUUGGUUCAAGGGCAAAUUCUGUACAAGAUGUCAUAUAUGGGUACCUAACUUGGAAAAAUUCUGUGAACGACAUUUUUUAAGCAUGGAUUGGGUAGCAAAAAGUUAUGUUGGACGAGCCACUAAAGAGUUAGUUAUCGAGGAGUUUUUGCGUGUCCUUUGUUUUCGAGUCACGUUUGGUCGGUUUUAGGGCAAAUUCUGUACAACAUGUCAUAUAUGGGUACUUAACUUUGAUAAAAUUCUGUGAAUGGCAUUUUUUAAGCAUGGAUUGGGUAGAAAAAAUUUAUUUUGGAAGAGCCACAAAAGAGGUAGUUAUCGAGGAGUUUUUGCAUGUCAUUUGUUUUUGAGUCGCGUUUGGUCGGUUUUAGGGCAAAUUCCGUACAAGAUGUCAUAUAUGAGUACCUAACUUGGAAAAAUUCUAUGACCGGCUUUUUAAGCAUGGAUAGGGUAGCCAAAAGUUAUUUUGGACGAGCCAAGAAAGAGGUAUUUAUCGAGGAGUUUUGCGUGUCUUUUGUUAUCGAGUCGCGUUUGGUCGGUUUUAGGGUAAAUUCUGUACAAGAUGUCAUGUAUGGUUACCUAACUUGGAAACUUUCUAUGAACGGAAUUUUUUAAGAAUGGAUUGGGUAUCUAAAAGUUAUUUUGUACGAGCCAAGGAAGAGGUAGUUAUAGAGGAGGUUCUGCGUGUCCAUUGUUUUCGAGUCGCGUUUGGUUGGUUCAAGGGCAAAUUUUGUACAAGAUGUGAUAUAUGGGUACCUAGCUUGGAAAAAUUAUGUGAAUGACAUUUUUUAAGCAUUGAUUGGGUAGCCAAAAGUUAUGUUGGACGAGCCACUAAAGAGGUAGUUAUCGAGGAGUUUUUGCGUGUCCUUUGUUUUCGAGUCGCGUUUGGUCGAUUUUAGGGCAAAUUCUGUACAACAUGUCAUAUAUGGGUACCUAACUUUGGAAAAAUAAUAUGAAUGGCAUUUUUAUGCAUGGAUUGGGUAGCAAAAAGUUAUUUUGGAAGAGCCACGAAAGAGGUAGUUAUCGAGUCAAGUUUGCUCGGUUUUAGGGCAAAUUCUGUACAAGAUGUCAUAUAUGGGUACCUAACUUGGAAAAAUUCUAUGACCGGGUUUUUAAGCAUGGAUUGGGUAGCCAAAAGUUAUUUUGGACGAGCCAUGAAAGAGGUAGUUAUCAAGGAGUUUUUGCGUGUCCUUUGUUUCGAGUCGCGUUUGGUCGGUUUUAGGGCAAAUAUUGUACAACAUGUCAUAUAUGGGUACCUAACUUCCAAACAUUCGGUGAACGACAUUUUAUAAGGAUGGAUUGGGUAGCAAAAAAUUAUGUUGAACAAGCCACGAUAGAGGUAGUUACUGACGAGUUUUUUCAUGUCCUUUGUUUUUGAGUCGUGUUUGGUCGGUUUUAGGGCAAAUUCUGUUAUGUUGGACGAGCCACGACAGAGUUAGUUAUCGAGGAGUUUUUGCGUGUCCUUUGUUUGGAUUGGGUAGCAAUAAGUUAUUUUGGGCAAGCCACCAAAGAGGUAAUUAUUGAGGAGUUUCUGCAUGUCGCGUUUGGUUGGUUUUAGGGAUAAUUCUUUAACAGAUGUCAUAUACGGUACCUACCUUGGAAAUUUUCUGCGAACGGCAUUCUUUUAAGCAUGGACUUGGUAGCUAAAUCUAUUUUGGACGAGCCCCAAAAGAGGUAGUUAUCGAGGAGUUUCUGCGUGUCCUUUGUUUUUGAGUCGCGUUUGGUCGGUUUUAGGGCAAAAUUCUGUGAACGGCGUUUUUUAAGAAUGGAUUGGACAGCAAAAAGUUAUUUUGGACGAGCCACGAAAGAGGUAUUUAUCGGGGAGUUUUUGCGUGUCCUUUGUUUUCGAGUUGCGUUUGGUCGGUUUUAGGGUAAAUUAUGUACAAGAGGUCAUCUAUGGUUACCUACUUGGAAAAUUUCUAUGAACAGAGUUUUUUAUGAAUGGAUUGGGUAACUAAAAGUUAUUUUGGACGAGCCAAGAAAGAGGUAGUUAUAGAGGAGGUUUUGCGUGUGCUUUGUUUUCGAGUCAUAUAUGGGUACCUAACUUAGAAAAAUUCUGUGAACAACAUUUUUUAAGCAUGGACUGGGUAGCAAAGAGUUAUGUUGGACGAGCCACUUAAGAGGUAGUUAUCGAGCAGUUUUUGCGUGUCCUUUGUUUUUGAGUCGCGUUUGGUCGGUUUUAGGGCAAAUUCUGUACAACAUGUCAUAUAUGGGUACCUAACUUUGGAAAAAUUCUGUGAAUGGCAUUUUUUAAGCAUGGAUUGGGUAGCAAAAAGUUAUUUUGGAAGAGCCAUGAAAGAGGUAGUUAUCGAGGAGUUUUUUCAUGUCAUUUGCUUUCGAGUCGCGUUUGGUCGGUUUUAGGGAAAAUUCUGUACAACAUGUCAUAUAUGGGUUGGGUUAUAAAAAUUUAUGUUGGACGAGCCACGAAAGAGUUAGUUAUCGCGGAGUUUUUGCGUGUCCUUUGUUUUUGAGUCGCAUUUGGUAGGUUUAAGGGCAAAUUAUGCACAAGAUGUCAUAUAUGGGUACCUAACUUGGAAAAGUUAUGUAAACGGCAUUUUUUAAGCAUGGAUUGGGUAGCAAAAAGUUAUUUUGGAUGAGCCAUAAAAGAGAUAUUUGUCCAGGAGUUUUUGCGUGUCCUUUGUUUUCGAGUCACAUUUGGUUGGUUUUAGGGCAAAUUCUGGACAAGCUGUCAUAUAUGGGUACCUAACUUGGAAAAAUUAUGUGACCAGCAUUUUUUAAGCAUGGAUUAGGUAGCAAUAAGUUAUUUUGGAUGAGCCAAGAAAGAGGUAGUUAUCGAGUAGUUUUUCCGUGUCCUUUUGUUUUUGAGUCGCGUUUGGUCGGUUUUAGGGCAAAUUCUGUACAAGACGUCAUAUAUGGAUACCUAACAUGGAAAAAUUGUGUGAACGAAAUUUUUUAAGCAUGGAUUGGGUAGCAAAAAGUUAUUUUGGACAAGCCACGAAAGAGGUAGUUAUGGAGGAAUUUUUGCGUGUCCUUUUUUUUGAGUCGCGUUUCGUCGGUUUUAGGGUAAAUUCUGUACAAGAUGUCAUAUAUGGGUACCAAACUUGGAAAUAUUCUCUGGACGACAUUUUUAAGCAUGGAUUGGGUAGCAAAAAGUUAUUUUGGGCAAGCCGCCAAAGAGGUAAUUAUCGAGGAGUUUCUGCGUGUCCUUUCUUUCCGAGUCGUGUUUGGUCGGUUUUAGGGCCAAUUCUAUAACAGAUGUCAUAAUGGUACCUACCUUGGAAACUUUCUGCGAACGACAUUUUUUUAAGCAUUGAUUUGGUGGGAAAAUUUAUGUUGGACGAGCCAAAAAAGAGGUAGUUAUCGAGGAGUUUCUGCGUGUCCUUUGUUUUCGAGUCGCGUUUGGUCGGUUUUAGGGCAAAUUCUGUACAAGACGUCAUAUAUGGAUACCUAACAUGGAAAAAUUCUGUGAACGAAAUUUUUUAAGCAUGGAUUGGGUAGCAAAAAUUUAUUUUGGACAAGCCACGAAAGAGGUAGUUAUGGAAGAAUUUUUGCGUGUCCUUUGUUUUUGAGUCGCGUUUCGUCGGUUUUAGGGUAAAUUCUGUACAAGAUGUCAUAUAUGGGUACCAAACUUGGAAAUAUUCUGUGGACGACAUUUUUAAGCAUGGAUUGGGUAGCAAAAAGUUACUUUGGGCAAGCCGCCAAAGAGGUAAUUAUCAAGGAGUUUCUGCGUGUCCUUUCUUUCCGAGUCGUGUUUGGUCGGUUUUAGGGCAAAUUCUAUAACAGAUGUUAUAUAUGGUACCUACCUUGGAAAUUUUUUGCGAACGGCAUUUUUUUAACCAUGGAUUUGGUAGCAAAAUUUAUUUUGGACGAGCCACAAAAGAGGUAGUUAUCGAGGAGUUUCUGCGUGUCCUUUGUUUUCGAGUCACGUUUGGUCGGUUUUAGGGCAAAUUCUAUAACAGAUGCCAUAUAUGGUAGCUAACUUGGAAAAUUUCUGUGAACGACAUUUUUUAAGCAUGGAUUAGGCAGCAAAAAGUUAUUUUGGACGUGCCACGAAAGAGGUAUUUAUCGAGGAGUUUUUGCGUGUCCUUUGUUUUCGAGUCGCGUUUGGUCGGUUUUAGGGUAAAUUCUGUACAAGAUGUCAUGUAUGGUUACCUAACUUGGAAAAUUUCUAUGAACGGAAUUUUUUAAGAAUGGAUUGGGUAGCUAAAGUUAUUCUGGACAAGCCAAAAAAGAGGUAGUUAUAGAGGAGGUUUUGCGUGUCCUUUGUUUUCGAGUCGCGUUUGGUUGGUUCAAGGGCAAAUUCUGUACAAGAUGUCAUAUAUGGGUACCUAACUUGGAAAAAUUCUGUGAACAACAUUUGUUAAGCAUGGAUUGGGUAGCAAAAAGUAAUGUUGGACGAGCCACUAAAGAGGUAGUUAUCGAGGAGUUUUUGCGUGUCCUUUGUUUUCGAGUGGCGUUUGGUCGGUUUUAGCGCAAAUUCUGUACAACAUGUCAUAUAUGUGUACCUAACUUUGGAAUAAUUCUGUGAAUGGCAUUUUUUAAGCAUGGAUUGGGUAGAAAAAAGUUAUUUUGGAAGAGCCACGAAAGAGGUAGUUAUCGAGGAGUUUUUGCAUGUCAUUUGUUUUUGAGCCGCGUUUGGUCGGUUUUAGGGAAAAUUCUGUACAAGAUGUCAUAUAUGGGUACCGAACUUGGAAAAAUUUUAUGACCGGCUUUUUAAGCAUGGAUUGGGUAGCCAAAAGUUAUUUUGGACGAGCCACAAAAGAGAUAUUUAUCGAGGAGUUUUUGCGUGUCAUUUGUUGUCGAGUCGCGUUUGGUCGGUUUUAGGGUAAAUUCUGUACAAGAUGUCAUGUAUGGUUACCUAACUUGGAAAAUUUCUAUGAACGGAAUUUUUUAAGAAUGGAUUGGGUAGCUAAAAGUUAUUUUGGAUGAGCCAAGGAAGAGGUAGUUAUAGAGGAGGUUUUGCGUGUCCUUUGUUUUCGAGUCGCGUUUGGUUGGUUCAAGGGCAAAUUUUGUACAAGAUGUCAUAUAUGGGUACCUACUUGGAAAAAUUCUGUCAAUGACAUUUUUUAAGCAUAGACUGGGUAGCAAAAAGUUAUGUUGGAUGAGCCACUAAAGAUGUAGUUAUCGAGGAGUUUUUGCGUGUCCUUUGUUUUCGAGUCACGUUUGGUCGGUUUUAGGGCAAAUUCUGUACAACAUGUCAUAAAUGGCUACCUAACUUUGGAAAAAUUUUGUGAACGACAUUUUAUAAGGAUGGAUUGGGUAGCAAAAAUUUAUGUUGGACGAGCCACGAAAGAGUUAGUUAUCGAGGAGUUUUUGCAUGUUCUUUGUUUUUGAGUCGCGUUUGUUCGGUUUUAGGGCAAAUUCUGUACAAGAUGUAAUAUAUGGGUACCUAACUUGGAAAAAUUAUGUGAACGGCAUUUUUAAGCAUGGAUUGGGUUAUAAAAAGUUAUGUUGGACGAGCCACGAAAGAGUUAGUUAUCGAGGAGUUUUUCCGUGUCCUUUGUUUUCAAGUCGCGUUUGGUAGGUUUAAGGGCAAAUUAUGCACAAGUUUUCAUAUAUGGGUACCUAACUUGGAAAAAUUAUGUAAACAGCAUUUUUUAAGCAUGGAUUGGGUAGCAAAAAGUUAUUUUGGACAAGCCAUGAAAGUGGUAUUUAUCGAACAGUUUUUGCGUGUCCUUUGUUUUCGAGUCGUGUUUGGUCGGUUUUAGGGCAAAUUCUGGACAAGCUAUCACAUAUGGGUACCUAACUUGGAAAAAUUCUGUGAGCAGCAUUUUUUAAGCAUGUAUUGGGUAGCAAUAAGUUAUUUUGGAUGAGCCAAGAAAGAGGUAGUUAUCGAGUAGUUUUUGCAUGUCAUUUGUUUUCGAGUCGCGUUUGGUCGGUUUUAGGGCAAAUUCUAUACAAGACGUCAUAUAUGGGUACCUAACAUGGAAAAAUUAUGUAAACGACAUUGUUUAAGCAUGGAUUGGGUAGCAAAAAGUUUUUUUGGACGAGCCAUGAAAGAGGUAUUUAUCGAGGAGUUUUUGCGUGUCCUUUGUUUUCGAGUCGUGUUUGGUCGGUUUUAGGGCAAAUUCUAGACAAGCUGUCAUAUAUGGGUACCUAACUUGGAAAAAUUCUGUGAGUAGCAUUUUCAAGCAUGGAUUGGGUAGCAAUAAGUUAUUUUGGACGAGCCAAGAAAGAGGUAGUUAUCGAGGAGUUUUUGCGUGUCCUUUGUUUUUUGAGUCGCGUUUGGUUGGUUUUAGAGCAAAUUCCGUACAAGAUGUUCCUAACUUGGAAAAAUUAUGUGAACGGCAUUUUUAAUUGUGGAUUGGGUUAUAAAAAGUUAUGUUGGAGGAGCCACGAUAGAGUUAGUUAUCGAGGAGUUUUUGCGUGUCCUCUGUUUUCGAGUCGCGUUUGGUCGGUUUUAGGGCAAAUUCUGUACAACUUGUCAUAUAUGGGUGUAACACCCCAGAUGUAACUUUCCAUAUUUGCAACUUCAACUCUUGCCAUUUUUGGCUAUGUGUUAUGACAUUCCCUUCGUGGUCGGGUUUUGUUUUCCGUUUUGCUUUUUGCUUUUGUCAUGCAUCUCAUAUCAUGUCAUCAUGUGCAUUGCAUUUGCAUACGUGUUCGUCUUUUGCAUCCGAGCAUUUUCCCAGUUGUCCGUUUUGCAAUCCGGCACUCCCACCUCCUCCGGCGCACCCCUCUUUUUUUCUUUUCGUGAGCGGGUGUUGAACAUUCUCGAAAUGGACCGAGGCUUGCCAAGCGGCCUUGGUAUACCACCGGUAGACCACCUGUCAAGUUUCGUUCCAGUUGGAGGUCGUUUGGUACUCCAACGGUUAACCGGGCAACCGCAAAGUCCUUUUGUGUGUUGCAGCAAAACCCCCCUCCUAAUAGCCCAAAACCCAUCUAAGUCACUUCCAUGCUCUAGGUCGUUCAAUUAGGAUCGUGUGGGCGAAAACCGUGCUCAAUUUGGAGUCUCCUAGCUCCCUCUGCCUAUAAAAACACCUCCCCCUCCGAAAUCUGGGCGAAACCCUAGCAAAAAUCGUCCUCCGCGCCGCCAAACGCGUCCACUCCCGCCGGACGAACCCGCCGCCGCGCCCUGCCCACUCACAGCGCGACACGUGGCUUCGCUCCGUCGCCCGCGCCGCCGGCCCGCUGGGCGUGUAAUAUAUCGAAAUGUUCAUCUCGAGAUGCUCUUCAUUUUGUUCCAUUGCACCAUGUUCAUUUGAGUCCAUCUUGAGGCCCAAAUCUCUGGUGCAAGAGUGCUAGUUGCUGUUAACUGCUGUUACUUAUCAGAACUUGAGGAUUUGUUAUUUUUGUUGCUAUUAAUGUGUGCAUCUUACUGUCAUCAAGCUCACCAAGUCUGUAACAUGUUAACGAAACUUGCUAUGUUUACAUGGUUGCCAUCAUAUCUUCUGGUCCUUUUUGGCUUAUGGUCAGUAAGGGACUUUUGUUAUAUGCAUUUAGUAGAAUACUGACAUGCCUUGUUUUGCCAUGUUAAGUUCCUGUAGCAUGUUGAUUGCUUGCUCUGAACAUUGCUACCUGAUGCUGUUUAUGCCAUGUCCAGUAAUUUCACCAAGUCUGUGAACAUGAUAUCUUUUGCACUUUUGCCAUGCCUGUUUGAACCUCCUGUGGUGUGAUCUAGCCGUAGCUCAUUGUUCAUCUUUUGGCAAGCACCUCCUGUAGAUUACUGCCAUAUGCUUUGCUGCUAUGUUGGGGUGCUGUAGCAUUGUUACUUGUUACAUUCUAAGUGCUAUCAUGCUGUUAAUCGCAGAUUCGUGUCAUUCUUGUUUUGCUUGCCAUUUGCAAACCGUGCAUCCGUUUCCGGUGAUCUUUAUAUCGAUUUCAACCAAAAUCAUCUCAUCUUUCCAGUGGCAUGCUUGGUUUGUCAAUUUACUGCCUUGUUCAUCAUUUUUCUUCCGGAGCACGCAUAUGCAUCGCAUAUCAUAUCUUGCAUAUCAUUCAUGUAUUGCAUCAUGUUGCUUGUGCAUUUCCCGUGAUUGAUUGUGGUUCCGUUGCUUGUGUUCUUGUUUUGGGUAGAGCCGGGAGACGAGUUCGUGAACGAGGAACCUGUUGAGUACGCUUACGAGGAUCAAGCUUUCGACAACUCUGAGAACCUUGCAGGAAAGAUGACCAUACCCUCAAAAUCACUUCUAUCUUUGCUUUGCUAGUUGUUCGUUCUUUGCCAUGCUGCGCUACCUACCAUUUGCUAUAUCAUGCCUCCCAUAUUGCCAUGUCAAGCCUCUAACCAUCCUUUCCUAGCAAACCGUUGUUUGGCUAAGUUACCGCUUUUGCUCAGCCCUUCUUAUAGCGUUGCUAGUUGCAGGUGAGCCACUAAAGAGGUACUUAUCAAGGAGUUUCUACGUGUCCUUUGCUUUUGAGUCACGCUUGGUCGGUUUUAGGGCAAAUUCUGUAACAGAUGCCAUAUAUGGGUACCAAACUUGGAAAAUUUCUAUGAAUGGCAUUUUUUAAGCAUGGAUUGGGCAGCAAAAAUUAUUUUGGACGAGCCACGAAAGAGGUAUUUAUCAAGGAGUUUUUGCGUGUCCUUUGUUUUCGAGUCACGUUUGGUCGAUUUCAGGGCAAAUUCUGUACAGGAUGUCAGGUAUGGUUACCUAACUUGGAAAAUUUCUGUGAACGGCAUUUUCUAAGCAUGGAUUGGCUAGUAAAAGUUAUUUUGGACAAGCCAUGAAAGAGGUAGUUAUCGAGGUGUUUUUUCGUCUCCUUUGUUUUCGAGACGUGUUUGGUCGGUUCAAGGGCAAAUUUUGUACAAGAUGUCAUAUAUGUGUACCUAACGUGGAAAACUUAUGUAAACGACAUUUUCUAAGCAUGGAUUGGGCAGCCAAGCAAGAGGUAGUUAUCGUGGAGUUUUUGCAUGUCCUUUAUUUUUGAGUCGCGUUCGGUCGGUUUUAGGGCAAAUUCUGUACAAUAUGUAAUAUAUGGGUACCUAACUUGGAAAAAUUAUGUGAAUGGAAUUUUUUAAGCAUGGAUUGGGUUAUAAAAUGUUAUGUUGGACGAGCCACGAAAGAGUUAGUUAUCGAGGAUUUUUUGCGUGUCCGUUGUUCUCGAGUCGCGUUCCGUCGGUUUUAGGGUACAUUCCGUACAAGAUGUCAUGUAUGGUUACCUAACUUGGAAAAUUUGUAUGAACGGAAUUUUUUAAGCACGGAUUGGGUAGCUAAAAGUUAUUUUGGAUGAGCCAUGAAAGCGGUAGUUAUCAAGGAGUUUUUGCGUGUUCUUUGUUUUCAAGUCGCGUUUGGUCCGUUCAAGGGCAAAUUCUGUACAAGAUGUCAUAUAUGGGUACCUAAGUUUGAAUAAUUCUAUGAACGGCAUUUUUUAAGCAUGGAUUAGGUACCAAAAAGUUAUGUUGGACGAGCCACGAAAGAGGUAGUUACCGAGGAGUUUUUGCGUGUCUUUUGUUUUUGAGUCGCGUUUGGUCUGUUUUAGGGCAAAUUCUGUACAACAUGUAAUAUAUGGGUACCUAACUUGGAAAAAUUAUGUGAACGACAUUUUUAAGCAUGGAUUGGGUUAUAAAAAGUUAUGUUGGACGAGCCACGAAAGAGUUAGUAUCGAGGGGUUUUUUUGUGUCCUUUGUUUUCGAGUCGCGUUUCGUAGGUUUAAGGGCAAAUUAUGCACAAGCUGUCAUAUAUGGGUACCUAACUUGGAAAAAUUAUGUGAACGACAUUUUUUAAUUAUGGAUUGGGUUAUAAAAAGUUAUGUUGGAGGAGCCACGAUAGAGUUAGUUAUCGAGGAGCUUUUGCGUGUCCUUUGUUUUCGAGUCGCGUUUGGUCGCUUUUAGGGCAAAUGCUGGACAAGCUGUCAUAUAUGGGUACCUGACUUGGAAAAAUUCUAUGAGCAGAAUUUUUUAAGCAUCGGGUAGCAAUAAGUUAUUUUGGACGAGCCAAGAAAGAGGUAGUUAUCGAGUAGUUUUUGCCUGUCCUUUGUUUUCGGGUCGCGUUUGGUCGGUUUUAAGACAAAUAUUGUACAAGACGUCAUAUAUGGGUACCUAACGUGGAAAAAUUAUGUAACGACAUUUUCUAAGCAUGGAUUGGGUAGCAAUAAGUUAUUUUGGACGAGCCAAGAAAGAGGUAGUUAUCGUGGAGGUUUUGCAUGUCCUUUAUUUUUGAGUCGCGUUCGGUCAGUUUUAGGGCAAAUUCUGUACAAUAUGUAAUAUAUGGGUACCUAACUUGGAAAAAUUAUGUGAAUGGAAUUUUUUAAGCAUGGAUUGGGUUAUAAAAUGUUAUGUUGGACGAGCCACGAAAGAGUUAGUUAUCGAGGAUUUUUUGCGUGUCCUUUGUUUUCGAGUCGCGUUCCGUCGGUUUUAGGGUACAUUCCGUACAAGAUGUCAUGUAUGGUUACCUAACUUGGAAAAUUUGUAUGAACGGAAUUUUUUAAGCACGGAUUGGGUAGCUAAAAGUUAUUUUGGAUGAGCCAUGAAAGAGGUAGUUAUCAAGGAGUUUUUGCGUGUUCUUUGUUUUCAAGUCGCGUUUGGUCCGUUCAAGGGCAAAUUCUGUACAAGAUGUCAUAUAUGGGUACCUAAGUUUGAAUAAUUCUAUGAACGGCAUUUUUUAAGCAUGGAUUGGGUACCAAAAAGUUAUGUUGGACGAGCCACGAAAGAGGUAGUUACCGAGGAGUUUUUGCGUGUCUUUUGUUUUUGAGUCGCGUUUGGUCUGUUUUAGGGCAAAUUCUGUACAACAUGUAAUAUAUGGGUACCUAACUUGGAAAAAUUAUGUGAACGACAUUUUUAAGCAUGGAUUGGGUUAUAAAAAGUUAUGUUGGACGAGCCACGAAAGAGUUAGUAUCGAGGGGUUUUUGUGUGUCCUUUGUUUUCGAGUUGCGUUUGGUAGGUUUAAGGGCAAAUUAUGCACAAGCUGUCAUAUAUGGGUACCUAACUUGGAAAAAUUAUGUGAACGGCAUUUUUUAAUUAUGGAUUGGGUUAUAAAAAGUUAUGUUGGAGGAGCCACGAUAGAGUUAGUUAUCGAGGAGCUUUUGCGUGUCCUUUGUUUUCGAGUCGCGUUUGGUCGCUUUUAGGGCAAAUGCUGGACAAGCUGUCAUAUAUGGGUACCUAACUUGGAAAAAUUCUAUGAGCAGAAUUUUUUAAGCAUGGGGUAGCAAUAAGUUAUUUUGGACGAGCCAAGAAAGAGGUAGUUAUCGAGUAGUUUUUGCCUGUUCUUUGUUUUCGGGUCGCGUUUGGUCGGUUUUAAGACAAAUAUUGUACAAGACGUCAUAUAUGGGUACCUAACGUGGAAAAAUUAUGUAAACGACAUUUUCUAAGCAUGGAUUGGGUAGCAAUAAGUUAUUUUGGACGAGCCAAGAAAGAGGUAGUUAUCGUGGAGUUUUUGCAUGUCCUUUAUUUUUGAGUCGCGUUUGGUCGGUUUUAGGGCAAAUUCUGUACAAUAUGUAAUAUAUGGGUACCUAACUUGGAAAAAUUAUGUGAAUGGAAUUUUUUAAGCAUGGAUUGGGUUAUAAAAAGUUAUGUUGGACGAGCCACGAAAGAGUUAGUUAUCGAGGAUUUUUUGCGUGUCCUUUGUUUUUGAGUCGCAUUUGGUAGGUUUAAGGGCAAAUUAUGCACAAGAUGUCAUAUAUGGGUGCCUAACUUGGAAAAACUAUGUAAAGGGCAUUUUUAAGCAUGUAUUGGGUAGCAAAAAGUUAUUUUGGACGAGCCAUAAAAGAGGUAUUUAUCGAGGAGUUUUUGCGUGUCCUUUGUUUUCGAGUCGCAUUUGGUCCGUGUUUGGGCAAAUUCUGGACAAGCUGUCAUAUAUGGGUACCUCACUUGGAAAAAUUCUGUGACCAGCAUUUUUUAAGCAUGGAUUAGGUAGCAAUAAGUUAUUUUGGAUGAGCCAAGAAAGAGGUACUUAUCGAGUAGUUUUUCCGUGUCCUUUGUUUUGAGUCACGUUUGGUCGGUUUUAGGGCAAAUUCUGUACAAGACGUCAUAUAUGGGUACCUAACAUGGAAAAAUUCUGUGAACGAAAUUUUUUAAGCAUGGAUUAGGUAGCAAAAAUAUAUUUUGGACGAGCCACGAAAGAGGUAAUUAUCGAGGAGUUUCUGCGUGUCCUUUGUUUUUGAGUCGCGUUUGGUCGGUUUUAGGGUAAAUUCUGUACAAGAUGUCAUAUAUGGGUACCUAACUUGGAAAUAUUCUAUGAACGAUAUUUUUAAGCAUGGAUUGGGUAGCAAAAAGUUAUUUGGGCAAGCCAACAAAGAGGUAAUUAUCGAGGAGUUUCUGCGUGUCCUUUCUUUCCGAGUCGUGUUUGGUCGGUUUUAGGGCAAAUUCUGUAACAGAUGUCAUAUGUGGUACCUACCUUGGAAAUUUUCUGCGAACGGCAUUCUUUUAAGCAUGGACUUGGUAGCAAAAUUUAUUUUGGACGAGCCACAAAAGAGGUAGUUAUCAAUGAGUUUCUGCGUGUCCUUUGUUUUCGAGUCGCGCUUAGUCGGUUUCUGGGCAAAUUCUAUAACAGAUGCCAUAUAUGGUACCUAACUUCGAAAAUUUCUGUGAACGGUAUUUUUAAGCAUGGAUUGGGCAGCAAAAAGUUAUUUUGGACGUGCCACGAAAGAGGUAUUUAUCGAGGAGUUUUUGCGUGUCCUUUGUUUUCGAGUCUCGUUUGGUCGGUUUUAGUGUAAAUUUUGUACAAGAUGUCAUGUAUGGUUACCUAACUUGGAAAAUUUCUAUGAACGUAAUUUUUUAAGAAUGGAUUGGGUAGCUAAAAGUUAUUUUGGACGAGCCAAGAAAGAGGUGGUUAUAAAGGAGGUUUUGCGUGUCCUUUGUUUUCGAGUCGCGUUUGGUUGGUUCAAGGGCAAAUUCUGUACAAGAUGUCAUAUAUGGGUACCUAACUUGGAAAAAUUCUGUGAACGACAUUUUUUAAGCAUGGAUUGGGUAGCAAAAAGUUAUGUUGGACGAGCCACUAAAGAGUUAGUUAUCGAGGAGUUUUUGCGUGUCCUUUGUUUUUGAGUCGCGUUUGGUCGGUUUUAGGGCAACUUCCGUACAAGAUGUCAUAUAUGGGUACCUAACUUGGAAAAAUUCUAUGACCGGCUUUUUAAGCAUGGAUAGGGUAGCCAAUAGUUAUUUUGGACGAGCCACGAAAGAGGUAUUUAUCGAGGAGUUUUUGCGUGUCUUUUGUUGUCGAGUCGCGUUUGGUCGGUUUUAGGGUAAAUUCUGUACAAGAUGUCAUGUAUGGUUACCUAACUUGGAAACUUUCUAUGAACGGAAUUUUUUAAGAAUGGAUUGGGUAUCUAAAAGUUAUUUUGUACGAGCCAAGGAAGAGGUAGUUAUAGAGGAGGUUCUGCGUGUCCAUUGUUUUCGAGUCGCGUUUGGUUGGUUCAAGGGCAAAUUUUGUACAAGAUGUCAUAUAUGGGUACCUAACUUGGAAAAUUCUGUGAAUGACAUUUUUUAAGCAUUGAUUGGGUAGCCAAAAGUUAUGUUGGACGAGCCACUAAAGAGGUAGUUAUCGAGGAGUUUUUGCGUGUCCUUUGUUUUCGAGUCGCGUUUGGUCGAUUUUAGGGCAAAUUCUGUACAACAUGUGAUAUAUGGGUACCUAACUUUGGAAAAAUAAUAUGAAUGGCAUUUUUAUGCAUGGAUUGGGUAGCAAAAAGUUAUUUUGGAAGAGCCACGAAAGAGGUAGUUAUGGAGUCAAGUUUGCUCGGUUUUAGGGCAAAUUCUGUACAAGAUGUCAUAUAUGGGUACCUAACUUGGAAAAAUUCUAUGACCGGCUUUUUAAGCAUGGAUUGGGUAGCCAAAAGUUAUUUUGGACGAGCCAUGAAAGAGGUAGUUAUCAAGGAGUUUUUGCGUGUCCUUUGUUUCGAGUCGCGUUUGGUCGGUUUUAGGGCAAAUAUUGUACAACAUGUCAUAUAUGGGUACCUAACUUCCAAACAUUCGGUGAACGACAUUUUACAAGGAUGGAUUGGGUAGCAAAAAUUUAUGUUGAACAAGCCACGAUAGAGGUAGUUACUGACGAGUUUUUGCAUGUCCUUUGUUUUUGAGUCCUGUUUGGUCGGUUUUAGGGCAAAUUCUGUACAAGAUGUAAUAUAUGGGUACCUAACUUGGAACAAUUAUGUGAACGACAUUUUUAAGCACGGAUUGGGUUAUAAAAAGUUAUGUUGGACGAGCCACGAAAGAGUUAGUUAUCGAGGAGUUUUUGCGUGUCCUUUGUUUGGAUUGGGUAGCAAUAAGUUAUUUUGGGCAAGCCACCAAAGAGGUUAUUAUCGAGGAGUUUUUGCAUUUCGCGUUUGGUUGGUUUUAGGGAUAAUUCUGUAACAGAUGUCAUAUAUGGUACCUACCUUGGAAAUUUUCUGCGAACGGCAUUCUUUUAAGCAUGGACUUGGUAGCUAAAUCUAUUUUGGACGAGCCACAAGAGAGGUAGUUAUCGAGGAGUUUCUGCGUGUCCUUUGUUUUUGAGUCGCGUUUGGUCGGUUUUAGGGCAAAUUCUAUAACAGAUGCAAUAAAUGGUACCUAACUAGGAAAAUUUCUGUGAACGGCGUUUAAUAAGAAUGGAUUGGACAGCAAAAAGUUAUUUUGGACGAGCCACGAAAGAGGUAUUUAUCGAGGAGUUUUUGCGUGUCCUUUGUUUUCGAGUUGCGUUUGGUCGGUUUUAGGGUAAAUUAUGUACAAGAGGUCAUCUAUGGUUACCAACUUGGAAAAUUUCUAUGAACAGAGUUUUUUAUGAAUGGAUUGGGUAGCUAAAAGUUAUUUUGGACGAGCCAAGAAAGAGGUAGUUAUAGAGGAGGUUUUGCGUGUCCUUUGUUUUCGAGUCGCGUUUCGUAGGUUUAAGGGCAGAUUAUGCACAAGCUGUCAUAUAUGGGUACCUAACUUGGAAAAAUUAUGUGAACGGCAUUUUUUAAUUAUGGAUUGGGUUAUAAAAAGUUAUGUUGGAGGAGCCACGAUAGAGUUAGUUAUCGAGGAGCUUUUGCGUGUCCUUUGUUUUCGAGUCGCGUUUGGUCGCUUUUAGGGCAAAUGCUGGACAAGCUGUCAUAUAUGGGUACCUGACUUGGAAAAAUUCUAUGAGCAGAAUUUUUUAAGCAUUGGGUAGCAAUAAGUUAUUUUGGACGAGCCAAGAAAGAGGUAGUUAUCGAGUAGUUUUUGCCUGUCCUUUGUUUUCGGGUCGCGUUUGGUAGGUUUUAAGACAAAUAUUGUACAAGACGUCAUAUAUGGGUACCUAACGUGGAAAAAUUAUGUAAACGACAUUUUCUAAGCAUGGAUUGGGUAGCAAUAAGUUAUUUUGGACGAGCCAAGAAAGAGGUAGUUAUCGUGGAGUUUUUGCAUGUCCUUUAUUUUUGAGUCGCGUUUGGUCGGUUUUAGGGCAAAUUCUGUACAAUAUGUAAUAUAUGGGUACCUAACUUGGAAAAAUUAUGUGAAUGGAAUUUUUUAAGCAUGGAUUGGGUUAUAAAAUGUUAUAUUGGACGAGCCACGAAAGAGUUAGUUAUCGAGGAUUUUUUGCGUGUCCUUUGUUUUUGAGUCGCAUUUGGUAGGUUUAAGGGCAAAUUAUGCACAAGAUGUCAUAUAUGGGUGCCUAACUUGGAAAAACUAUGUAAAGGGCAUUUUUAAGCAUGUAUUGGGUAGCAAAAAGUUAUUUUGGACGAGCCAUAAAAGAGGUAUUUAUCGAGGAGUUUUUGCGUGUCCUUUGUUUUCAAGUCGCAUUUGGUCCGUGUUUGGGCAAAUUCUGGACAAGCUGUCAUAUAUGGGUACCUCACUUGGAAAAAUUCUGUGACCAGCAUUUUUUAAGCAUGGAUUAGGUAGCAAUAAGUUAUUUUGGAUGAGCCAAGAAAGAGGUAGUUAUCGAGUAGUUUUUCCGUGUCCUUUGUUUUGAGUCGCGUUUGGUCGGUUUUAGGGCAAAUUCUGUACAAGACGUCAUAUAUGGGUACCUAACAUGGAAAAAUUCCGUGAACGAAAUUUUUUAAGCAUGGAUUAGGUAGCAAAAAGUUAUUUUGGACGAGCCACGAAAGAGGUAAUUAUCGAGGAGUUUCUGCGUGUCCUUUGUUUUUGAGUCGCGUUUGGUCGGUUUUAGGGUAAAUUCUGUACAAGAUGUCAUAUAUGGGUACCUAACUUGGAAAUAUUCUAUGAACGANNNNNNNNNNUUUGUUUUCGAGUCUCGUUUGGUCGGUUUUAGGGUAAAUUUUGUACAAGAUGUCAUGUAUGGUUACCUAACUUGGAAAAUUUCUAUGAACGUAAUUUUUUAAGAAUGGAUUGGGUAGCUAAAAGUUAUUUUGGACGUGCCAAGAAAGAGGUAGUUAUAGAGGAGGUUUUGCGUGUCCUUUGUUUUCGAAUCGCGUUUGGUUGGUUCAAGGGCAAAUUCUGUACAAGAUGUCAUAUAUGGGUACCUAACUUGGAAAAAUUCUGUGAACGACAUUUUUUAAGCAUGGAUUGGGUAGCAAAAAGUUAUGUUGGACGAGCCACUAAAGAGUUAGUUAUCGAGGAGUUUUUGCGUGUCCUUUGUUUUCGAGUCACGUUUGAUCGGUUUUAGGGCAAAUUCUAUACAACAUGUCAUAUAUGGGUACUUAACUUUGGAAAAAUUCUGUGAAUGGAAUUUUUUAAGCAUGGAUUGGGUAGAAAAAAUUUAUUUUGGAAGAGCCACAAAAGAGGUAGUUAUCGAGGAGUUUUUGCAUGUCAAUUGUUUUUGAGUCGCGUUUGGUCGGUUUUAGGGCAAAUUCCGUACAAGAUGUCAUAUAUGGGUACCUAACUUGGAAAAAUUCUAUGACCGUCUUUUUAAGCAUGGAUAGGGUAGCCAAAAGUUAUUUUGGACGAGCCACGAAAGAGGUAUUUAUCGAGGAGUUUUUGCGUGUCUUUUGUUGUCGAGUCGCGUUUGGUCGGUUUUAGGGUAAAUUCUGUACAAGAUGUCAUGUAUGGUUACCUAACUUGGAAACUUUCUAUGAACGGAAUUUUUUAAGAAUGGAUUGGGUAUCUAAAAGUUAUUUUGUACGAGCCAAGGAAGAGGUAGUUAUAGAGGAGGUUCUGCGUGUCCAUUGUUUUCGAGUCGCGUUUGGUUGGUUCAAGGGCAAAUUUUGUACAAGAUGUCAUAUAUGGGUACCUAACUUGGAAAAAUUCUGUGAAUGACAUUUUUUAAGCAUUGAUUGGGUAGCCAAAACUUAUGUUGGACGAGCCACUAAAGAGGUAGUUAUCGAGGAGUUUUUGCGUGUCCUUUGUUUUUGAGUCGCGUUUGGUCGAUUUUAGGGCAAAUUCUGUACAAGAUGUCAUAUAUGGGUACCUAACUUGGAAAAAUUCUAUGACCGGCUUUUUAUGCAUGGAUUGGGUAGCCAAAAGUUAUUUUGGACGAGCCAAGAAAGAGGUAGUUAUCGAGUAGUUUUUGCCUGUCCUUUGUUUUCGGGUCGCGUUUGGUAGGUUUUAAGACAAAUAUUGUACAAGACGUCAUAUAUGGGUACCUAACGUGGAAAAAUUAUGUAAACGACAUUUUCUAAGCAUGGAUUGGGUAGCAAUAAGUUAUUUUGGACGAGCCAAGAAAGAGGUAGUUAUCGUGGAGUUUUUGCAUGUCCUUUAUUUUUGAGUCGCGUUUGGUCGGUUUUAGGGCAAAUUCUGUACAAUAUGUAAUAUAUGGGUACCUAACUUGGAAAAAUUAUGUGAAUGGAAUUUUUUAAGCAUGGAUUGGGUUAUAAAAUGUUAUAUUGGACGAGCCACGAAAGAGUUAGUUAUCGAGGAUUUUUUGCGUGUCCUUUGUUUUUGAGUCGCAUUUGGUAGGUUUAAGGGCAAAUUAUGCACAAGAUGUCAUAUAUGGGUGCCUAACUUGGAAAAACUAUGUAAAGGGCAUUUUUAAGCAUGUAUUGGGUAGCAAAAAGUUAUUUUGGACGAGCCAUAAAAGAGGUAUUUAUCGAGGAGUUUUUGCGUGUCCUUUGUUUUCAAGUCGCAUUUGGUCCGUGUUUGGGCAAAUUCUGGACAAGCUGUCAUAUAUGGGUACCUCACUUGGAAAAAUUCUGUGACCAGCAUUUUUUAAGCAUGGAUUAGGUAGCAAUAAGUUAUUUUGGAUGAGCCAAGAAAGAGGUAGUUAUCGAGUAGUUUUUCCGUGUCCUUUGUUUUGAGUCGCGUUUGGUCGGUUUUAGGGCAAAUUCUGUACAAGACGUCAUAUAUGGGUACCUAACAUGGAAAAAUUCCGUGAACGAAAUUUUUUAAGCAUGGAUUAGGUAGCAAAAAGUUAUUUUGGACGAGCCACGAAAGAGGUAAUUAUCGAGGAGUUUCUGCGUGUCCUUUGUUUUUGAGUCGCGUUUGGUCGGUUUUAGGGUAAAUUCUGUACAAGAUGUCAUAUAUGGGUACCUAACUUGGAAAUAUUCUAUGAACGACAUUUUUAAGCAUGGAUUGGGUAGCAAAAAGUUAUUUUGGGCAAGCCAACAAAGAGGUAAUUAUCGAGGAGUUUCUGCGUGUCCUUUCUUUCCGAGUCGUGUUUGGUCGGUUUUAGGGCAAAUUCUGUAACAGAUGUCAUAUGUGGUACCUACCUUGGAAAUUUUCUGCGAACGGCAUUCUUUUAAGCAUGUACUUGGUAGCAAAAUUUAUUUUGGACGAGCCACAAAAGAGGUAGUUAUCAAGGAGUUUCUGCGUGUCCUUUUUUUCGAGUCGCGCUUGGUCGGUUUCUCGGAAAUUCUAUAACAGAUGCCAUAUAUGGUACCUAACUUGGAAAAUUUCUGUGAACGGUAUUUUUAAGCAUGGAUUGGGCAGCAAAAAGUUAUUUUGGACGUCCCACGAAAGAGGUAUUUAUCGAGGAGUUUUUGCGUGUCCUUUGUUUUCGAGUCUCGUUUGGUCGGUUUUAGGGUAAAUUUUGUACAAGAUGUCAUGUAUGGUUACCUAACUUGGAAAAUUUCUAUGAACGUAAUUUUUUAAGAAUGGAUUGGGUAGCUAAAAGUUAUUUUGGACAUGCCAAGAAAGAGGUAGUUAUAGAGGAGGUUUUGCGUGUCCUUUGUUUUCGAAUCGCGUUUGGUUGGUUCAAGGGCAAAUUCUGUACAAGAUGUCAUAUAUGGGUACCUAACUUGGAAAAAUUCUGUGAACGACAUUUUUUAAGCAUGGAUUGGGUAGCAAAAAGUUAUGUUGGACGAGCCACUAAAGAGUUAGUUAUCGAGGAGUUUUUGCGUGUCCUUUGUUUUCGAGUCACGUUUGAUCGGUUUUAGGGCAAAUUCUAUACAACAUGUCAUAUAUGGGUACUUAACUUUGGAAAAAUUCUGUGAAUGGCAUUUUUUAAGCAUGGAUUGGGUAGAAAAAAUUUAUUUUGGAAGAGCCACAAAAGAGGUAGUUAUCGAGGAGUUUUUGCAUGUCAAUUGUUUUUGAGUCGCGUUUGGUCGGUUUUAGGGCAAAUUCCGUACAAGAUGUCAUAUAUGGGUACCUAACUUGGAAAAAUUCUAUGACCGUCUUUUUAAGCAUGGAUAGGGUAGCCAAAAGUUAUUUUGGACGAGCCACGAAAGAGGUAUUUAUCAAGGAGUUUUUGCGUGUCUUUUGUUGUCGAGUCGCGUUUGGUCGGUUUUAGGGUAAAUUCUGUACAAGAUGUCAUGUAUGGUUACCUAACUUGGAAACUUUCUAUGAACGGAAUUUUUUAAGAAUGGAUUGGGUAUCUAAAAGUUAUUUUGUACGAGCCAAGGAAGAGGUAGUUAUAGAGGAGGUUCUGCGUGUCCAUUGUUUUCGAGUCGCGUUUGGUUGGUUCAAGGGCAAAUUUUGUACAAGAUGUCAUAUAUGGGUACCUAACUUGGAAAAAUUCUGUGAAUGACAUUUUUUAAGCAUUGAUUGGGUAGCCAAAACUUAUGUUGGACGAGCCACUAAAGAGGUAGUUAUCGAGGAGUUUUUGCGUGUCCUUUGUUUUCGAGUCGCGUUUGGUCGAUUUUAGGGCAAAUUCUGUACAAGAUGUCAUAUAUGGGUACCUAACUUGGAAAAAUUCUAUGACCGGCUUUUUAUGCAUGGAUUGGGUAGCCAAAAGUUAUUUUGGACGAGCCAUGAAAGAGGUAGUUAUCAAGGAGUUUUUGCGUGUCCUUUGUUUCGAGUCGCGUUUGGUCGGUUUUAGGGCAAAUAUUGUACAACAUGUCAUAUAUGGGUACCUAACUUGCAAACAUUCGGUGAACGACAUUUUAUAAGGAUGGAUUGGGUAGCAAAAAUUUAUGUGGAACAAGCCACGAUAGAGGUAGUUACUGAAGAGUUUUUGCAUGUCCUUUGUUUUUGAGUCGUGUUUGGUUGGUUUUAGGGCAAAUUCUGUACAAGAUGUAAUAUAUGGGUACCUAACUUGGAACAAUUAUGUGAACGACAUUUUUAAGCACGGAUUGGGUUAUAAAACGUUAUGUUGGACGAGCCACGAAAGAGUUAGUUAUCGAGGAGUUUUUGCGUGUCCUUUGUUUGGAUUGGGUAGCAAUAAGUUAUUUUGGGCAAGCCACCAAAGAGGUAAUUAUUGAGGAGUUUCUGAAUGUCGCGUGGUUGGUUUUAGGGAUAAUUCCGUAACAGAUGUCAUAUAUGGUACCUACCUUGGACAUUUUCUGCGAACGGCAUUCUUUUAAGCAUGGACAUGGUAGCUAAAUCUAUUUUGGACGAGCCCCAAAAGAGGUAGUUAUCGAGGAGUUUCUGCGUGUCCUUUGUUUUUGAGUCGCGUUUGGUCGGUUUUAGGGCAAAUUCUAUAACAGAUGCCAUAUAUGGUACCUAACUAGGAAAAUUUCUGUGAACGGCGUUUUUUAAGAAUGGAUUGGACAGCAAAAAGUUAUUUUGGACGAGCCACGAAAGAGGUAUUUAUCGAGGAGUUUUUGCGUGUCCUUUGUUUUCGAGUUGCAUUUGGUCGGUUUUAGGGUAAAUUAUGUACAAGAGGUCAUCUAUGGUUACCUACUUGGAAAAUUUCUAUGAACAGAGUUUUUUAUGAAUGGAUUGGGUAGCUAAAAGUUAUUUUGGACGAGCCAAGAAAGAGGUAGUUAUAGAGGAGGUUCUGCGUGUCCUUUGUUUUCGAGUCGCGUUUGGUUUGUUCAAGGGCAAAUUCUGUACUUGAUGUCAUAUAUGGGUACCUAACUUAGAAAAAUUCUGUGAACGACAUUUUUAAGCAUGGACUGGGUAGCAAAAAGUUAUGUUGGACGAGCCACUAAAGAGGUAGUUAUCGAGGAGUUUUUGCGUGUCCUUUGUUUUUGAGUCGCGUUUGGUCGGUUUUAGGGCAUAUUCUGUACAACAUGUCAUAUAUGGGUACCUAACUUUGGAAAAAUUCUGUGAAUGGCAUCUUUUAAGCAUGGAUUGGGUAGCAAAAAGUUAUUUUGGAAGAGCCACGAAAGAGGUAGUUAUCGAGGAGUUUUUGCAUGUCAUUUGCUUUCGAGUCGCGUUUGGUCGGUUUUAGGGAAAAUUCUGUACAACAUGUCAUAUAUGGGUUGGGUUAUAAAAAGUUAUGUUGGACGAGCCACGAAAGAGUUAGUUAUCGCGGAGUGUUUGCGUGUCCUUUGUUUUUGAGUCGCAUUUGGUAGGUUUAAGGGCAAAUUAUGCACAAGAUGUCAUAUAUGGGUACCUAACUUGGAAAAAUUAUGUAAACGGCAUUUUUAAGCAUGGAUUGGGUAGCAAAAAGUUAUUUUGGACGAGCCAUAAAAGAGAUAUUUAUCCAGGAGUUUUUGCGUGUCCUUUGUUUUCGAGUCACAUUUGGUUGGUUUUAGGGCAAAUUCUGGACAAGCUGUCAUAUAUGGGUACCUAACUUGGAAAAAUUAUGUGACCAGCAUUUUUUAAGCAUGGAUUAGGUAGCAAUAAGUUAUUUUGGAUGAGCCAAGAAAGAGGUAGUUAUCGAGUAUUUUUUCCGUGUCCUUUGUUUUUGAGUCGCGUUUGGUCGGUUUUAGGGCAAAUUCUGUACAAGACGUCAUAUAUGGAUACCUAACAUGGAAAAAUUCUGUGAACGAAAUUUUUUAAGCAUUGAUUGGGUAGCAAAAAGUUAUUUUGGACAAGCCACGAAAGAGGUAGUUAUGGAGGAAUUUUUGCGUGUCCUUUGUUUUUGAGUCGCGUUUCGUCGGUUUUAGGGUAAAUUCUGUACAAGAUGUCAUAUAUGGGUACCAAACUUGGAAAUAUUCUGUGGACGACAUUUUUAAGCAUGGAUUGGGUAGCAAAAAGUUAUUUUGGGCAAGCCGCCAAAGAGGUAAUUAUCGAGGAGUUUCUGCGUGUCCUUUCCUUCAGAGUCGUGUUUGGUCGGUUUUAGGGCCAAUUCUAUAACAGAUGUCAUAAUGGUACCUACCUUGGAAAUUUUCUGUGAACGGCAUUUUUUAAGCAUGGAUUUGGUAGCAAAAUUUAUUUUGGACGAGCCACAAAAGAGGUAGUUAUCGAGGACUUUCUACGUGUCCUUUGUUUUCGAGUCGCGUUUGGUCGGUUUUAGGGCAAAUUCUAUAACAGAUGCCAUAUAUGGUAGCUAACUUGGAAAAUUUCUGUGAACGACAUUUUUUAAGCAUGGAUUGGGCAGCAAAAAGUUAUUUUGGACGUGCCACGAAAGAGGUAUUUAUCGAGGAGUUUUUGCGUGUCCUUUGUUUUCGAGUCGCGUUUGGUCGGUUUUAGGGUAAAUUCUAUACAAGAUGUCAUGUAUGGUUACCUUACUUGGAAAAUUUCUAUGAACGGAAUUUUUUAAGAAUGGAUUGGGUAGCUAAAGUUAUUUUGGACGAGCCAAGAAAGAGGUAGUUAUAGAGGAGGUUUUGCGUGUCCUUUGUUUUCGAGUCGCGUUUGGUUGGUUCAAGGGCAAAUUCUGUACAAGAUGUCAUAUAUGGGUACCUAACUUGGAAAAAUUCCGUGAACGACAUUUGUUAAGCAUGGAUUGGGUAGCAAAAAGUAAUGUUGGACGAGCCACUAAAGAGGUAGUUAUCGAGGAGUUUUUGCGUGUCCUUUGUUUUCGAUUGGCGUUUGGUCGGUUUUAGCGCAAAUUCUGUACAACAUGUCAUAUAUGUGUACCUAACUUUGGAAUAAUUCUGUGAAUGGCAUUUUUUAAGCAUGGAUUGGGUAGAAAAAAGUUAUAUUGGAAGAGCCACGAAAGAGGUAGUUAUCGAGGAGUUUUUGCAUGUCAUUUGUUUUUGAGUCACAUUUGGUCGAUUUUAGGGAAAAUUCUGUACAAGAUGUCAUAUAUGGGUACCAAACUUGGAAAAAUUAUAUGACCGGCUUUUUAAGCAUGGAUUGGGUAGCCAAAAGUUAUUUUGGACGAGCCACAAAAGAGGUAUUUAUCGAGGAGUUUUUGCGUGUCAUUUGUUGUCGAGUCGCGUUUGGUCGGUUUUAGGGUAAAUUCUGUACAAGAUGUCAUGUAUUGUUACCUAACUUGGAAAAUUUCUAUGAGCGGAAUUUUUUAAGAAUGGAUUGGGUAGCUAAAAGUUAUUUUGGAUGAGCCAAGGAAGAGGUAGUUAUAGAGGAGGUUUUGCGUGUCCUUUGUUUUCGAGUCGCGUUUCGUUGGUUCAAGGGCAAAUUUGGGACAAGAUGUCAUAUAUGGGUACCUACUUGGAAAAAUUCUGUCAAUGACAUUUUUUAAGCAUAGAUUGGGUAGCAGAAAGUUAUGUUGGAUGAGCCACUAAAGAGGUAGUUAUCGAGGAGUUUUUGCGUGUCCUUUGUUUUCGAGUCGCAUUUGGUCGGUUUUAGGGCAAAUUCUGCACAGCAUGUCAUAUAUGGGUACCUAACUUUGGGAAAAUUCUAUGAAUGGCAUUUUUAAGCAUGGAUUGGGUAGCAAAAAGUUAUUUUGGAAGGCCACCAAAGAGGUAGUUAUCGAGUCACGUUUGGUCGGUUUUAGGGCAAAUUCUGUACAAGAUGUCAUAUAUGGGUACCUAACUUGGAAAAAUUCUAUGACCGGCUUUUUAAGCAUGGAUUGGGUAGCCAAAAUUUAUUUUGGACGAGCCAUGAAAGAGGUAGUUAUCAAGGAGUUUUUGCGUAUCCUUUGUUUCGAGUCGCGUUUGGUCGGUUUUAGGACAAAUUUUGUACAACAUGUCAGAUAUGGGUACCUAACUUGGAAACAUUCGGUGAACAACAUUUUAUAAGUAUGGAUUGGGUAGCAAAAAUUUAUGUUGGACGAGCCAAGAUAGAGGUAGUUACCGAGGAGUUUUUGCAUGUCCUUUGUUUUUGAGUCGCGUUUGGUCGGUUUUAGGGCAAAUUCUGUACAACAUGUAAUAUAUGGGUACCUAACUUGGAAAAAUUAUGUGAACAACAUUUUUAAACAUGGAUUGGGUUUUAAAAAUUUAUGUUGGACGAGCCACGAAAGACUUAGUUAUCGACGAGUUUUUUUGUGUCCUUUGUUUUCGAGUCCCGUUUGGUAGGUAUAAGGGCAAAUUAUGCACAAGUUUUCAUAUAUGGGUACCUAACAUGGAAAAAUUAUGUAAACAACAUUUUUUAAGCAUGGAUUGGGUAGCAAAAAGUUAUUUUGGACAAGCCAUGAAAGUGGUAUUUAUCGAAGAGUUUUUGCGUGUCCUUUGUUUCGAGUCGUGUUUGGUCGGUUUUAGGGAAAAUUCUGGACAAGCUAUCACAUAUGGGUACCUAACUUGGAAAAAUUCUUUGAGCAGCAUUUUUUAAGCAUGGAUUGGGUAGCACUAAGUUAUUUUGGAUGAGCCAAGAAAUAGGUAGUUAUCGAGUAGUUUUUGCAUGUCAUUUGUUUUCGAGUCACGUUUGGUCGGUUUUAGGGCAAAUUCUAUACAUGACGUCAUAUAUGGGUACCUAACGUGGAAAAAUUAUGUAAAUGACAUUUUUUAAGCAUGGAUUGGGUAGGAAAAAGUUUUUUUUGGACGAGACAUGAAAGAGGUAGUUAUCGAGGAGUUUUUGCGUGUCCUUUGUUUUUUGAGUCGCGUUUGGUUGGUUUUAGGGCAAAUUCCGUACAAGAUGUAAUAUAUGGGUACCUAACUUGGAAAAAUUAUGUGAACAGCAUUUUUAAUUCUGGAUUGGCUUAUAAAAAGUUAUCUUCGAGGAGCCACGAUAGAGUUAGUUAUCGAGGAGUUUUUGCGUGUCCUUUGUUUUCGAGUCGCGUUUGGUCGGUUUUAGGACAAAUUCUGUACAACAUGUCAUAUAUGGGUACCUAACUUUGGAAAAAUUCUGUNNNNNNNNNNNNNNNNNNNNNNNNNNNNNNNNNNNNNNNNNNNNNNNNNNNNNNNNNNNNNNNNNNNNNNNNNNNNNNNNNNNNNNNNNNNNNNNNNNNNNNNNNNNNNNNNNNNNNNNNNNNNNNNNNNNNNNNNNNNNNNNNNNNNNNNNNNNNNNNNNNNNNNNNNNNNNNNNNNNNNNNNNNNNNNNNNNNNNNNNNNNNNNNNNNNNNNNNNNNNNNNNNNNNNNNNNNNNNNNNNNNNNNNNNNNNNNNNNNNNNNNNNNNNNNNNNNNNNNNNNNNNNNNNNNNNNNNNNNNNNNNNNNNNNNNNNNNNNNNNNNNNNNNNNNNNNNNNNNNNNNNNNNNNNNNNNNNNAUGACAUUUUUCAAGCAUGGAUUGGGUAGCAAAAAGUUAUGUUGGACGAGCCACUAAAGAGGUAGUUAUCGAGGAGUUUUUGCGUGUCCUUUGUUUUCGAGUCGCGUUUGGUCGGUUUUAGGGCAAAUUCUGUACAACAUGUCAUAUAUGGCUACCUCACUUUGGAAAAAUUCUGUGACUGGCAUUUUUUAAGCAUGGAUUGGGUAGCAAAAAGUUAUUUUGGAAGAGCCAUGAAAGAGGUAGUUAUCGAGUCACGUUUGGUCGAUUUUAGGGCAAAUUCUAUACAAGAUGUCAUAUAUGGGUACCUAACUUGGAAAAAUUCUAUGACCGGGUUUUUAAGCAUGGAUUGGGUAGCCAAAAGUUAUUUUGGACGAGCCAUGAAAGAGAUAGUUAUGGAGGAGUUUUUGCGUGUCCUUUGUUUCGAGUCGCGUUUGGUCGGUUUUAGGGCAAAUUUUGUACAACAUGUCAUAUAUGGGUACCUAACUUGGAAACAUUCGGUGAACGACAUUUUAUAAGGAUGGAUUGGGUAGCAAAAAUUUAUGUUGGACGAGCCACGAAAGAGGUAGUUACCAAGGAGUUUUUGCAUGUUCUUUGUUUUUGAGUCGCGUUUGGUCGGUUUUAGGGCAAAUUUUGUACAAGAUGUAAUAUAUGGGUACCUAACUUGGAAAAAUUAUGUGAAUGGCAUUUUUAAGCAUGGAUUGGGUUAUUAAAAGUUAUGUUGGACGAGCCACGAAAGAGUUAGUUAUCGAGGAGUUUUCCCUGUCCUUUGUUUUCAAGUCGCGUUUGGUAGGUUUAAGGCCAAAUUAUGCACAAGUUUUUAUAUAUGGGUACCUAACUUGGAAAAAUUAUGUAAACAGCAUUUUUUAAGCAUGGAUUGGGUAGCAAAAAGUUAUUUUGGACAAGCCAUGAAAGUGGUAUUUAUCGAACAGUUUUUGCGUGUCCUUUGUUUUCGAGUCGUGUUUGGUCGGUUUUAGGGCAAAUUCUGGACAAGCUAUCACAUAUGGGUACCUAACUUGGAAAAAUUCUGUGAGCAGCAUUUUUUAAGCAUGGAUUGGGUAGCACUAAGUUAUUUGGGAUGAGCCAAGAAAAAGGUAGUUAUCGAGUAGUUUUUGCAUGUCAUUUGUUUUCGAGUCGCGUUUGGUCGGUUUUAGGGCAAAUUCUAUACAAGACGUCAUAUAUGGGUACCUAACGUGGAAAAAUUAUGUAAACGAUAUUUUUUAAGCAUGGAUUGGGUAGCAAAAAGUUUUUUUGGACGAGCCAUGAAAGAGAUAGUUAUGAAGGAGUUUUUGCAUGUCCUUUGUUUCGAGUCGCGUUUGGUCGGUUUUAGGGCAAAUUUUGUACAACAUGUCAUAUAUGGGUACCUAACUUGGAAACAUUCGGUGAACGACAUUUUAUAAGGAUGGAUUGGGUAGCAAAAAUUUAUGUUGGACGAGCCACGAAAGAGGUCGUUACCAAGGAGUUUUUGCAUGUUCUUUGUUUUUGAGUCGCGUUUGGUCGGUUUUAGGGCAAAUUCUGUACAAGAUGUAAUAUAUGGGUACCUAAUUUUGGAAAAAUUCUAUGAAUGGCAUUUUUAAGCAUGGAUUGGGUAGCCAAAAGUUAUUUUGGAAGAGCCACGAAAGAGGUAGUUAUCGAGUCACGUUUGGUCGGUUUUAGGGCAAAUUCUGUACAAGAUGUCAUAUAUGGGUACCUAAGUUGGAAAAAUUCUAUGACCAGCUUUUUAAGCAUGGAUUGGGUAGCCAAAAUUUAUUUUGGACGAGCCAUGAAAGAGGUAGUUAUCAAGGAGUUUUUGCGUAUCCUUUGUUUCGAGUCGCGUUUGGUCGGUUUUAGGGCAAAUUUUGUACAACAUGUCAGAUAUGGGUACCUAACUUGGAAACAUUCGGUGAACAACAUUUUAUAAGUAUGGAUUGGGUAACAAAAAUUUAUGUUGGACGAGCCACGAUAGAGGUAGUUACCGAGGAGUUUUUGCAUGUCCUUUGUUUUUGAGUCGCGUUUGGUCGGUUUUAGGGCAAAUUCUGUACAACAUGGAAUAUAUGGGUACUUACUUGGAAAAAUUAUGUGAACAACAUUUUUAAACAUGGAUUGGGUUAUGAAAAUUUAUGUUGGACGAGCCACGAAAGACUUAGUUAUCGAGGAGUUUUUGUGUGUCCUUUGUUUUCGAGUCCCGUUUGGUAGGUAUAAGGGAAAAUUAUGCACAAGUUUUCAUAUGUGGGUACCUAACAUGGAAAAAUUAUGUAAACAACAUUUUUUAAGCAUGGAUUGGGUAGCAAAAAGUUAUUUUGGACAAGCCAUGAAAGUGGUAUUUAUCGAAGAGUUUUUGCGUGUCCUUUGUGUCGAGUCGUGUUUGGUCGGUUUUAGGGAAAAUUCUGGACAAGCUAUCACAUAUGGGUACCUAACUUGGAAAAAUUCUGUGAGCAGCAUUUUUUAAGCAUGGAUUGGGUAACACUAAGUUAUUUUGGAUGAGCCAAGAAAUAGGUAGUUAUCGAGUAGUUUUUGCAUGUCAUUUGUUUUCGAGUCACGUUUGGUCGGUUUUAGGGCAAAUUCUAUACAAGACGUUAUAUAUGGGUACCUAACGUGGAAAAAUUAUGUAAACGACAUUUUUAAGCAUGGAUUGGGUAGGAAAAAGUUUUUUUGGACGAGACAUGAAAGAGGUAUUUAUCGAGGAGUUUUUGCGUGUCCUUUGUUUUCGAGUCACGUUUGGUCGGUUUUAGGGCAAAUUCUAAACAAGCUGUCAUAUAUGGGUACCUAACUUGGAAAUAUUCUGUGAGUAGCAUUUUCAAGCAUGGAUUGGGUAGCAAUAAGUUAUUUUGGACGAGCCAAGAAAGAGGUAGUUAUCAAGGAGUUUUUGCGUGUCCUUUGUUUUUUGAGUCGCGUUUGGUUGGUUUUAGGGAAAAUUCCGUACAAGAUGUAAUAUAUGGGUACCUAACUUGGAAAAAUUAUGUGAACAGCAUUUUUAAUUCUGGAUUGGCUUAUAAAAAGUUAUGUUGGACGAGCCACUAAAGAGGUAGUUAUCGAGGAGUUUUUGCGUGUCCUUUGUUUUCGAGUCGCGUUUGGUCGGUUUUAGGGCAAAUUCUGUACAACAUGUCAUAUAUGGCUACCUAACUUUGGAAAAAUUCUGUGACUGGCAUUUUUUAAGCAUGGAUUGGGUAGCAAAAAGUUAUUUUGGAAGAGCCACGAAAGAGGUAGUUAUCGAGUCACGUUUGGUCGAUUUUAGGGCAAAUUCUGUACAAGAUGUCAUAUAUGGGUACCUAACUUGGAAAAAUUCUAUGACCGGGUUUUUAAGCAUGGAUUGGGUAGCCAAAAGUUAUUUUGGACGAGCCAUGAAAGAGAUAGUUUUGAAGGAGUUUUUGCGUGUCCUUUGUUUUGAGUCGCGUUUGGUCGGUUUUAGGGCAAAUUUUGUACAACAUGUCAUAUAUGGGUACCUAACUUGGAAACAUUCGGUGAACGACAUUUUAUAAGGAUGGAUUGGGUAGCAAUAAUUUAUGUUGGACGAGCCACGAAAGAGGUAGUUACCAAGGAGUUUUUGCAUGUUCUUUGUUUUUGAGUCGCGUUUGGUCGGUUUUAGGGCAAAUUCUGUACAAGAUGUAAUAUAUGGGUACCUAACUUGGAAAAAUUAUGUGAACGGCAUUUUUAAGCAUGGAGUGGGUUAUAAAAAGUUAUGUUGGACGAGCCACGAAAGAGUUAGUUAUCGAGGAGUUUUCCGUGUCCUUUGUUUUCAAGUCGCGUUUGGUAGGUUUAAGGGCAAAUUAUGCACAAGUUUUCAUAUAUGGGUACCUAACUUGGAAAAAUUAUGUAAACAGCAUUUUUUAAGCAUGGAUUGGGUAGCAAAAAGUUAUUUUGGACAAGCCAUGAAAGUGGUAUUUAUCGAACAGUUUUUGCGUGUCCUUUGUUUUCGAGUCGUGUUUGGUCGGUUUUAGGGCAAAUUCUGGACAAGCUAUCACAUAUGGGUACCUAACUUGGAAAAAUUCUGUGAGCAGCAUUUUUUAAGCUUGGAUUGGGUAGCAAUAAGUUAUUUUGGAUGAGCCAUGAAAGAGGUAUUUAUCGAGGAGUUUUUGCGUGUCCUUUGUUUUCGAGUCGUGUUUCGUCGGUUUUAGGGCAAAUUCUAGACAAGCUGUCAUAUAUGGGUACCUAACUUGGAAAAAUUCUGUGAGUAGCAUUUUCAAGCAUGGAUUGGGUAGCAAUAAGUUAUUUUGGACGAGCCAAGAAAGAGGUAGUUAUCGAGGAGUUUUUGCGUGUCCUUUGUUUUUUGAGUCGCAUUUGGUUGUUUUUAGGGCAAAUUCCGUACAAGAUGUAAUAUAUGGGUACCAAACUUGGAAAAAUUAUGUGAACGGCAUUUUUAAUUAUGGAUUGGGUAAUAAAAAGUUAUGUUGGAGGAGCCACGAUAGAGUUAGUUAUCGAGGAGUUUUUGCGUGUCCUUUGUUUUCGAGUCGCGUUUGGUCGGUUUUAGGGCAAAUUCUGUACAACAUGUCAUAUAUGGGUGUAACACCCCAGAUGUAACUUUCCAUAUUUGCAACUUCAACUCUUGCCAUUUUUGGCUAUGUGUUAUGACAUUCCCUUCAUGGUCGGGUUUUGUUUUCCGUUUUGCAUUUUUCUUUUGUCAUGCAUCUCAUAUCAUGUCAUCAUGUGCAUUGCAUUUGCAUACGUGUUCGUCUAUUGCAUCCGAGCAUUUUCCCAGUUGUCUGUUUUGCAAUCCGGCACUCCCACCUCCUCCGGCGCACCCUCUUGUUUUCUUUUCGUGAGCGGGUGUUGAACAUUCUCGAAAUGGACCGAGGCUUGCCAAGCGGCCUUGGUAUACCACCGGUAGACCACCUGUCAAGUUUCGUUCCAUUUGGAGGUCGUUUGGUACUCCAACGGUUAACCGGGCAACCGCAAAGUCCUUUUGUGUGUUGCAGCAAAAUCCCCCUCCUAAUAGCCCAAAACCCAUCUAAGUCACUUCCAUGCUCUAGGUCGUUCGAUCACGAUCGUGUGGGCGAAAAUCGUGCUCAAUUUGGAGUCUCCUAGCUCCCUUUACCUAUAAAAACACCUCCCCCUCCGAAAUCUGGGCGAAACCCUAGCAAAAAUCGUCCUCCGCGCCGCCGGACGCGUCCACUCCCGCCGGACGAANNNNNNNNNNNNNNNNNNNNNNNNNNNNNNNNNNNNNNNNNNNNNNNNNNNNNNNNNNNNNNNNNNNNNNNNNNNNNNNNNNNNNNNNNNNNNNNNNNNNNNNNNNNNNNNNNNNNNNNNNNNNNNNNNNNNNNNNNNNNNNNNNNNNNNNNNNNNNNNNNNNNNNNNNNNNNNNNNNNNNNNNNNNNNNNNNNNNNNNNNNNNNNNNNNNNNNNNNNNNNNNNNNNNNNNNNNNNNNNNNNNNNNNNNNNNNNNNNNNNNNNNNNNNNNNNNNNNNNNNNNNNNNNNNNNNNNNNNNNNNNNNNNNNNNNNNNNNNNNNNNNNNNNNNNNNNNNNNNNNNNNNNNNNNNNNNNNNNNNNNNNNNNNNNNNNNNNNNNNNNNNNNNNNNNNNNNNNNNNNNNNNNNNNNNNNNNNNCCGCGCUCUCCGCCGCCCGGGCGCCUCGCCCGACCGCGCCCGACCCCGGCGCCUCCUCCUGCUCUCUUCCCCGACCGCCGCGCCUCUCCUUCCUCCGGCCUCGUCCUCUCCCGACUCCGGCGAGCUCGAGCUCAAACCCUAGCUCCGGGGAGCUCCCGAUCCGAUCUGUCCAGAGGUUGACUUUCCCUCCCCCCGUUUUUUCUCCAAGUCCCGAGCAUUUUUACAUUCUAUUGCAUACUUUGACACAUCAUAACUCUCUGAAUAUAGCUCUGUUUCAUGCGUGUAAUAUAUCAAAAUGUUCAUCUCGAGAUGCUCUUCAUUUUGUUCCAUUGCACCAUGUUCAUUUGUGUCCAUCUUGAGGCCCAAAUCUCUGGUGCAAGAGUGCUAGUUGCUGUUAACUGCUGUUACUUAUCAGAACUUGAGGAUUUGUUAUUUUUGUUGCUAUUGAUGUGUGCAUCUUAUGAGUAGGAUCUCAACAGGUGUAUUGAUGUAUGCCAUUCCAUCUUUACAGAGGUGUAUGCCAUGUAUUUUGGUGAUCUCUGUGGUGACUAGCACAAGCAUGCAAACUAGGCUUCGUAAUGUUUCUGAUUUCAGGGACUUCGUAAUUUUACCAAGUCUGUGACUGCUGUUAUUGUGUUGCUAUGUAUCCAUGUGGCUACAGAGCGAUCCAUGCUUAUUUUGGAGAUGUUUAGUAAGAAUCUUUUGUAGAUAUAGUUGUGCGCUAUCCAUCCAUGCCUCUUUUUGCAAUUAUCGAGUGACAUAGCUUGACUCAAUUUUGCUCUACUUUUGCUAUAAAAUAUUUCUGGCAGAUUGUUUACGUGUUAUUCAAUUUUGCCAAGCCUGUUGUAGUUGAUCCAUGCAUGCUAUGAACUUGCUCUUGCCAUGGAUAGAUUUACAAACAUGCCAUCUUGCUGGAGGUAUGCUUGUUUUGUCAUGCAUUGCUUUGUGGUGAGUUCAUCAAGCUCACAAAGAUGCCUUCAUAUUACUGUUUCUGUCAUAUUACUGUCAUCAAGCUCAGUCUGUAACCUGUUAACGAAACUUUCUAUGUUUACAUGGUUGCCAUCAUAUCUUCUGGUCCUUUUUGGCUUAUGGUCACUAAGGGACUUUUGUUAUAUGCAUUUAGUAGAAUACUGACAUGCCUUGUUUUGCCAUGUUAAGUUCCUGUAGCAUGUUGAUUGCUUGCUCUGAACAUCGCUACCUGAUGCUGUUUAUGCCAUGUCCAGUAAUUUCACCAAGUCUGUGAACAUGAUAUCUUUUGCACUAUUGCCAUGCCUGUUUGAACAUGCUGUGGUGUGAUCUAGCCGUAGCUCAUUGUUCAUCUUUUGUCAAGCACCUCCUGUAGAUUACAGCCAUAUGCUUUGCUGCUAUGUUGGGGUGCUGUAGCAUUAUUACUUGUUGCAUUCUAAGUGCUAUCAUGCUGUUAAUCGCAGAUUCGUGUCAUUCUUGUUUUGCUUGCCAUUUGCAAACCGUGCAUCCGUUUCCGGUGAUCUUUAUAUCGAUUUCAACCGAAAUCAUCUCAUCUUUCCAGUGGCAUGCUUGGUUUGUCAAUUUACUGCCUUGUUCAUCAUUUUUCUUCCGGAGCACGCAUAUCAUAUCUUGCAUAUCAUUCAUGUAUUGCAUCAUGUUGCUUGUGCAUUUCCCGUGAUUGAUUGUGGUUCCGUUGCUUGUGUUCUUGUUUUGGGUAGAGCCGGGAGACGAGUUCGUGAACGAGGAACCUGUUGAGUACGCUUACGAGGAUCAAGCUUUCGACAACUCUGAGAACCUUGCAGGCAAGAUGACCAUACCCUCGAAAUCACUUCUAUCUUUGCUUUGCUAGUUGUUCGUUCUUUGCCAUGCUACGCUACCUAUCACUUGCUAUAUCAUGCCUCCCAUAUUGCCAUGUCAAGCCUCUAACCAUCCUUUCCUAGCAAACCGUUGUUUGGUUAAGUUACCGCUUUUGCUCAGCCCUUCUUAUAGCGUUGCUAGUUGCAGGUGAAGUUGAAGGUGGUUCCAUGUUGGAACAUGGAUAUGUUGGGAUAUCACAAUAUCUCUUAUUUAAAUUAAUGCAUCUAUAUAUUUGGUAAAGGGUGGAAGGCUCGGCCUUAUGCCUGGUGUUUUGUUCCACUCUUGCCGCCCUAGUUUCUGUCAUACCGGUAUUAUGUUCCUUGAGUUUGCGUUCCUUACGCGGUUGGGUGAUUUAUGGGACCCCCUUGACAGUUCGCCUUGAAUAAAACUCCUCCAGCAAGGCCCAACCUUGGUUUUACCAUUUGCCACCUAAGCCUUUUUCCCCCGGGUUUUCGUGAGCCCGAGGGUCAUCUUUAUUUAAACCCCCGGGCCAGUGUUCCUCUGAAUGCUGGUCCAACCUAGAGCACCAUGCGGGACCGUCCCUUGGCAACCUAGAGCUUAUGAUGGGCUAAGUUGGGACACUCCUGCAGGGUAUUAUCUUUCGAAAGCCGUGCCCGCGGUUAUGAGGCGGAUGGGAAUUUGUUAAUGUCCGGUUGUAGAGAACUUGGCAGUUGACCCAAUUAAAAUACAUCAACCGUGUGCGUAACCGUGAUGGUCUCUUCUCGGCGGAGUCCGGGAAGUGAACACGGUUUGAGUUAUGCAUGAACAUAAGUAGUUUCAGGAUCACUUCUUGAUCAUGUCUAGCUUCGCGACCGUUGCGUUGCUUCUCUUCUCGCUCUCAUUUGCGUAUGUUAGCCACCAUAUAUGCUUAGUGCUUGUUGCAGCUCCACCUCAUUACACCAGCCUUUCCUAUAAGCUUAAAUAGUCUUGAUCUCGCGCGUGUGAGAUUGCUGAGUCCUCGUGACUCAUAGAUUCUACCAAAACAGUCGCAGGUUCCGACGAUGCCAGUGCAGGUGAUGCAACCGAGCUCGAGUGGGAGUUCGAUGAGGGACGUGGCCGUUACUAUGUGUCUUUUCCUGAUGAUCGGUAGUGGAGCCCAGUUGGGACGAUCGGGGAUCUAGCAUUUGGGGUUAUCUUAUUUUCAUUUGGAUUUUGACCGUAGUCGGUCUAUGUGUGGUUUUUGGAUGAUGUAUGAAUUAUAUUUAUGUAUUGUGUGAAGUGGCGAUAUUAAGCCAACUCUCGUUAUCCCAUUUUUGUUCAUUACAUGGGAUUGUGUGAGGAUGACGCUUCUUGCGACAAAACCACUAUGCGGUUUUGCCACUAAGUCGUGCCUCGACACGUGGGAGAUAUAGCCGCAUCGUGUUCGUUAUAAUGGGUACCUAACUUUGGAAAAAUUCCGUGAAUGGCAUUUUUAAGCAUGGAUUGGGUAGCAAAAAGUUAUUUUGGAAGAGCCACGAAAGAGGUAGUUAUCGAGGAGUUUUUGGAUGUCAUUUGUUUUCGAGUCGCGUUUGGUCGGUUUUAGGGCAAAUUCUGUACAAGAUGUCAUAUAUGGGUACCUAACUUGGAAAAAUUCUGUGAAUGACAUUUUUUAAGCAUGGAUUGGGUAGCAAAAAGUUAUGUUGGACGAGCCACUAAAGAGGUAAUUAUCGAGGAGUUUUUGCGUGUCCUUUGUUUUCGAGUCGCGUUUGGUCGGUUUUAGGGCAAAUUAUGUACACCAUGUCAUAUAUGGGUACCUAACUUUGGAAAAAUUCUGUGAAUGGCAUUUUUUGAGCAUGGAUUGGGUAGCAAAAAGUUAUUUUAGAAGAUCCACGAAAGAGGUAGUUAUCGAGUCACGUUUGGUCGGUUUUAGGGCAAAUUCUGUACAAGAUGUCAUAUAUGGGUACCUAACUUGGAAAAAUUCUAUGACCGGCUUUUUAAACAUGGAUUGUGUCGUGGAAUUGUCACGGCAGAUGUCCUAGUGUAAGGACUUAGUCGCGAGGCCAACGCAUCUAUGUGGGAUCUUGAAGGGGUUGAGCGGAAUCAAGAGACGCAACACGUAAGACGAGGAUUUAGACAGCUUCGGGCCCCGGGAAACAUCAUCCGGUAAUAACCCUACAUGCUGUUUGUAGCUAGGUCUCAUUAUGAUCAUGAAGGAGUCGCCGUAAGCCGGCUCUCCUUUUUCUGUCUAGCCCUAGAUAUUGUUUCUUGUCUCUCGUCCCUCUUGGGGAGCCCUGCCGGCCCCUCCUUAUAUAAGUUGAAGGGGCGGCUUACAUGUAGAGUCCUAGUAGGACUAGGACUAGUCUAUCUUUUCUUACAAGUUGAAUACAAGUCCAGGUCUUGCUUCCUUUGUAGGAAGAAUAUUCCUUAUGCCUUUCCUCUUAAGUCGGCCUACCAUAACGUAAGCCGGCCUUCUGGGCCUUGAGCCUCUUGGGCCCCCGGGUCUUUUCGCUCCUCUGAUCCGCUUGCCACGUCACCCAUAAGUCGCCAGACUCGGGCAGGUCACUUAGUGAGUCGUCCAGUCAGGGCGGGUCAUUAGUACGUCGCGAAGUCCGGCCGGGUUAUACAUCCGGCCGGGUCAUACUGCGGGGUAUAUCCCCGACAGAUUGGGUAGCCAAAAGUUAUUUUGGACAAGCCAUGAAAGAGAUAGUUAUCAAGGAGUUUUUGCGUGUCCUUUGUUUCGAGUCGCGUUUGGUCGGUUUUAGGGCAAAUUUUGUACAACAUGUCAUAUAUGGGUACCUAACUUGGAAACAUUCGGUGAACGAAAUUUUAUAAGGAUGGAUUGGGUAGCAAAAAUUAUGUUGGACGAGCCACGAAAGAGGUAGUUACCGAGGAGUUUUUGCAUGUUCUUUGUUUUUGAGUCGCGUUUGGUCGGUUUUAGGGCAAAUUCUGUGCAAGAUGUAAUAUAUGGGUACCUAACUUGGAAAAAUUAUGUGAACGGCAUUUUUAAGCAUGGAUUGGGUUAUAAAAAGUUAUGUUGGACGAGCCACGAAAGAGUUAGUUAUUGAGGAGUUUUUGCGUGUCCUUUGUUUUUUAGUCGCGUUUGGUAGGUUUAAGGGCAAAUUAUGCACAAGUUUUCAUAUAUGGGUACCUAACUUGGAAAAAUUAUGUAAACAUCAUUUUUUAAGCAUGGAUUGGGUAGCAAAAAGUUAUUUUGGACAAGCCAUGAAAUAGGUAUUUAUCAAGGAGUUUUUACGUGUCCUUUGUUUUCGAGUUGCGUUUGGUCGGUUUUAGGACAAAUUCUGGACAAGCUAUCAUAUAUGGGUACCUAACUUGGAAAAAUUAUGUGAGCAGCAUUUUUUAAGCAUGCAUUGGGUAGCAAUAAGUUAUUUUGGAUGAGCCAAGAAAGAGGUAGUUAUCGAGUAGUUUUUACAUGUCAUUUGUUUUCGAGUCGCGUUUGGUCGAAUAUAGCUCAACCCCUUUGUUAUUCGACGUGGAUUGUAUUCGAAUCAGCGUCGCUAAACAACUCUUAAGGUCAUUUGGGGGCUUCCUGUUCAAACAUAGGUCGUAUUCGAACCAAAGAGAACAUAGCUGUCGAUACCCUUUUGAUUAGCAAACUGCUGAACCUACUUGGGUUCUUCUUGAUCGUAUCCGAAUCAUAGCUCAACCCCUUUGGGAUUCGACGUGGAUCGUAUUCGAAUCAGCGUUGCUAAACAACUCUUAAGGUCAUUUGGGGGCUUCUUGUUCAAACAUAGGUCGUAUUCGAACCAAAGAGAACAUAGCUGUCGAUACCCACUUUGAUCGGCAAUGCCAACGCCACUGGGGGCUAUAUGAUCGUAUUCGAAUCUUAGCUUAACCCCUUUGGAACGGUUUACUGAUCGUAUUCGAAUCAGAAGGCUCAAAUUUUUUUAUCUGUUUUUAUACAAUCACAAGUAUUUGAGUCGUCACAAAUAUCAUAUGUGCCGGCUUUUACCGGGUUACGUUAUCAACUUCACCCUCCGGGUCACGUAAACCGGUGGUAUCAUCCAAAGGAUCAUAAGUAUGAUAACAUCAAUUGUGUCUUAACAUCAUGAUUGAUAACCGGCUUGUCUAUUUAUGAUUCUUUUUGGGUUUUUUAUAUGACCCGCCCUGCGGCAAACCGCCAAGGGUUCUUGUGAUCUACUUGUGUGCAGGGUAAGACUACAUUUGGGUGGUUACCCGCCCUGGUUUUUGACGUUAAGUCGCCAGGGCAUAUGUUGUUUAAACUCUGUGCAGGAUUUGCAGAACUAUGACUUAUAUAAAUGCUUCAGUCCAAGCUCAUCACUGAAAUUGGUGUCUCAAAAGGGUUAUCAAUUAUUGGUUUUCUCAAGGGCUAUAGGCCACCGGGUUACAAAAAUUCCGGCUUACAAUGAAGGCGCAUUAAGUCGUCAUUGGCCAAGAGCCGCCAGGUAUUUAAACUCCGGGUUUACUUGUCAACCGAUGAGGUAUUCAAAUCUUUAAUAGCCAAAACUGGCUGAAUUUUCAUGAUGAUAUUGAAUGAUUGAGGUUUUCAUACCGGAUUAUAUUAUUCAAAUCUUGAAUAGCCAACAUGGCUGGAUUUCUAUUGUGAUUAUCAAUAACCAGUGUUAUGAUUGAGGUUUUCAAAGUCGCUUUAGCGCAACGGCUAUUAUUUUUAUCAAUGGGCAUGAUUUAUUUUACAAUGGAGGAAAUAGUCCCGAGUCGCUGCAGGCUUACGACCCGGCACUUGGGGGCUACAUUGUUCAAAUCGAGAUUACAUCGAAUAUACAAGUCCCAUGUCACUGCCAGCAUGCACCAUGGCACUUGGGGGCUAAUGCAAAGUCAUAUUUUGCUCAACUUAUUGAAGACCCGACUCAUCACAUUUUAAAUGAGCCGGCCCUUGGGGGCUACCAAUUGCUCCUGUCGGAAAUUCAAGGUACACAAGCCUUAAUCCAUUAUAUUGAAAGAUCCAUUAUUCAGUUGGUAGAGUACAAAGCUCUUAACCUUGUGGACGUGGGUUCAAGCCCCAUGGUGGAGAUUACAUCAUUUGAUGGUAUUAUCAACGAAUCAUAUACAAAGUCCCAGCUCAGUAAUAUCUUAUUGAGCCGGCCCUUGGGGGCUACACGUUGCUGUUAAAGUCUACAUGAUCAUAUUUUCAAAAGUCCCUGUUCAUUAUUGCAUAAUGACCCGGCCCUUGGGGGCUACACUGGUUGAAGUUUUCAUAAGCAUAAAGCAAUUACAACUCCCUGGUUGCUGCAAGCAUGACAACCCGGCACUUGGGGGCUACAUGUGUGGAAUAUUCAGUUUAUAUGAUUGAGAUGAAUAAACCGGAUUUCUUCAAGGUUGCAACAUUUAUUGGAGCAAGUCUUAAACCAUCACUUUGUUCUGCUCAAGACUUGGGGGCUACAUGUAAUAUGGAUAUAAGGGAGAAAAAUCUUCAAAUUAUCAGUUUUGAGCAAGUCAGGAGGAUCAAAUUGACCCGGUGUUUGCAACAAUCAUGAUCCGGCGUCACCAAUAAUUAUGACCCGACGUCGGCAACAGUUAUGACCCGGUGCUAUCAAUAUUUAUAAGUCGGCAAUUUUGAUAAACCGGCAAGUCUUACUUCUUCAACCCGGCUGAAAGUCAGAUGAGUAUUUCAAGACCAAUAUGUUUUAAGCCAGCGCUUUGGAAGCCGAUUCAAGUGGAUUAUUUCUUACAAUAUUUCUCUACAAGAGACCAAUGCCAGCAAAUUGACUCGGAAGCUGGCCUAUUGACCCGGAUUUCUCAAAAGAAGUAUCCGGAAUUUUUGCAUUCACAAAAGUUGGAACAUAUCUACUAAAGGAGAUUUGCUAUAAGUUCAUGGGCAUGUAUCAAAGAGGAGAUGACCAGGACUUAAGGAUGAUCAAGUGCCGGCUUACAAGAAUAUUUAACCCGGAGUACAACCUGUCAAUUUGUUCUUGUGUUUAUGUUGCAGAUCAGUUUAACAUGGAUAAAUCCAAAUUAAACUUGGGGGCUAAUGUCGGGGAUAUACCCCGCGGUAUGACCCGGCCGGAUGUAUAACCCGGCCGGACAUGGCGACGUACUAAUGACCCGCCCUGACUGGACUACUCACUAAGUGACCCGCCCGAGUCUGGCGACUUAUGGGUGACCUGGCAAGCGGAUCAGAGGAGCGACAAGAACCGGGGGCCCAAGAGGCUCAAGGCCCAGAAAGCCGGCUUACGUUAUGGUAGGUCGGCUUAAGAGGAAAGGCAUAAGGAAUAUUCUCCUACAAAGGAAGCAAGACCUGGACUUGUAUUCAACUUGUAAGAAAAGAUAGACUAGUCCUAGUCCUACUAGGACUCUACAUGUAAGCCGCCCCUUCAACUUAUAUAAGGAGGGGCAGGGCUCCUCAAGAGGGACGAGAGACAAGAAACAAUAUCUAGGGCUAGACAGAAAGAGGACAGCCGGCUUAUGGCGACUCCUUCAUGAUCAUAAUGAGACCUAGCCACAAACAGCAUGUAGGGUUAUUACCGGAUGAUGUUUCCCAGGGCUCGAAGCUGUCUAAAUCCUCGUCUUAUGUGUUGCGUAUCUUGAUUCUGCUCAACCCCUUCAAUCUACCACAUAGAUGCGUUGGCCUCGCGUCUAAGUCCUUACACUAGGACAUCUGCCGUGACAAUUCCACGACAGUCGGUUUUAGGGCAAAUUCUAUACAAGACGUCAUAUAUGGGUACCUAACGUGGAAAAAUUAUGUAAAUGACAUUUUUUAAGCAUGGAUUGAGUAGCAAAAAGAUUUUUUGGACGAGCCAUGAAAGAGGUAUUUAUUGAGGAAUUUUUGCGUGUCCUUUGUUUUCGAGUCGUGUUUGGUCGGUUUUAGGGCAAAUUCUAGACAAGCUGUCAUAUAUGGGUACCUAACUUGGAAAAAUUCUGUGAGUAGCAUUUUUAAGCAUGGAUUGGGUAGCCAUAAGUUAUUUUGGACGAGCCAAGAAAGAGGUAGUUAUCAAGGAGUUUUUGCGUGUCCUUUGUUUUCGAGUCGCAUUUGGUCGGUUUUAGGGCAAAUUCUGGACAAGAUGUAAUAUAUGGGUCCUAACUUGGAAAAAUUAUGUGAAUGGCAUUUCUUAAGCAUGGAUUGGGUAGUAAAAAGUUAUUUUGGAGGAGCCAUGAAAGAGGUAUUUAGCGAGGAGGUUUUGUGUGUCCUUUGUUUUCGAGUCGCAUUUGGUCGGUUUUAGGGCAAAUUCUGGACAAGCUGUCAUAUAUGGGUACCUGAGUUGGAAAAAUUCUGUGAGCAGCAUUUUUUAAGCAUGCAUUAGGUAGCCAUAAGUUAUUUUGGAUGGGCCAAUAAAGAGGUAGUUAUCGAGUNNNNNNNNNNNNNNNNNNNNNNNNNNNNNNNNNNNNNNNNNNNNNNNNNNNNNNNNNNNNNNNNNNNNNNNNNNNNNNNNNNNNNNNNNNNNNNNNNNNNNNNNNNNNNNNNNNNNNNNNNNNNNNNNNNNNNNNNNNNNNNNNNNNNNNNNNNNNNNNNNNNNNNNNNNNNNNNNNNNNNNNNNNNNNNNNNNNNNNNNNNNNNNNNNNNNNNNNNNNNNNNNNNNNNNNNNNNNNNNNNNNNNNNNNNNNNNNNNNNNNNNNNNNNNNNNNNNNNNNNNNNNNNNNNNNNNNNNNNNNNNNNNNNNNNNNNNNNNNNNNNNNNNNNNNNNNNNNNNNNNNNNNNNNNNNNNNNNNNNNNNNNNNNNNNNNNNNNNNNNCUGCACAAGCUGUCAUAUAUGGGUACCUAACUUGGAAAAAUUCUGUGAGCAGCAUUUUUAAGCAUGGAUUGGGUAGCAAUAAGUUAUUUUGGAUGAGCCAAGAAAGAGGUAGUUAUCAAGGAGUUUUUGCGUGUCCUUUGUUUUUGAGUCGCGUUUGGUCGGUUUUAGGGCAAAUUAUGUACAAGACAUCAAAUAUGGGUACCUAACUUGGAAAAAUUCUGUGAGAAGCAUUUUUUAAGCAUGGAUUGUGUAGCAAUAAGUUAUUUUGGAUGAGCCAAGAAAGAGGUAGUUAUCAGGUAGUUUUUGCAUGUCCUUUGUUUUUGAGUCGCGUUUGAUCGGUUUUAGGGCAAAUUAUGUACAAGACGUCAUAUAUGGGUACCUAACGUGGAAAAAUUCUAUGAACGACAUUUUUAAGCAUGGAUUGGGUAGUAAAAAGUUAUUUUUGGCAAGCCACGAAAGAGGUAGUUAUCGAGGAGUUUCUGCGUGUCCUUUGUUUCCGAGUCGCGUUUGGUAGGUUUUAGGGCAAAUUCUGUAACAGAUGCCAUAUAUGGGUACCUAACUUGGAAAAUUUCUAUGAACGACAUUUUUUAAGCAUGGAUUGGGCAGCAAAAAGCUAUUUUGGACGAGACACAAAAGAGGUAUUUAUCGAGCAGUUUUUCCGUGUCCUUUGUUUUCGAGUCGGGUUUGGUCGCUUUUAGGGCAAAUUCUGGACAAGCUGUCAUAUAUGGGUACCUGACUUGGAAAAAUUCUAUGAGCAGCAUUUUUUAAGCAUGGGGUAGCAAUAAGUUAUUUUGGACGAGGCAAGAAAGAGGUAGUUAUGGAGUAGUUUUUGCAUGUCCUUUGUUUUCGAGUCGCGUUUGGUCGGUUUUAGGGCAAAUUUUGUACAAGACGUCAUAUAUGGGUACCUAACGUGGAAAAAUUAGGUAAACGACAUUUUCUAAGCAUGGAUUAGGUAGCAAAAAGUUAUUUUGGAUGAGCCUUGAAAGAGGUGUUUAUCGAGGAUUUUUUGCGUGUCCUUUGUUUUUGAGUCGCGUUUGGUCGUUUUAGGGCAAAUUAUGCACAAGUUUUCAUAUAUGGGUACCUAACUUCGAAAAAUUCUGUGAGUAGCAUUUUUUAAGCAUGGAUUGGGUAGCAAUAAGUUAUUUUGGACGAGCCUAGAAAGAGGUAGUUAUCGUGGAGUUUUUGCGUGUCCUUUGUUUUUGAGUCGCGUUUUGUCGGUUUUAGGGUAAUUUCUGUACAAGACGUCAUAUAUGGGUACCUAACUUGGAAAAUUAUGUGAAUGGAAUUUUUUAAGCAUGGAUUGGGUUAUAAAAAGUUAUGUUGGACGAGCCACGAAAGUGUUAGUUAUCGAGGAGUUUUUGCGUGUCCUUUGGUUCCGAGUCGCGUUUGGUAGGUUUUAGGGCAAAUUCUGUAAUAGAUGCCAUAUAUGGGUACCUAACUUGGAAAAUUUCUGUGAACGACAUUUUUUAAGCAUGGAUUGGGCAGCAAAAAGUUAUUUUGGACGAGACACAAAAGAGGUAUUUAUCGAGCAGUUUUUCCGUGUCCUUUGUUUUCGAGUCGGGUUUGGUCGAUUUUAGGGCAAAUUUUGGACAAGCUGUCAUAUAUGGGUACCUCACUUGGAAAACUUCCGUGACCAGCAUUUUUUGAGCAUGGAUUAGGUAGCAAUAAGUUAUUUUGGAUGAGCCAGGAAAGAGGUAGUUAUCGAGUAGUUUUUCCGUGUCCUUUCUUUUUGAGACGCGUUUGGUCGGUUUUUGGGCAAAUUUUGUACAAGACGUCAUAUAUGGCUACCUAACAUGGAAAAAUUAUGUGAACAAAAUUUUUUAAGCAUGGAUUGGGUAGCAAAAAGUUAUUUUGGACGAGCCACGAAAGAGGUAGUUAUCGAGGAAUUUUUGCGUGUCCUUUGUUUUUGAGUCGCGUUUGGUUGGUUUUAGGGUAAAUUCUGUACAAGAUGUGAUAUAUGGGUACCUAACUUCGAAAUAUUCUGUGAACGACAUUUCUUAGCAUGGAUUGGGUAGCAAAAAAUUAUUUUGGGCAAGCCACCAAAGAGGUAAUUAUCGAGGAGUUUCUGCAUGUCGCGUUUGGUCGGUUUUAGGGCAAAUUCUAUAACAGAUGUCAUAUAUGGCAUUCUUUUAAGCAUGGAUUUGGUAGAAAAAAUUAUUUUGGACGAGCCACAAAAGAGGUAGUUAUCGAGGAGUUUCUGCGUGUCCUUUUUUUUGGAGUCGCGUUUGGUUGGUUUUAGGGCAAAUUCUAUAACAGAUGCCAUAUAUGGUACCUAACUCGGAAAAUUUCUGUGAACGACAUUUUUUAAGCAUGGAUUGGGCAGCAAAAAGUUAUUUUGGACGUGCCACGAAAGAGGUAUUUAUCGAGGAGUUUUUGCGUGUCCAUUGUUUUCGAGUCGCGUUUGGUCGGUUUUAGGGUAAAUGUACAAGAUGUCAUGUAUGGUUACCUAACUUGGAAAAUUUCUAUGAACGGAAUUUUUUAAGAAUGGAUUGUGUAGCUAAAGUUAUUUUGGACGAGCCACGAAAGAGGUAGUUAUAGAGGAGGUUUUGCGUGUCCUUUGUUUUCGAGUCGGGUUUGGUCGCUUUUAGGGCAAAUUCUGGACAAGCUGUCAUAUAUGGGUACCUGACUUGGAAAAAUUCUAUGAGCAGCAUUUUUUAAGCAUGGGGUAGCAAUAAGUUAUUUUGGACGAGGCAAGAAAGAGGUAUUUAUCGAGUAGUUUUUGCAUGUCCUUUGUUUUCGAGUCGCGUUUGGUCGGUUUUAGGGCAAAUUUUGUACAAGACAUCAUAUAUGGGUACCUAACGUGGAAAAAUUAGGUAAACGACAUUUUCUAAGCAUGGAUUAGGUAGCAAAAAGUUAUUUUGGAUGAGCCUUGAAAGAGGUGUUUAUCGAGGAUUUUUUGCGUGUCCUUUGUUUUUGAGUCGCGUUUGGUCGGUUUUAGGGCAAAUUAUGCACAAGUUUUCAUAUAUGGGUACCUAACUUCAAAAAAUUCUGUGAGUAGCAUUUUUUAAGCAUGGAUUGGGUAGCAAUAAGUUAUUUUGGACGAGCCAAGAAAGAGGUAGUUAUCGUGGAGUUUUUGCGUGUCCUUUGUUUUUGAGUCGCGUUUUGUCGGUUUUAGGGCAAUUUCUGUACAAGACGUCAUAUAUGGGUACCUAACUUGGAAAAUUAUGUGAAUGGAAUUUUUUAAGCAUGGAUUGGGUUAUAAAAAGUUAUGUUGGACGAGCCACGAAAGUGUUAGUUAUAGAGGAGUUUUUGCGUGUCCUUUGGUUCCGAGUCGCGUUUGGUAGGUUUUAGGGCAAAUUCUGUAAUAGAUUCCAUAUAUGGGUACCUAACAUGGAAAAUUUCUGUGAACGACAUUUUUUAAGCAUGGAUUGGGCAGCAAAAAGUUAUUUUUGACGAGACACAAAAGAGGUAUUUAUCGAGCAGUUUUUCCGUGUCCUUUGUUUCGACUCGGGUUUGGUCGGUUUUAGGGCAAAUUUUGGACAAGCUGUCAUAUAUGGGUACCUCACUUGGAAAACUUCCGUGACCAGCAUUUUUUAAGCAUGGAUUAGGUAGCAAUAAGUUAUUUUGGAUGAGCCAAGAAAGAGGUAGUUAUCGAGUAGUUUUUCCGUGUCCUUUGUUUUUGAGACGCGUUUGGUCGGUUUUUGGGCAAAUUUUGUACAAGACGUCAUAUAUUGGUACCUAACAUGGAAACAUUAUGUGAACGAAAUUUUUUAAGCAUGGAUUGGGUAGCAAAAAGUUAUUUUGGACGAGCCACGAAAGAGGUAGUUAUCGAGGAAUUUUUGCGUGUCCUUUGUUUUUGAGUCGCGUUUGGUCGGUUUUAGGGUAAAUUCUGUACAAGAUGUGAUAUAUGGGUACCUAACUUCAAAAUAUUCUGUGAACGACAUUUUUUAGCAUGGAUUGGGUAGCAAAAAAUUAUUUUGGGCAAGCCACCAAAGAGGUAAUUAUCGAGGAGUUUCUGCAUGUCGCGUUUGGUCGGUUUUAGGGCAAAUUCUGUAACAGAUGUCAUAUAUGGCAUUCUUUUAAGCAUGGAUUUGGUAGAAAAAAUUAUUUUGGACGAGCCACAAAAGAGGUAGUUAUCGAGGAGUUUCUGCGUGUCCUUUGUUUUGGAGUCGCGUUUGGUCGGUUUUAGGGCAAAUUCUAUAACAAAAGCCAUAUAUGGUACCUAACUCGGAAAAUUUCUGUGAACGACAUUUUUUAAGCAUGGAUUGGGCAGCAAAAAGUUAUUUUGGACGUGCCACGAAAGAGGUAUUUAUCGAGGAGUUUUUGCUUGUCCUUUGUUUUCGAGUCGCGUUUGGUCGGUUUUAGGGUAAAUGUACAAGAUGUCAUGUAUGGUUACCUAACUUGGAAAAUUUCUAUGAACGGAAUUUUUUAAGAAUGGAUUGUGUAGCUAAAGCUAUUUUGGACGAGCCACGAAAGAGGUAGUUAUAGAGGAGGUUUUGCGUGUCCUUUGUUUUCGAGUCGCGUUUGGUUGGUUCAAGGGCAAAUUCUGUACAAGAUGUCAUAUAUGGGUACCUAACUUAGAAAAAUUCUGUGAACGACAUUUUGUUAGCAUGGAUUGGGUAGCAAAAAGUUAUGUUGGACGAGCCACUAAAGAGGUAGUUAUCGAGGAGUUUUUGCGUCUCCUUUGUUUUCCGAGUCGCGUUUGGUUGGUUUUAGGGCAAAUUCCGUACACGAUGUAAUAUAUGGGUACCUAACUUGGAAAAAUUAGGUGAACGACAUUUUUAAUUAUGGAUGGGGUUAUAAAAAGUUAUGUUGGAGGAGCCACGAUAGAGUUAGUUAUCGAGGAGUUUUUGCGUGUCCUUUGUUUUCGAGUCGCGUUUGGUCAGUUUUAGGGCAAAUUCUGUACAACAUGUCAUAUAUGGGUACCUAACUUUGGAAAAAUUCUGUGAAUGGCAUUUUUUAAGCAUGGAUUGGGUAGCAGAAAGUUAUUUUGGAAGAGCCACGAAAGAGGUAGUUAUCGAGGAGUUUUUGCAUGUCAUUUGUUUUCGAGUCGCGUUUAGUCGGUUUUAGGACAAAUUCUGUACAAGAUGUCAUAUAUGGGUACCUAACUUGGAAAAAUUCUGUGAGUGACAUUUCCUAAGCAUGGAUUGGGUAGCAAAAAGUUAUGUUGGACGAGCCACUAAAGAGGUAGUUAUCGAGGAGUUUUUGCAUGUCCUUUUUUUUCGAGUCUCGUUUGGUCGGUUUUAGGGCAAAUUCUGUACAACAUGUGAUAUAUGGGUACCUAACUUUGGAAAAAUUCUGUUAAUGGCAUUUUUUAAGCAUGGAUUGGGUAGCAAAAAGUUAUUUUGGAAGAGCCACGAAAGACGUAGUUAUUGAGUCACGUUUCGUCGGUUUUAGGCCAAAUUCUGUACAAGAUGUCAUAUAUGGGUACCUAACAUGGAAAAAUUCUAUGACCGGCUUUUUAAGCAUGGAUUGGGUAGCCAAAAGUUAUUUUGGACGAGUCAUGAAAGAGAUAGUUUUUGCGUGUCCUUUGUUUCGAGUCACGUUUGGUCGAUUUUAGGGCAAAUUUUGUACAACAUGUCAUAUAUGGGUACCUAACUUGGAAACAUUCGGUGAACGACAUUUUAUAAGGAUGGAUUGGGUAGCAAAAAUUUCUGUUGGACGAGCCACGAAAGAGGUAGUUACCGAGGAGUUUUUGCAUGUUCUUUGUUUUUGAGUCGCGUUUGGUCGGUUUUAGGGCAAAUUCUGUAAAAGAUGUAAUAUAUGGGUACCUAAAUUGGAAAAAUUAUGUUAACGGCAUUUUUAAGCGUGGAUUGGGUUAUAAAAAGUUAUGUUGGACGAGCCACGAAACAGUUAGUUAUUGAGGUGUUUUUGCGCGUCCUUUGUUUUCGAGUCGCGUUUGGUAGGUUUAAGGACAAAUUAUGCACAAGUUUUCAUAUAUGGGUACCUAACUUGGAAAAAUUAUGUAAACAGCAUUUUUUAAGCAUGGUUUGGGUAGCAAAAAGUUAUUUUGGACAAGCCAUGAAAGAGGUAUUUAUCGAGGAGUUUUUACGUGUCCUUUGUUUUGGAGUCGCGUUUGGUCGGUUUUAUGGCAAAUUCUGGACAAGCUAUCAUAUAUGGGUACCUAACUUGGAAAAAUUCUGUGAGCAGCAUUUUUUAAGCAUGGAUUGGGUAGCAAUAAGUUAUUUUGGAUGAGCCAAGAAAGAGGUAGUUAUCGAGUAGUUUUUGCAUGUCAUUUGUUUUGGAGUCGCGUUUGGUCGGUUUUAGGGCAAAUUCUAUACAAGAUGUCAUAUAUGGGUACCUAACAUGGAAAAAUUAUGUAAACGACAAUUUUUAAGCAUGGAUUGGGUAGCAAACAAUUUUUUUUGACGAGCCAUGAAAGAGGUAUUUAUCUAGGAGUUUUUACGUGUCCUUUGUUUUCGAGCCGCGUUUGGUCGGUUUUAGGGCAAAUUCUAGACAAGCUGUAAUCUAUGGGUACCUAACUUGGAAAAAUUCUAUGAGUAGCAUUUUUAAGCAUGGAUUGGGUAGCAAUAAGUUAUUUUGGACGAGCCAAGAAAGAGGUAGUUAUCAUGGAGUUUUUGCGUGUCCUUUGUUUUUUGAGUCGCGUUUGGUUGGUUUUAGGGCAAAUUCCGUACAAGAUGUAAUAUAUGGGUACCUAACUUGGAAAAAUUAUGUAAAUGGCAUUUUUAAUUAUGGAUUGGGUUAUAAAAAGUUAUGUUGGAGGAGCCACGAUAGAGUUAGUUAUCGAGGACUUUUUGCGUGUACUUUGUUUUCGAGUCGCGUUUGGUCGGUUUUAGGGCAAAUUCUGGACAAGCUGUCAUAUAUGGGGACCUAAUUUGGAAAAAUUCUGUGAGCAGCAUUUUUUAAGCAAGGAUUGGGUAGCAAUAAGUUAUUUUGGAUGAGCCAAGAAAGAGGUCGUUAUCAAGUAGUUUUUGCAUGUCCUUUGUUUUCGAGUCGCGUUUGGUCGGUUUUAGGGCAAAUUCUGUACAACAUGUCAUAUAUGGGUACCUAACUUUGGAAAAAUUCUGUGAAUGGCAUUUUUUAAGCAUGGAUUGGGUAGCAAAAAGUUAUUUUGGAAGAGCCACGAAAGACGUAGUUAUUGAGUCACGUUUCAUCGGUUUUAGGCCAAAUUCUGUACAAGAUGUCAUAUAUGGGUACCUAACUUGGAAAAAUUCUAUGACCAGCUUUUUAAGCAUGGAUUGGGUAGCCAAAAUUUAUUUUGGACGAGCCAUGAAAGAGGUAGUUAUCAAGGAGUUUUUGCGUAUCCUUUGUUUCGAGUCGCGUUUGGUCGGUUUUAGGGCAAAUUUUGUACAACAUGUCAGAUAUGGGUACCUAACUUGGAAACAUUCGGUGAACAACAUUUUUUAAGAAUUGAUUGGGUAGCCAAAAGUUAUGUUGGACGAGCCACUAAAGAGGUAGUUAUCGAGGAGUUUUUGCGUGUCCUUUGUUUUCGAGUCGCGUUUGGUCGAUUUUAGGGCAAAUUCUGUACAACAUGUCAUAUAUGGGUACCUAACUUUGGAAAAAUAAUAUGAAUGGCAUCUUUAUGCAUGGAUUGGGUAGCAAAAAGUUAUUUUGGAAGAGCCACGAAAGAGGUAGUUAUCGAGUCACGUUUGCUCGGUUUUAGGGCAAAUUCUGUACAAGAUGUCAUAUAUGGGUACCUAACUUGGAAAAAUUCUAUGACCGGCUUUUUAAGCAUGGAUUGGGUAGCCAAAAGUUAUUUUGGACGAGCCAUGAAAGAGGUAGUUAUCAAGGAGUUUUUGCGUGUCCUUUGUUUCGGGUCGCGUUUGGUCGGUUUUAGGGCAAAUUUUGUACAACAUGUCAUAUAAGGGUACCUAACUUGGAAACAUUCGGUGAACGACAUUUUAUAAGGAUGGAUUGGGUAGCAAAAAUUUAUGUCGGACGAGCCACGAAAGAGGUAGUUACCGAGGAGUUUUUGCAUGUUCUUUGUUUUUGAGUCGCGUUUGGUCGGUUUUAGGGCAAAUUCUGUACAAGAUGUAAUAUAUGGGUACCUAACUUGGAAAAAUUAUGUUAACGGCAUUUUUAAGCGUGGAUUGGGUUAUAAAAAGUUAUGUUGGACGAGCCACGAAAGAGUUAGUUAUCGAGGUGUUUUUGCGCGUCCUUUCUUUUCGAGUCGCGUUAGGUAGGUUUAAGGACAAAUUAUGCACAAGUUUUCAUAUAUGGGUACCUAACUUGGAAAAAUUAUGUAAACAGCAUUUUUUAAGCAUGGUUUGGGUAGCAAAAAGUUAUUUUGGACAAGCCAUGAAAGAGGUAUUUAUCGAGGAGUUUUUACGUGUCCUUUGUUUUCGAGUCGCGUUUGGUCGGUUUUAGGGCAAAUUCUGGAGAAGCUAUCAUAUAUGGGUACCUAACUUGGAAAAAUUCUGUGAGCAGCAUUUUUUAAGCAUGGAUUGGGUAGCAAUAAGUUAUUUUGGAUUAGCCAAGAAAGAGGUAGUUAUCGAGUAGUUUUUGCAUGUCAUUUGUUUUUGAGUCGCGUUUGGUCGGUUUUAGGGCAAAUUCUAUACAAGACGUCAUAUAUGGGUACCUAACGUGGAAAAAUUAUGUAAACGACAUUUUUUAAGCAUGGAUUGGGUAGCAAACAAUUUUUUUGACGAGCCAUGAAAGAGGUAUUUAUCUAGGAGUUUUUACGUGUCCUUUGUUUUCGAGCCGCGUUUGGUCGGUUUUAGGGCAAAUUCUAGACAAGCUGUCAUCUAUGGGUACCUAACUUGGAAAAAAUUUAUGAGUAGCAUUUUUAAGCAUGGAUUGGGUAGCAAUAAGUUAUUUUGGACGAGCCAAGAAAGAGGUAGUUAUCAAGGAGUUUUUGCGUGUCCUUUGUUUUUUGAGUCGUGUUUGGUUGGUUUGAGGGCAAAUUCCGUACAAGAUGUAAUAUAUGGGUACCUAACUUGGAAAAAUUAUGUAAACGGCAUUUUUAAUUAUGGAUUGGGUUAUAAAAAGUUAUGUUGGAGGAGCCAUGAUAGAGUUAGUUAUCGAGGAGUUUUUGCGUGUACUUUGUUUUUGAGUCGUGUUUGGUCGGUUUUAGGGCAAAUUCUGGACAAGCUGUCAUAUAUGGGGACCUAACUUGGAAAAAUUCUGUGAGCAACAUUUUUUAAGCAUGGAUUGGGUAGCAAUAAGUUAUUUUGGAUGAGCCAAGAAAGAGGUAGUUAUCAAGUAGUUUUUGCAUGUCCUUUGUUUUCGAGUCGCGUUUGGUCGGUUUUAGGGCAAAUUAUGUACAAGACGUCAUAUAUGGGUACCUAACGUGGAAAAAUUCUGUGAACGACAUUUUUAAGCAUGGAUUGGGUAGCAAAAAGUUAUAUUGGACGAGCCACGAAAGAGGUAGUUAUCGAGGAGUUUUUGCGUGUCCUUUGUUUUUGAGUCACAUUUGGUCGGUUUUAGGGCAAAUUCUGUACAAGAUGUCAUAUAUGGGUAACUAACUUGGAAAUAUUCUAUGAACGGCAUUUUUAAGCAUGGAUUGGGUAGUAAAAAGUUAUUUUGGGCAAGCCACGAAAGAGGUAGUUAUCGAGGAGUUUCUGCGUGUCCUUUGUUUCCGAGUCGCAUUUGGUAGGUUUUAGGGAAAAUUCUGUAACAGAUGCCAUAUAUGGGUACCUAACUUGGAAAAUUUCUGUGAACAACAUUUUUUAAUCAUGCAUUGGGCAGCAAAAAGUUAUUUUGGACGAGACACAAAAGAGGUAUUUAUCGAGGAGUUUUUCCGUGUCCUUUGUUUUCCAGUCGGGUUUGGUCGCUUUUAGGGCAAAUUCUGGACAAGCUGUCAUAUAUGGGUACCUGACUUGGAAAAAUUCUAUGAGCAGCAUUUUUUAAGCAUGGGGUAGCAAUAAGUUAUUUUGGACGAGGCAGGAAAGAGGUAGUUAUCGAGUAGUUUUUGCGUGUCCUUUGUCCUCGAGUCGCGUUUGGUCGGUUUUAGGGCAAAUUUUGCACAAGACGUCAUAUAUGGGUACCUAACGUGGAAAAAUUAUGUAAACGACAUUUUCUAAGCAUGGAUUUGGUAGCAAAAAGUUAUUUUGGAUGAGCCAUGAAAGAGGUAUUUAUCGAGGAUUUUUGGCGUGUCCUUUGUUUUCGAGUCGCGUUUGGUCCGUUUUAGGGAAAAUUAUGCACAAGUUUUCAUAUAUAGGUACCUAACUUGGAAACAUUAUGUAAACAGCAUUUUUUAAGCAUGGUUUGGGUAGAAGAAAGUUAUUUUGGACAAGCCAUGAAAGAGGUAUUUAUCGAGGAGUUUUUACGUCUCCUUUGUUUUCGAGUCGCGUUUGGUCGGUUUUAGGGCAAAUUCUAGACAAGCUAUCAUAUAUGGGUACCUAACUUGGAAAAAUUCUUUGAGCAGCAUUUUUUUAGCAUGGAUUGGGUAGCAAUAAGUUAUUUUGGAUUAGCCAAGAAAGAGGUAGUUAUCGAGUAGUUUUUGCAUGUCAUUUUUUUUGAGUCGCGUUUGGUCGGUUUUAGGGCAAAUUCUAUACAAGACGUCAUAUAUGGGUACCUAACGUGGAAAAAUUAUGUAAACAACAUUUUUUAAGCAUGGAUUGGGUAGCAAACAAUUUUUUUUGACGAGCCAUGAAAGAGGUAUUUAUCUAGGAGUUUUUACGUGUCCUUUGUUUCCGAGCCGCGUUUGGUCGGUUUUAUGGCAAAUUCUAGACAAGCUGUCAUCUAUGGGUACCUAACUUGGAAAACUUCUAUGAGUAGAAUUUUUAAUCAUGGAUUGGGUAGCAAUAAGUUAUUUUGGACGAGCCAAGAAAGAGGUAGUUAUCAAGGAGUUUUUGCGUGUCCUUUGUUUUUUGAGUCGCGUUUGGUUGGUUUUAGGGCAAAUUCCGUACAAGAUGUAAUAUAUGGGUACCUAACUUGGAAAAAUUAUGUAAACGGCAUUUUUAAUUAUGGAUUGGGUUAUAAAAAGUUACGUUGAAGGAGCCACGAUAGAGUUAGUUAUCGAGGAGUUUUUGCGUGUACUUUGUUUUCGAGUCGCGUUUGGUCGGUUUUAGGGCAAAUUCUGGACAAGCUGUCAUAUAUGGGGACCUAACUUGGAAAAAUUCUGUGAGCAGCAUUUUUUAAGCAUGGAUUGGGUAGCAAUAAGUUAUUUUGGAUGAGCCAAGAAAGAGGUAGUUAUCAAGUAGUUUUUGCAUGUCCUUUGUUUUUGAGUCGCGUUUGGUCGGUUUUAGGGCAAAUUAUGUACAAGACGUCAUAUAUGGGUACCUAACGUGGAAAAAUUCUGUGAACGACAUUUUUAAGCAUGGAUUGGGUAGCAAAAAGUUAUAUUGGACGAGCCACGAAAGAGGUAGUUAUCGAGGAGUUUUUGCGUGUCCUUUGUUUUUGAGUCGCGUUUGGUCGGUUUUAGGGCAAAUUCUGUACAAGAUGUCAUAUAUGGGUACCUAACUUGGAAAUAUUCUGUGAACGGCAUUUUUAAGCAUGGAUUGGGUAGUAAAAAGUUAUUUUGGGCAAGCCACGAAAGAGGUAGCUAUCGAGGAGUUUCUGCGUGUCCUUUGUUUCCGAGUCGCGUUUGGUAGGUUUUAGGGCAAAUUCUGUAACAGAUGCCAUAUAUGGGUACCUAACUUGGAAAAUUUCUGUGAACAACAUUUUUUAAGCAUGGAUUGGGCAGCAAAAAGUUAUUUUGGACGAGACACAAAAGAGGUAUUUAUCGAGGAGUUUUCCCGUGUCCUUUGUUUUCCAGUCGGGUUUUGUCGCUUUUAGGGCAAAUUCUGGACAAGCUGUCAAAUAUGGGUACCUGACUUGGAAAAAUUCUAUGAGCAGCAUUUUUUAAGCAUGGGGUAGCAAUAAGUUAUUUUGGACGAGGCAGGAAAGAGGUAUUUAUCGAGUAGUUUUUGCGUGUCCUUUGUCUUCGAGUCGCGUUUGGUCGGUUUUAGGGCAAAUUUUGUACAAGACGUCAUAUAUGGGUACCUAACGUGGAAAAAUUAUGUAAACGACAUUUUCUAAGCAUGGAUUGGGUAGCAAAAAGAUAUUUCAGAUGAGCCAUGAAAGAGGUAUUUUUGAGGAUUUUUGGCGUGUCCUUUGUUUUCGAGUCGCGUUUGGUCGGUUUUAGGGCAAAUUAUGCACAAGUUUUCAUAUAUGGGUACCUAACUUGGAAAAAUUCUGUGAGUAGCAUUUUUUAAGCAUGGAUUGGGUAGCAAUAAGUUAUUUUGGACGAGCCAAGAAAGAGGUAGUUAUCGUUGAGUUUUUGCGUGUCCUUUAUUUUUGAGUCGCGUAUGUUGGUUUUAGGGCAAAUUCUGUACAAGAUGUAAUAUAUGGGUACCUAACUUGGAAAAAUUAUGUGAAUGGAAUUUUUUAAGCAUGGAUUGGGUUAUAAAAAGUUAUGUUGGACAAGCCACGAAAGAGUUAGUUAUCGAGGAGUUUUUGCGUGUCUUUUGUUUUUGAGUCGCGUUCGGUAGGUUUAAGGGCAAAUUAUGCACAAGAUGUCAUAUAUGGGUACCUAACUUGGAAAAAUUAUGUAAACGGCAUUUUUUAAGCAUGGAUUGGGUAGCAAAAGUUAUUUUGGACGAGCCAUGAAAGAGGUAUUUAUCGAGGAGUUUUUGCGUGUCCUUUGUUUUCGAGUCGCAUUUGGUUGGUUUUAGGGCAAAUUGUGGACAAGCUGUCAUAUAUGGAUACCUAACUUGAAAAAAUUAUGUGUCCAGCAUUUUUUAAGCAUGGAUUAGGUAGCAAUAAGUUAUUUUGGAUGAGCCAAGACAGAGGUAGUUAUCGAGUAGUUUUUCCGUAUCCUUUGUUUUUGAGUCGCGUUUGGUCGGUUUUAGGGCAAAUUCUGUACAAGACGUCAUAUAUCGGUACCUAACAUGGAAAAAUUCUGUGAACAAAAUUUUUCAAGCAUGGAUUGGGUAGCAAAAAGUUAUUUUGGACGAGCCAUGAAAGAGGUAGUUAUCGAGGAAUUUUUGCGUGUCCUUUGUUUUUGAGUCGCGUUUGGUCGGUUUUAGGGUAAAUUCUAUACAAGAUGUCAUAUAUGGGUACCUAACUUGGAAAUAUUCUGUGAACGACAUUUUUAAGCAUGGAUUGGGUAGCAAAAAGUUAUUUUGGGCAAGCCACCAAAGAGGUAAUUAUCGAUGAGUUUCUGCAUGUCGCGUUUGGUCGCUUUUAGGGCAAAUUCUGUAACAGAUGUCAUACAUGGUACCUACAUUGGAAAUUUUCUGCGAACGGCAUUCUUUUAAGCAUGGAUUUGGUAGAAAAAAUUAUUUUGGACGAGCCACAAAAGAGGUAGUUAUCGAGGAGUUUCUGCGUGUCCUUUGUUUUUGAGUCGCGUUUGAUCGGUUUUAGGGCAAAUUCUAUAACAGAUGCCAUAUAUGGUACCUAACUUGGAAAAAAUUUGUGAACGGCAUUUUUUAAGCAUGGAUUGGGCAGCAAAAAGUUAUUUUGGAUGAGCCUUGAAAGAGGUAUUUAUCAAGGAGUUUUUGUGUGUCCUUUGUUUUCGAGUCGCGUUUGGUCGGUUUUCGGGUAAAUUAUGUACAAGAGGUCAUGUAUGGUUACCUAACUUGGAAAAUUUCUAUGAAUGGAAUUUUUUAUGAAUGGAUUGGGUAGCUAAAAGUUAUUUUGGAUGAGCCAAGAAAGAGGUACUUAUAGAGGAGGUUUUGCGUGUCCUUUGUUUUCGAGUCGCGUUUGGUUGGUUCAAGGGCAAAUUUUGUACAAGAUGUCAUAUAUGGGUACCUAACUUGGAAAAAUUUUGUGAACGGAAUUUUUUAAGCAUGGAUUGGGUAGCAAAAAGUUAUGUUGGACGAGCCACUAAAGAGGUAGUUAUCGGGGAGUUUUUGCGUGUCCUUUGUUUUCGAGUCGCGUUUGGUCGGUUUUGGGGCAAAUUCUGUACAACAUGUCANNNNNNNNNNUUUUUUUGGACGAGCCAUGACAGAGGUAUUUAUCGAGGAGUUUUUGCGUGUCCUUUGUUUUCGAGUCGCGUUUGGUCGGUUUUAGGGUAAAUUAUGUACAAGAGGUCAUGUAUGGUUACCUAACUUGGAAAAUUUCUACGAAUGGAAUUUUUUAUGAAUGGAUUGGGUAGCUAAAAGUUAUUUUGGAUGGGCCAAGAAAGAGGUAGUUAUAGAGGAGGUUUUGCGUGUCCUUUGUUUUCCAGUCGCGUUUGGUUUGUUCAAGGGCAAAUUUUGUACAAGAUGUCAUAUAUGGGUACCUAACUUGGAAAAAUUAUGUGAACGACAUUUUUUAAGCAUGGAUUGGGUAGAAAAAAGUUAUGUUGGACGAGCCACUAAAAAGUUAGUUAUCGGGGAGUUUUUGCGUGUCCUUUGUUUUCGAGUCGCGUUUGGUCGGUUUUAGGGCAAAUUCUGUACAACAUGUCAUAUAUGGGUACCUAACUUUGGAAAGAUUCUGUGAAUGGCAUUUUUUAAGCAUGGAUUGGGUAGCAAAAAGUUAUUUUGGAAGAGCCACGAAAGAGGUAGUUAUCGAGGAGUUUUUGCAUGUCAUUUGUUUUCGAGUCGCGUUUGGUCGGUUUUAGGGCAAAUUCUGUACAAGAUGUCAUAUAUGGGUACCUAACUUGGAAAAAUUCUAUGACCGGCUUUUUGCGUGUCCUUUGUUUUCGAGUCGCGNNNNNNNNNNAGGAGUUUGUGCGUGUCCUUUGUUUUCGAGUCGCGUUUGGUCGGUUUUAGGGCAAAUUUUGUACAACAUGUCAUAUAUGGGCACCUAACUUGGAAUAAUUCUAUGACCGGCUUUUUAAGCAUGGAUUGGGUAGCAGAAAUUUAUGUUGGACGAGCCACGAAAGAGGUAGUUACCGAGGAGUUUUUGCGUGUUCUUUGUUUUUGAGUCACGUUUGGUCGGUUUUAGGGCAAAUUCUAUACAAGAUGUAAUAUGUGGGUACCUAACUUGGAAAAAUUAUGUGAAAGGCAUUUUUAAGCAUGGAUUGGGUUAUAAAAAGUUAUGUUGGACGAGCCACGAAAGAGUUAGUUAUCGAGGAGUUUUUGCGUGUCCUUUGUUUUUGAGUCGUGUUUGGUAGGUUUAAGGGCAAAUUAUGCACAAGUUUUCAUAUAUGGGUACCUAACUUGGAAAAAUUAUGUAAACAACAUUUUUUAAGCAUGGAUUGGGUAGCAAAAAGUUUUUUUGGACGAGCCAUGACAGAGGUAUUUAUCGAGGAGUUUUUGCGUGUCCUUUGUUUUCGAGUCGCGUUUGGUCGGUUUUAGGGUAAAUUAUGUACAAGAGGUCAUGUAUGGUUACCUAACUUGGAAAAUUUCUAUGAAUGGAAUUUUUUAUGAAUGGAUUGGGUAGCUAAAAGUUAUUUUGGAUGAGCCAAGAAAGAGGUAGUUAUAGAGGAGGUUUUGCGUGUCCUUUGUUUUCGAGUCGCGUUUGGUUGGUUCAAGGGAAAAUUUUGUACAAGAUGUCAUAUAUGGGUACCUAACUUGGAAAAAUUCUGUGAACGACAUUUUUUAAGCAUGGAUUGGGUAGCAAAAAGUUAUGUUGGACGAGCCACUAAAGAGGUAGUUAUCGGGGAGUUUUUGCGUGUCCUUUGUUUUCGAGUCGCGUUUGGUCGGUUUUAUGGCAAAUUCUGUACAACAUGUCAUAUAUGGGUACCUAACUUUGGAAAGAUUCUGUGAAUGGCAUUUUUUAAGCAUGGAUUGGGUAGCAAAAAGUUAUUUUGGAAGAGCCACGAAAGAGGUAGUUAUCGAGGAGUUUUUGCAUGUCAUUUGUUUUCGAGUCGCGUUUGGUCGGUUUUAGGGCAAAUUCUGUACAAGAUGUCAUAUAUGGGUACCUAAAUUGGAAAAAUUAUAUGACCGNNNNNNNNNNGAGGUAGUUAUCGAGGAGUUUUUGCAUGUCAUUUGUUUUCGAGUCGCGUUUGGUCGGUUUUAGGGCAAAUUCUGUACAAGAUGUCAUAUAUGGGUACCUAACUUGGAAAAAUUCUAUGACCGGCUUUUUGCGUGUCCUUUGUUUUCGAGUCGCGUUUAGUCGGUUUUAGGGCAAAUUAUGUACAACAUGUCAUAUAUGGGUACCUAACUUUGGACAAAUUCUGUGAAUGGCAUUUUUAAGCAUGGAUUGGGUAGCAAAAAGUUAUUUUGGAAGAGCCACGAAAGAGGUAGUUAUCGAGUCACGUUUGGUCAGUUUUAGGGCAAAUUUUGUACAAGAUGUCAUAUAUGGGUACUUAACUUGGAAAAAUUCUUUGACCGGCUUUUUAAGCAUGGAUUGGGUAGCCAAAAGUUAUUUUGGACGAGCCAUGAAACAGGUAGUUAUCGAGAAGUUUUUGCGUGUCCUUUGUUUUCGAGUCGCGUUUGGUCGGUUUUAGGGUAAAUUAUGUACAAGAGGUCAUGUAUGGUUACCUAACUUGGAAAUUUUCUAUGAACGGAAUUUUUU